rnacentral:lncRNA from 1 species
CGCAUGGUAAUGACGGGGAGGACCUGGACGUAGUACUCGAUCCUGUAGGCAACCUUGAGUAUGAGAUCGGGUUGCUGCCAAUCGUAGCCGCCGUCGACGCCGCAGAGGAAGGUCUGCGCGAUCCUGUAGUCGAUCUUGUGCUGCUGGUUGUGCAACACGAUCUUGUACGCAUCUCGGAGAUGUUCUUUCAGACUGCUCACCAUCGACCUGGUGUUCUGGUCCCGCGACAGCUUCCAGGACUGGGGCUGCUGCAUCAGGUCGGCUAUCUGCUGUACGAAUUGUACCAGCUGCUGGAUCUCCCCCCUGUUCUGCCUCAGCGCCUUCGCCUCCUGCACGAUAGAAAGUGCGAGGCGCACGACCUCAUCAUGGUCGCCGGUUCGAGCCCCCUGCUGGUCUCCACGUUCUCCUGGACCUACCGACAACGUGCUGCUCCUCACUGCAUUCACGUCCCUGCGCAUGCAUGCCGAUCAUCUCUGGUUAAAUUUUUCGUUAUUUACGUACUCCAUAUAGGAAGUACUAUAUGAAUGUUUUAUAUAUCAGCACACGAUGAAUACCCGUCCGUGAUGUCCCUGAUUAUCAACUCAAUCACACUUUUAGCGUCGGAUGACAUAUUGUCCAUGUUAGUCAAGUUCCUGAUAGAUGACUUCAGCUCCUCUUUUUCAGUCUGAGAGUGGUCAGAGUACAAAAAAUCCAAAGCUUCCAUGCAUGUUAAAUAUUCAAUAAGACAUGCAUAUAGUAUGAAUAUAGUCAUAAUGAUCAUGUCAUGCAUAAGCUUGGUCAAAAACUAUUAAUAUAUCGCAAAAUCAGGCAACAAUGUUAAUCUACCGCUCCCUCCAUUCUCUUUAGAUAUUAAUCCUUUUCGAACACUAGUACAGUCUAGUAUUGUGCACCUAAAAUAGUCCAACGUGAUGUAACAUGGUGCUGUCUAUAAAUCGUCAGUUUAUGUUUUGAACUUUACUACCUUUUAUUUUUUUAGAUAAUGGAUAAAUAUCCGGCUUCACCCUCCUCUUUCGACCAGGCGGAUCAGUCCACAAUUAUUACAAAAGAAAUGAAUUCACACUAUGGUUUCGACCAAUCAAACCGACUCAAAGAAAUCAAUUCUGGAAUCAAAAGGUAGCUUGUCACUACCUUUUAUUUAUGUUGCAUUGUUCAUUGCCACAAAUUAUUUGCAAAUAUGAAUCUUAUAAUGCUAAACUUUUAUGGUACAAUCUACGUACAGUUUCUUUCUCAAGUUUGCUGUAGUUGUUUGCCGUUGAGUAAUAUGUAAUUCCGAUGGAUUCAAGAGUCUAGCUAGCUAGAUUUUGGUACCUGUGGAAGGCGCUUGCAAGCACCAUUUCGAAGCAGCUUCUCAAGCACGUUCAUGAAGAAGCGCUCCUUAUUGAUGCUUACAAUGAGGAUCAUGUUGGCAAUGUGGAACGACUCCAGGAUUUUGGAUAUCCGUGCAUCAACGGCGACGAUCUUGUUGGCUUUCUUUUUGGUUUUGAAGACAAGCGACCAAGUCCUCUUCUCCCUGCAGGACUCAACGAGCGCCUUCCCGUCGUUGAGCGCAUCUUCAAGAUGUUUCAGCAUGCUGUAGGUCACUGGGUCCGGCAUCCACUGGCUUUUCAGCUCCGUCAGGAGGAGGUUAAUCAUUUGCACGUGGUCUUUUAGCAUAGUACAUUUCUCCCUGUUGCGCUGAGCCGCCUCCGCCAGCCGAUUGAUCUGUUCCACGAUGCUCAUCAACGACGAAAUAAGCCCAAUUGCUUCGGCCACCCCAACCAUCUCGAUCGAUUGCGCUGCGCCUGUAUGCUUGCAACGUCAGAUUUGCACGUAUAUGAGUAUACAUGUCUACCCUCCGCCAUCCAAAAACAAUUGGAUGCCGACAAGUGGUAUUGACAAGUCUAUGCACAACACGCGAUGUCAUGUCAAAUUUUAGCUAAUUUUAGCUUUUCUAGAUUCAUAGAUAGUAUUAUGUAUCUAGACAUCCACUAUAUCUAGGUGCGUAACAAAAGCUAUGCAUCUAGAAAAUUCAAAAUGACCUACAAUUUGGGAGGGAGUACACCCUAAUAAAAAGAUUAAUGGUGGAGCCUGAAGCACAAUUUAUCGUAUAAAAAUAAUACUUGUAAAUAUAUAAAUUUAUUAUAAAAUAUAGAAACUCGAUUGACUAUCUUCUUAAUUAAUGGAGAAAUAUAGGCUGUGAAUUUUCAAAAGGAAAAGGAAAAAGUGUAUUUUUCAUCCUUCAAGUAUUGCAAAAGUGUAACAUUCCUCCUUCAUGUUUCAUUUGGUGCAAAUCAAGCCCUUAACUAACUAAAUCGGUUGCAUUUAUCAUCCCCACCUUAGUUUAAUAAUUGUUUAGUGUCAUAUAACAUCGCUUUAGGCCAUGUAAUCAUCUUACUAAUCAGUAUUUAGCCAUGUAUAAUAUUUAGUCAAUUGAUUUAAUAGUUUGGUGUGAAUCGGUUCCGUUAAUUUUUCCGAUAAAAUAGUUAUAUGGUAGUCAAUUUAGAGGAUUUACUUUUUUUGUGGGCUUUAUAUCUUUGACUUAACAUAUUACAUCACUAAGCAGUGAUUUAGAUGAAUACAUGGCAUAAACCUUCAUUAGAUGUUACUAAACCAAUUGAACUAACGUGAGGAUGAUACAUGCACUGAUAUAAUUAGUUAAGGGGUUAAUUUGCACCAAAUGAAACAUGAGGGAUGAAUGUCACACUUUUGCGGUACUUGAGGGAUGAAAAAUAAACUUUUUCCAAAGAAAUAACUUGAUCGAUCCUGGUCCCAACUAUUUUAUAAAUCUCUUUUAACAUGAAUUUUGUUGAGCUCGCAUGAACACAAAUUGUGGCAAAAUUAAAGAACAUCUACACCGUUCAAUAUACCUACAAUCCCAUACUGCAUGCAGCCAUUUUAUAAAUUUCUUUUGAUGUGAUUUUUUUAGUUCCUAACGCAGACUAUCCUUCAAGAGAAAAAAAUGGGCUAUGGAAUAUAUGAUUAUAUAGUACGAUAUCUCCUGUACAAUGUUAGUAUAUGAGUUGAACCGGUCUUGUACGACAAGAUGAUCCAAGCAAAUGGACUCAGUAGGUAAGGUACAGUUUUGUAGCCACACAACUUUGGUGUGCAAGGAUAAACAAACACUUCAAAUGGAUUCCGUUAAAAUAACUUGUAGGGGAUGCAAUAUGGCAGAUCUGCUGGAGAUGAUCUAAACUUACAUUCACAUAUAUAGGAUAAACGAACACUUCAAGUGUUAACCCUAGCUAAUGCUUGCAAACAGAAACAAUGGAGGUUCCUUGACAUUUGACUGGAUAGUAGUGUAUUGUAGAAAAAAGGGAAAUCAAUAACCUGCCAUACCUUCUCAAAGCUCCAACCAAGAAAUAGCGCUACCUCACCCAAUAGGCUGUGUCGCCUUGCUUCAGCACAAGGUAGCGAGCACACGGCUAUUUAUACAAAUAACAUUGUAUAAAUGAACGCAUGCAGAAAAGUAUACUUUGCCUAGGUACGCAUGGAGACUUGCUUAGAUUGACCUGGUUACCUGUACUGUACUCACUUCAUACUCUUGACAACGCAAUUCAGCUACCAAGGAGUACGACCUGCGUCGACGAGACGAAGACUUGUUUAUACUCAGGGCAACGCAAUUCAGCUACCAAGGAGUGCGACUUGCGUUGACGAGACGAAGACUUGGACCUCGUCUUCGACUGCAUGCAUGCAUUGGACUAAUCUAACCACGCGGCGACUCGCCCCGGCCCGUGAUGACCCUGUAUAUGGAAUAGUGUGCAUGGAGGAUUAUUCACUCACGCUGCGCUGCCGACAAUGAAAGUACCGCAUGCCCAAACAGUACGUUGCUCAUGGUUGAGUAAAUGUAACUAAGUACACCCAACGUCCUGAAAUAUACUUACGGUAUAUUUAAGAACGGAGCUGUACUUACGGUAAAAAAUCAUUGCUCAUGGUUGAAACUUCAAAACAGACGGUUUUUGCCCACCAGCAGCGAUAGCCGGGACCGUUUCCGCGCUCAUCGGUGCAAAUUGCGCAACUAGCAGGACGAGACAUGCACGCAAACAGCUGGUGAAACAUGCAUGCACCUAGCAUGGCUAGUCGUCGGGCAGCAACUAGCACGAGACUAUAUGUUCAUGCAAGUGUCUCAUUAAUCAUAGCGCGACCUAACACCAAAACACAUCAACCAGCAGCGUAUCUAGAUUUUCGACCUAAUGUUACUAAUACAGACUAGGCUAUCACCGUCAGCUUAUCACCACUGGUUUUCGGUGAAUCUGCGGUGAUAGAGUGUCACCGCCGGUCCAAUAUUUAGUCGUACUCAAUGUUCAUUGGUCAUUAUGUCUUUACUAGAGAACCGGGCUUCAAUCCCGACCCAUCAAUCCUGAAUGCCAAUGCUCCCGGUUCAGUGGCUACAUAUCACGUCCGGUUUCUAAACAAAACCGGUAGAUGAUCCGUGGGGCUAACAUCUCUCCUAAUCAGUGGCUCAAACCUGCUGUCAAGUCCGCUACUGCUUGCUCAUCCUCCCAUGAAGUUAAAGUGAAAUCCAGUUUGGCUUAAAUAAGAUUUAUAUUUUUUUGGCCUGUUAGCUUGAGCUUCUUCCAGCGGUUGCGGCUGUUGCUCAUCUUCAGAGUUACCAUCCUCGCUCUUCAUGUUCACCCUUCCCAGCCAUUCUCAAGUCACCCAGAGGGGGGGUACAAAGGCUCUCCGCUAGAGUUCGGAGGCCGGACAAUGCCCGUCACAUCCGCCUUCCAUGAAGGUUUUUGCUGGCAGCCAGGCAUUUCGAGGGUAACAGAUCAAGUGGUGGAAACCUUUAGUAGAAUGCUUAUCACUCAAUUGACUCACAUCUCUUUUGUUUAAGGAAACCAAGCCCACUACUACAAAAUUAAUAUCAAGAUAAUAUGUUAUAAAACUUAUUUGUGAAAACUCAAGAUAAGCAUGCACAGGAAUUUCAGGAAAGUGCCGGGUGCCUCACAACCAAGCUCAUUAAUACCAAAGAAAGAUCAACAAACAAAACAAAUGGACACAACGUUCAGAACCCAAUCAUUUGCCCACCAAGAAUGCCAUACCCACACCAGAACAAAUAAGAACAGAAGUUUAAAAGGGUAAAAAUUGGUUGAUGAUGCAUGGAACGAAACGUAUAGAAUGCUUAUUACUCAAUCGACCCACAUCUCUUUUUUUUUCUAGGAAACCAAGCUCUCAUUACUACGUUGGAACAUCUAACCAACCAAAUGGACGAAAUUGUUUAUUUGGCCUCCAAGAAUGCCAUACGACCUGAAUAACUGAAAGCGCUAACAAAGCCACUUAUUGUUGUGCAUAGCAGCUAAGCUUGACUUAUUUGCAAACGGGUGCGAAAUGCGAUACAAUAAUUCAUAGUUCUAGACGUCAUGAGCCACGCGUGGGAUAAGAAGAAGCUUCUCCUUACGGUGCACAUCAACCCCAUAUGACUCUGUCAUAUCGAUGCUUGUCGACCCUGGUGGAAGCUCGGCUUGCAGCUUGCAGCUUGUUCAUUGAUUGGGGAUUCUGCAUCAGCUCAGCCAUGGCGUAGUCGAGCGCUAUGUACGUUGUGUCUGUCCCAGCUUCGAACGUGUCCUACACGCAUGUAUCAACAAAAUUCAAUCAAACUUUAGCAAACUAGUCCAUGAAACAUGUCCUAUGUACGUCUUGUAAGGAUUAGCUUGGAAGCUUCAAAAGAAACCUUCAAUUAGUAAAAGUUUGAUUUUUUAAAAAAAUUUGAAGUUUAGUUGCAUACAUGCGGUCGGUAGAAAUGGAACUCUGCAUAUACAUACCAUCAGUAUUGCCUUGAUAUUAUCUCUGGUCAGGCCGUACUCUUGUUGAACGGAGAGCAACACGUCGAUAAAGUCCCCCUCGUCCUCACCAUCCAGCGUCUUGCUCUUGUGCUUGUCGAUGAGGCUGUCCAAAAGGUCAUCCCAUCUCUUCAUGUGCUUCACGGCCUUGGCCGACACCAAAUCAAACCUUGCCAAGCUCGGGAAGUAGUCAUCCAGGUUGAAUCCUCCCAGGAGCUUGGUGUUCGUCUCUAGCAGCUCCCGGAAGAGCUGGUUCCGGCCUUGUUCCCUGGGGAGCCUGCCCGUCAUGGCCUGGCACACAAUGUCAUUGGCGAAGAAGCCCAAGAUUUCGCUGACGUCGAUCGCCGUGCCCGCGGCGGCGGCGGCCCUCACCCUGGCUAAGACCAGCCGGACCUCCUGCUCGCGGGCGGCGCGGUAUGACCGGACCUUCGCUGCGGUGAGGAGGUGGGUGGUGAUGACCUUCCUGGCUCGGCGCCAAUACUCGCCGUAAGGCGUGAAGCUAACGUCAGUGGAGCCGUAGAAGAGGAUGUCAGCGACCACGGAGUGCGGUCGGGAGGCGAUGACGUGGUCGUGCGUGCGCAGGACAGCCUUGGCGGCGCGGGGGGAGGAGACGACGAGCGUUGGCACGGCGCCGAGGCGGAGGAGCAUCACGUCGGGCCCGUGCUUCUUGGCGAGGUCGCGGAGGGAGUGGUGGGGAAGGGAUCCGAUGAGGUGGAGGUGGCCGAUGAUCGGGAGCUUGAACGGAGGCGACGGUAGCUUCCGGAGCAGGUUCUCUGUUCUGGACCUUGGUGUUGCCAAGUGCACGGCGACGAGGAAGAGGAAGAAGAGGAGGGCUAGGGACUCUGGAGAUGCGUGUUCGUAUAGAGGUGCGCUAGCGCUGGAGCCGCCAUGGCUGAUCAACCUGCUCGUUGCAGUUUUUGUAGAGCUCGGAAGUCGUGAUCCGUCAGACAGCAAGAAGAGUAUGCUACCAUUUUUUUUCUUUUCUGCAUCACCGCCAGAUCAGAUCAGACAGGAUUUUAUGAGAGAAUCCUAUGGAAUCAUCAUCCUUUUUAGUAAACUUCACCAGACGCAGGAACGCGAGCCGAUUAAUUGGCAAGCUUUUCUCUCAGAAUAUGUGUUUGGUGCUGGAUUAAUUGGCGUGCAGGUUGAAGAAAGGCUGCUUUAUAGAUUAGCCCCCGAAGAAAAAGGAAAUUCCGACGGAAAGUUUGUGUCUUGUGGUUUUGCAAAAAGGACCCUGGAAAGGCUAGAUUCUCAAGUUCCAGUCCUACCCGAGAUCUUUUGCAAAUAUAACCCUAUAAAUUCUGUUAUUUGCAAGUACUUUUACGUGUGUCUUGCAAAUCUUUCUUGCUAGCCCCUGCCGUCUAUGGCUAAUUGCAUCUGGGUCCCUGCCACCUUGUUUGUCUCAUAACUUCUUCCUUCUAGCUCCAUUUUGAGUGAUUCUUUCGCUCACACGUUCGUCUUAACGAGUAGAUUAGUUUGGUACUGCUUUUAUGGUACUGCUUUUAAGUAAUAUUUUUGAUGAUUGGUGUACUGUUUUUAAUUAAAUGCAUUUGUUUGCUUGUAUGUGCUUGUGUGACGCGUAUAGAAGAAGCGUAGUUCGAGGAAUCCAAAGAGGAGGGAGACUGAAGACUCUGAGCAGCAGAAGGGCUUGGAGGAAGGCAAGUGUCCUUGGUCAUUCCCGUUUAUACCUAAAUGACAUGCAUUGAUUCACAAUAUUUAUUUAUCGCAAGCAUUAAUAUGAUGGGUUCCUAUUAAGGAUGAUGCCUAGUUUCUUUUGAUCAUACCUUGCAGCCAGGUUGUUCAAAUAAUCUGGAGGGUAGAUGAUGCUUAGUUUGCUCAACUGGGUUGGUAAAUAAACAAUAUGGUUAAUUUUAUUUAUUUACUCUAUGUUCCUUUAUGUUGAUUUAAUUACAAGACCAUAUGUUCUAAACGAACAUGGAGCGACCACCCAGGAAAAUAGUACAACCACAAGGACUACAUGGCUCUGGUCUUGGCUAACUAAUUAGAGGACUCUAGUGUUGGAUUGGUGUUAAGGGGGGGCAUGUCUCGCGGAACCUCGUGCAUUGGAACACACUAGGGAAGUCUUUGUUAAGGCCUCUAGCGUCCCUAUGCAAUCACACCUCGGAAGUGUGGUAUUGUGCCUACUUUUGCACAGCAUGGUUGAAUCCAAAGUUCACCUGAACUUUUAUGCGACUUGUGGGUAAAGAUGUACAACCUCUGCAAAGUGUAAAACUGUUAUAACAGCCGUGCUCACGGUCAAGAGCGGCCUGGACCCUCACAUGAUUAAUUUACUUGAAGAUGAUACUAGUGUGUUAUUUAUGUUCAUGCUUAUGGUAUAUCAAUGCUCUAUAUUAAUUGUGGGAUGGUAUAAACUUACAUUUGCUAGUGAUUAGGUGUUGAAUAAAAACUUGACCAACUAAAAGUGCUAAUCGCAGUUAACCUUGUCAGCCUUCCACCAUAUAAAGCCUUGCAUAUCAUAGAUAUUUCUCUCUUGCUGAGUACGACAUGUGCUCACGCUUGUGUUUUAUAUAUUGCAUCUACAACGUCCGGAUUGCUGCUCAGACCCGGAGAACUUUGAAGAUUACUGAAGUUUUUGGAGGAGUUCUAGGUGAGUCCACCAGUCAGCUGCCUGUGGAGUUGUUGGAGAUGCGCUGCCUAUAUUAGAGAUUUCUAUCUCAAUUCUAGUUACAUAAUUUAUGUAAUUCUCUCUCUACGCUAUAACACAGUAUUUGAUAUUUACUGAAGUCAUCGUAUGUUUGAAACUUGAUCCUGGCAUACAUAUGAUAGUCAUCUGGUUUUACAUUUAAAACCGGGUGUGACAGGAUGCUACCGAUGGCUCUGCAACUUGAUGCAAUUCAUGCACGCUGCUGGGUGGCACCCAUGGUGCGAGAUGUCCAGGAAGAGUGCAUUGGCACUGUGGCGGCGGAUCCGACCAGUAGCAGCAGCUCGCACAGGUCACGACAAUGUGCAUCAUCACAAAAAUCCGAGGCUGCCCGCGCAGGUCGAGCUUUUAUUUGCUUGGAUCGGAUAUUCCUUCCUACUAAUAUCAUGGCUAUCUGUGUGAGGCUCAUAGGCUGGAGGUCUAAGGGUAGCCAUAGACACUACUAUAGAACUGACCGAGGGCUGAUUAGGCUCAUAGGCUCAUAGGCUCAUAGGCUGGAGGUCUGAUUAGCUCAUAUUCUUUGUCUCACCCUAUGGGUAUCGUGGAGGCACGGCGCCAAGCUGGCGGCACGGUGUAGCCUCAAUUCAGAACUUUCCUAGCCAGGGCGUGGCCGAGGGCGAUUGGUUGCUCAACCUGAUGAGAACUUGGGUGGGUGCUCCUAGAUGGGAGAGAAUAGGGUGACGGAUGAGAAUGCAGAUGAGGGACGGGGCUCAGACGAGGGGUGGGUUGGAGACAUGUUUUCACUGUUGAACUCUUAGCGUCAAGAUGAGAGGUGAGAUGAGAUACCGGUAGGACCUGCUCUUACCAUGGCACUUCAGCAACCCCACCCCAACCCCGCGCGCAAGUCAAAAUUUGAGGACCAUAUGUACAAUACGUGUGCAAACAGAACCAUAAUUUUACUAGUAUCGAGGGAUUUUAGUUAUUUCUUCUAAAAAAUCUCUUGGGAAAUCGUAUUUUUGUAGUACAACAUAUAUAGAAAAUAAGUAUUACUCACAAAUAAACUGCCCUUUUCUUUAGUAUUCUUGGUUUUUGUUAUUAUUUUAUUUAAUCUUAAGAUUUAUAUAUGCAUAAAAAAGUAAUUUAGUAUCUUCAAAUAUGGAAACGUGGUCUUAGGAAUAGGGCUCAUAUUUUAUUCUUGAGCAUGCCUAGUGGAAAAAUACUAUCUAAAAAACCGCAAAGAAAUUUAAUACCUAAGCCUUCGAUCCACUCUACUUUUUGUAUACUAGUUUACCUGCAAUCCACUGGCUUGCACAUUAUAUUUCAUCAUACGGAAAUGUCUGAGAUUGUGAACGGAAGCAAUUUCAUCUGUCUGCAACCCUGCAUAGCAUGUGACAGCCCGGGCUGCGUGCCAAGAAACACCCAGAGCUCCUGACACAACCGCGUGAGCACCUUCUCCGACAUGCGCACAUGAGGACCGCAUGCACCCAUAUGCAAGGUUCACAAAUACGUGCGUGCUUAAACUAUAUAUAUAUUAUACAUAGUUUAUUAUAUUUUUGGCAGGGAUAUGAUAAUCAUUAAUUAUUACUUGUAAAGAUUGGAAACGUUACAAACGAUUGUAGAAAAAAUGCGAGUCACCAGGAAGGUAGGUAGUAGAGCAUGCCGUCAGUGUCUUUCCUGUGACCUGUGUUCGUGGUGCACAUGGCAGAAUGCACAGUCUAUACAUAGGAACCAGAAGUUGGCUUCGAAACCAAAUCACUCAUUAGUCCUUCAGUACUGCAGUGAACGCUAUCUAGCUAGCUAAUUUCCCCUUGAAAUCAGUUUUCUUGCGUGGCCAUGGGUAGCCUUCCACUUGAAGCCAUGAUGCCACUGAACCCCGAUUCAUUCGCUGGGGAGUCCAGUGCCGUGGUCGACUUCCUCGCCGACUACUACCGCAACGUCGAUAAGUAUCCGGUCAUGGCCAACACCCAGCCAGGGACCAUCCGUAAGCUUCUUCCGGAGGCAGCCCCGGAGUUGGUUGGUACUCAACAAGUCGUGGGAAAUAGUGUAGUGUAAGGCCAACCAUGAUACCCUUAUACUACCUAUACUACUCAUGUAUACUACCCAUACCACAGGCGUAGGUUUCAGUAGUAUGAAAUUAAUCUUGACCGUCGGAUAUGUUUAUACUAGUCAUUUUCGAACACAAGUAUAGUCUAGUGUUGUGUUCCGUAAAAGAGCUCAUAUAAUAUGUUAUAAAACUUAUUUGUGAAAGCUGAAGACAACACCAGGGGAUAAAUUCCAGAAUAGGUGAGAACAAAAAUUUAAAAGGGCAAAAUUUGUUGAUGGAUGGAAAUGCAUAGAAUGCUUAUUACUCAAUCGACUCACAUCUCUUUUUUCUAGGAAACAAAGCUCUCAUUAGUACUCUACGUUGGAAACAAAGCACUUAUUGUUGUUCAUAGCAGCUGAGAUUGACUUACAUAUAUUUAUUUGCAAACAGGUGUGAAAUGUGAUACAAUAAUUCAGAAAGCUAGACAUCCUGAGCCAUGCGAGGGAUAAGAAGAAGCUUCUCCUUACGGUGCACAUCCAUCCCAUACGACUCUGACAUAUCGACGCCUGUCGACCCCGGCAGAAGCUCCCAGUUGAAGUGGUAGAUGAGGUUGGCAAGAAUGAUUUCGAAAGUGGCGGUGGUGAAGUUUAUACCCGGGCACAUCCUUCGCCCAGACCCAAACGGCAAGAAACGGAAGUCGUUCCCCUGGAAGUCAGAAGCAGCAUCCACGGCUUCUUCCAUGAACCGCUCAGGCAUGAACUCCUCUGCAUUCUCCCAGUAGGUGGAGUCCCUGCCUAGAGCCCACGCGUUGACGAUUACACGUGUCCCAGAGGGUAUGGUAUAUCCCUCCACCUCCCAUUCGGCCAUGGACAAGUGGGGUAUCAAAAGAGGCCCCGGCGCGUGGAGCCGCAUUGACUCUUUCAUCACCGCCGUCAGGUAGCUCAUGCCGCUCAGGUCUUGUUCAGUGACCAGUUCCUUCCCCUUGGUUGCGCACCCCCGCACCUCAGCUUGAAGCUUGGUCAUCACCUUGGGAUUCCGCAUCAGCUCAGCCAUGGCGUAGUCUAGUGCUAUGUAGGUUGUGUCCGUCCCAGCUUCAAACAUGUCCUACAUGAAUAUAUCGGUAAGUAGAACUCCAAAUCAAAUUUAACCAAGCUAGUCCAUGAAACGUCUCAUAUGUACCUCUCGUGAAAAAUAAACAUACCAUCAGUAUUGCCUUGACGUUGUCUCUGGUCAGGCCGUACUCUUGUUGAACGGAGAGCAGCACAUCGAUGAAGUCCUCCUCGUCCUCACCAUCGACCGGCUUGGUCUUGUGCUUGUCGAUGAGGCUGUCCAAAAGGUCAUCCCAUAUCUUCCUGUGCUUCACGGCCUUGGCCGAUACCAAGUCCAACCUCGCCAAGCUCGGGAAAUAGUCGUCCAGGUUAAAUCCCCCCAGGAGCUUGGCGUUCGUCUCUAACAGCUCCCGGAACAGCUGGUUCCGACCUUGUUCCCUGGGGAGCCUGCCCGUCACGGCCUGGCACACGAUGUCGUUGGCGAAGAAGCUGAAGAGCUCGCUGACGUCGACCGCGAUGCCCAUGGCGGCGGCGGCCGUCACCUUGGCUAAAACCAGCUGGACCUCCUGCUCGCGGGCGGCGCGGUUGGACCGGACCUUCGCCGCGGUAAGGAGGUGGGUGGUGAUCACCUUCCUGGCCUGGCGCCAGUACUCACCGUAGGGGGCGAAGCCGACGUCGGUGCAGCCGUAGAACAGGACGUCGGCCACCGCGGAGUGCGGCCGGGAGGCGAAGACGUGGUCGUGUGUGCGCAGGACGGCCUUGGCGGCGCGUGGGGAGGAGACGACGAGCGUUGGCACGGCGCCGAGGCGGAGGAGCAUCACGUCGGGCCCGUGCCUCUUGGCGAGGUCGCGGAGGGAGUGGUGGGGAAGGGAUCCGAUGAGGUGGAGGUGGCCGAUGAUCGGGAGCUUGAACGGAGGCGACGGUAGCUUCCGGAGCAGCUUCUCUGUUCUUGACCUUGGUGUUGCCAAGUGCACGGCGACGAGGAAGAGGAAGAAGAGGAGGGCUAGGGACUCUGGAGAUGCGUGUUCGUAGAGGUGCGCUAGCGCUGGAGCCGCCAUGGCUGAUCAACUAGUGUGCACAACACACGGCUUGCUAGCGCAACAAGUUAGAACCAGCUCGUUGCAGUUUUUGUAGAGCUCGGAAGUCGUGAUCCGUCAGACAGCAAGAAGAGUAUGCUAUUUUUUUUCUUUUCUGCAUCAUCACUAGAUCAGAUCAGACAGGACCGACCAGAUCUGAUCUUUUAUGAGAGAAUCCUAUCGAAUAAUCAUCCUUUUUAUUAAACUGCACCCGACGCAGACUUUCUUUAUUUGCCCAUGUGCUAUUAUAUUAAUUUUUAUCUCGACUAUAUACCACUGUCCUCAUGUAUGUUGUGUACCAAGAGGAACACGAGACGAUCGAGAUUCCAAUAAAAUAUGUGUUUGGUGCUGGAUUAAUUGGCAUGCUUUUCUCUCAGAUGAGCUGCGUGUAGUGACAGCGGCGCUCGCAAUAGUUGGUCGGCGCACUGGUAGACGGGCAGCUCAUGGAUGCUACCGACGGCUCUGCAACUUGAUGCAGUUCAUGCACGCUGCUGGGUGGCACCCAUGGUGCGAUAUGGCAUUGGCAUUGGCACUGUGGCGGCGGAUCCGACCAGUAGCAGAAGCUCGCACAAGUCUAAAUGUAUCUAACUUUGAUGAAUUUUAAUUUCAAAUCUAUGGAGGCUUUUGAGCUCGAACUAAUUGAAAUGGAUCACACUUUAGUAGUGCUUUCAACAUAAAAAAUUGACACAAAAUUUGGCGGUGAGCAGUCUGCCUAGCCCAGGCAGAAAAACAAAGGCUUGAAACAAACAAGCCCUUGGUGUGUGCCUGAUAAUCAUAUGUUCGAAACUCCGAUCCUGUCGCCCUUGAUUAAAAUUCAUAGUAGAGACCUAUUGAGGAUUAGCCCUGGCAUCGAUCCGGCCACAGGAGAGACCGGGAGCCAAGAAGUGAAGUAAGUUGCGUGCGUGCCUGACGGCGAGGAAGCACCUCCAUUGAGCCACGAGGUGGAGUACGAGGCAGAGGCGAGAUGGGAUGUGUUGGGGACAGACUCACAUGACGGAGAGUGGUGCAUCUCCUACCUACCAUCUGCCAUUGCCGAGGGCCUUUCACCGUGCACCACUCCGGUUCGCUCUUUUGCGUCGCUGGGAGGAAAGGGACCGCCGAGCGUUGGGUGCCGCCACCGCUCCUGCGUAGUUCGCCAUGGCCACCUCCUCCGAGAGCGCCCUCACCAGCGGCUCCAGCGCUGCACCUCAUUCCAGGGAUGGGGCAGCCGCUGCUGGGUCACAUCCGCCCGGGGAUUGGGCCGUUGCCGGGGAAUAAGAGGAGCGCGGCAGAGAAGAAAAGGAGAAAACAGAGGAGCCGUGAUUGACAGGGACGGAGGAAAGAUGAUGAGUGCGUACGGUGGGGUAAAAAUGGAAUUGGUUUUUGGUAGAAACAUUUUCUAACUUGUGGUUUUUAUGGGUCUCCACCUUAUCCUCUCUCAAUUGCAUGAUAGGUGGGUCCGACAUGAGCGGUAAGGUGGUUCUGGUUUGGGUGAGAAAGGUUUUCAAUUAUGUUGGAAAACAGGCUUCGCGGAGGCUCAAACACAAUGAGGUUUGAGCAGUCCUUGCAAUUCAAUUCCAAAGAAAUGAACAUAUGUUUACAUCGGGGUAGGGCUCUCCUUUUAUAGUAUCUCGGAGGACAUUUUGCAUUCCGCAAUUACCCUCACUCACCCACUACAAUCCUAGAAUAUGCUUUACAUGGAGGUAACUUGUAUAACUUGGUCUCCUCCUUGGAUCACGCUUCUCACGCCUUUAGUCAGCUCCAUGAUUCAUGCUCUCACAUGGUUCCACAAAUCAUGCCUUCACAUUUCCAACGCCUCCACGCUUCCUGACCUCAUGACCGAAGCCAUCUUAGCUUCGGGAGUCAUGAUCGCCAUAGAUUCGCACCUAAGAGACGCUAGCCUCGCGCCCUGCUCCUUGACUUGAUUCAGCGAUCCUGCAUGAGACACUAAAUAACUCAGCACUCGAGGUUAGCUUCGACUGCUCGAGGUCAAGCUUGGUUAGUGUUUGGUGAUCUGUGAUUGCCUCCGGGCUUCGAGGUAAGAUUCAGGAUAGCGAGGCUAUGAUUACUUUCCACGCCAGAUUAACCACCCAAGGUUAGGGCCCCUCACCCGAUGUUAAUUAUUUUGAGGGGCUAAGCUGUUGACGCUAAAUGUAACGACCUCGAGGGUGACCAUCUUUUUGGGCGAUCCCCAACAGUAGCCCCUCGUGGGCAAGGCUCGACACCGACGACCGAACCCGUGACUUAAGGAUCUGCUCCCAAAAAACGUCACUCUCGAGCAUCGGUUAGAAAUGAGCCAACAGUGACCUUUUUGGUCUUACGUGUCGAUUUCCUAUUGGGUGACCCUUCGUAUCUAGCUCGUGGUUACAGGCGCCAUUUCACGCAUUUUACCAUGCCUAUAAAAGAGGGGGGUGGGGUCGCUUUCGUUUUUACCCUCGCGGCUGAAACCCUUGCGCUCCUGCUUUUGCUCGCUGCUUCCGUGCUUUAAGAUUCAUGCAUUGUAUGCUGUUGUCCUUGGUCUCGAGGAUCUCGAAGGUAACAAUGUUACUUGUGUCUCUCUUUUAGUGUGAGAUUUUCCCUUGCUUGUCAUUUUGGAGAUGAUGUUUCGAUGCCUUGCAGCUGGCUCGUAUUAUGCAAACCGCUAGGCCCAUGACAUCAGAAGAGUUCACUAAACAAGCUGGGCUUCGCAACGAGGCUGCGGAAGACCAGGAUUUGUCCAAGGCUGACGAGAAGCAAGGAAUCAAGAGGAUUGAGCUUUCUUAUGCCUAGAAGAAUAGGUGGGAAGAUAAUUGGCUAAGCUACUAGUUCUAUAUCAAGAUUGACACAGCCGAUGCGUCUGGUAUCAACCAAUCUUUCUAUCCUUCUAUGCACCCCUGGGCCCUAUGGACAUUGCUACUACCCCUGCAUUUACAAGGUCCAAGGCAGUCAAGGAGUGCAAGGGCGCUUUCCUCCCGGACUCGAAGUCGAUCCCCGACUGGAUCUUGUUGAAGAGUUUUUAGCAGCCAACAUUUGGCCCCUUUCUGAUGGGUGGAGUCCAUUGGAGAUUGUGCCAAAAGAGGUUCCGUGGAGUACUAGCCCGCUCCUCUACCCUUGCUUUGGAGUGGAGCUGCCCGUGGAUGCCAACCCCGGUCUUUUUGCAGAGGAUGUUGAGAGGCAUGCUGUUGAUAUAAUUGGCCCGAGUAUUGAGACUGAGCUGACGUUAGCUCGAAAGAUCAUUCACACGAGCUUCGGGUCAACCGUGUGUUCGAGGAACUUGGGGUCGAUGUUAAGCCUUGUCCCAAACCUCGCAAGACCUUGAAAUGGGAACGAGAGGCUGGCGCGACACGCUCGGAAUAGGUUGGCGGCAGUGGCAGGUGGAAAAAGAGAAAGGCCGAGAGCACCGCUCCUAAGGCCGCGGCAGUGACUUCAAAGAAGGAUGACAGCCAAUCGAGGGUCGUGCUCGAGGUGCGAAAGCAAAAUUAAAGACCUCGAGCCUCGAAGCUCAGAAGAAGUAAGAAACAAUUGGACAAAGUUCCUCGAGCGAGGCCGCGCCCCUGUCUCUAAAGCCGUCCGAGUUGCGACCAAGUCCGAACUCGAGGCUGCCGGCGCGCUGGCCGGUAUGAAAGAAAAGAAGUCUACGAGGAAGUCUCGCGUCGGCAAAGCCUUUGAUGAUGAUGAUGAUAUUGUUUUGGAUGUGGACUUGUCUAUGUUCCCUAUAUCGGUCCCCGAGGCUAGUGUUCCUUCAAAGGAGACUGAGACUAAGGUUGUUGCACCCCUUCUACAGCACGAGGCCAAACCUUUGAAGGAGAAGAUCAUGGAUACCAUUGCUAAGGAGAUUAAGGCGUAUACUUCGAAGGUGACAAAGCCAGGUAAACAUGUCGUUGUACAUUUGCCUAGGAUGAGAUUUUUUGAUUUUGGUGAUGCGUCAUUUAGAUUUCUGAUGGAGCUGGAAAAAACCACUGGUGCACCUGGGGAGAUAUACAGGGAACCUCCUCUAAUAUUUAGGGUAAAACCUUAUUCUACAGAUUCUGAACUGUCACCCUCUCUGGAACGUUACAACGAGGCCUACAGCACCAACCUUAGACAGGAGCUCAUUGCUGUUCAUGUGCCGGGUUCAGGUGAGGACGAUAAUCGCUACAACCUACCCUUGUUGUGGGGAGCUAAGGAUGGGAUGCGUGGUGUAGAUAGAGCAGCCAAGGAGGUUUUCAAGAUGUCUGAGGGGGUUGUCGGUGAGGUUGGUGGGCAUGGAGAAAGGGAGGAAGGAGAGGUUAUCCCUACUCGAGGUCUUGGGAAAUCCACUGUGCCUUUUGAGGUUGAUUACGAGGACAAGUCUUUUAAUCCUGAGAGUAAGCGCUUGCUCCUUAGUUUGUUUUGUCUGUACUUAAUUUCUACUUUGCUAUGCUUUGACGUGCCUUUCUUUUGACAGAGUAUGAAAAAUCAGUUAGACGUUUCGAGCAAAAGGACUUAGCUAGGAUGUCAGCUACCAUCGGAUACAAGGUAUUUUGUUCGACGCUUGCUAUUUGUUUCUUAUCUCUCUUUUUUUACGAGGCUUUUCAUUUUGGUGUUUCGAUUUUGCAGUCCAUCAUCCUUGGGAAGAUGCUAUGGAGAAGGCUGCGGCUAAGGAAAAGAGCAUGCUAGCCGAGAGCACGAAGAUGAUGCAGCUAGAGGCUAGAGUUGCAAAGCUUGAGGAGGAAAGCAAGGUUUUAUAUGCCUUGAAGAAUGAGCUCGCCGAUUCUAACUCUGACCUUAAAAACAACAACGUGCUGCUAACAAAUACCUACAGCGAGCUCGUGCAACAAGUUGAGAAGCUGGAGAAAAGACCCGAAGACAAUCUUGGUGUUUUGGAGAAACUCCGAAGCGCCACAGAAAAAGACGCACAGACUAUCACAGAGCAGGAAAAAAUGAUUCAUACCCUUGGUCAGGAUCUCAAAGAGCAAAAGACCUUUGUUGUGGAAGCAGAGCGGGCUCUCAAGGAAAAGUUCGCUGAGAUCUAUGAGGGGUACAAAACUGCUCUUGCAAAGUUUGGCGCAGAGCCUCUUUUGUUUCUGGGUGAUGAAAGUGUAAAAGAAAUAUUUGAUUGGGUGGAAGAGGAGUUCAAAGGCCUGCCCGAGGUUAUUACUGGCAGCAGCAACUUUGCUGCUUCCUUCUGCCUUGAUAGCGCAGUUCAACUCCUUGAAAAGAACAGCUACUCUCAUUUCUUAACACUCGUGGCUCGCACCUAUAUGUUCCCCUCGGCCUCGGAGCUUGACGAAGAGGAGAAAUCUAAAAAUUUGAGAGCCACGAAGAUAAAUUUCUUCAAACAGCUUUGGGCUACCUCCGGGCGAGAGUACACAAGGCUGGUUGCUCAAGAGCGGCUUGCACAGGUUAGGGUUCACAUAACUUUGUAUUUCAUAAGGUUUUCAUUUUUUCUGUUGAUUUCCUGAUGUUGUUCCUCUUGUGUUCGUAGGCCAAGGCAUAGGAAGCAAAAGGCGAAGGUGGGAGCGAGAACGGUGAUGCUGAUCAAGGAGGGCAGUGAUUAUCGAAGCUAGUUAGAGAUUUGUUUUGUGGUUUGGGAUGUUUUGAUAAACUUGAUACUUAGUUGGCUGCUUUUGCAGGCCAGAUUGUAAAUAUUUGUUGCUCAGCCGGAACUUACAUGCUCGAAGCUGGUUACUUUUGGCGUUUGUACCUUCACGGAUUUCUUUUUGUCUUAACGUUUUUAUGUUUGAGUUAUUCUACUCAAAUGGCAACAAAGCUGUAGCUUAAAGAAACGAGCAAUGUUUUAGUUUAAAACGUCACCCCUGCCCUAGUUUCUUUAUGCGUAGGUUUUGUUGACUUUGCACGCUUGUUGUCUAAGCUUAAACGGAGCUUAAAAACGUCACCCCCUUCUUGGCAUGUGGGUCUUACCCGAGGCAAUUCUCUCAUGGAAAGAGGAUGAAAACGAUUUUUGUUUGCCAAAAAAUGUCACCCCCGCCCUUUUAUCCUUUUUUCGAAAAAACGUCCAACCUCACCCUUUUCUUUUGCAUGAACGAGGUUAAGUGAGUAUUGACAAACCACAAGAUAAGUCAAUAGAAAACUUGUUUUCGAGUUAUGUUGACUUAAAAAUAUGACAGUUUGGUUGAAAUCGCAACCCUUAUGAUGUGUUUGGUUGGGCUGUGGCUUUUCAAAAAGCUGCUCUGAGCUGUGGGGGCUGUUGAAAAGCAACUGUGAGAAAGCAGCUGUGGGAAAAGUAUAUGGCCGUUUGGUUAGAGCAGAUGUGGCUUUUGAAUAAAUUUUUGAGUGGACCCUGCAUGUCAUCCACAGUCCACCCCACUCAACUCUCUCCCUCUCUCGCUGAUGAGCGGGUCUAACCCUUCUUCCUCCCGCUGGCUAGUCCACCCCACAGCACCCCGAGUAGCACCAGGGCCGCAAUGGCAUCCACGACGAUGUAGUCCACAAUCAGGGUGAGGUCCAUGACGGCGAUGGCCUGCACCUCGCCUCCUCCACCUCGCACCACGUGGCGGGCACCGUAGCACCAACGGCAUCUAGGAGGCGGUAGCACCCCGUGGGCACGCAUGCGUCGACAAGGAGGUUGAGGCCGGUCUGUGCUGCCAAGAGCCCGCCCACGGCGCCCGCGCAGGUGAGCCCCACCUCGGUGACGAAGUAGGCUGCCGCCGCCAUGGUGCCCUUCGGCGCGGAGGCGGAGAGUGAUGAGGAGACGGAUGCCAUGGCAGCGGCGAGGAGGAGGAGACGCGCGAUGAUGAGUGUGUGCUGCUGGAGGUCGGAGGCCGGGAGCGAGACGGCAAGGAGGCCUGCGGCAUGGGCGAGGAGGAGGAACGACAGGGAGAGGAGGAGUGGGAGGUGGGGCAGGAGUAAUGGGAGUGGGAGGAACGGGAGCAACGGUGGGAGGAGCAGCAGCGGGAGGAGCGUCGUGGAGGCCAGUGGGAGGAAGGCGAACAGGAGCAUGAGGAGUAGCGGGAGGAGGCAGAGGAAUGGGUGGCGGAGCAGGCGGAGGAGGCGGUGGUGGAGGGAGGACGGGGAGAGGUAGGAGACGGUGGCAAUGAGGAGGUGGGACUGGGAGGUCGCGAGGAGGGAGAAUAUAAGGGCAAGGUGGCACGCGAGCAGCAGCGCCUCCGCCAUUGGGGUUGGGCAGCGUGGUCGGGGAAGUCCCGAGGAGGAGGAGCACCAGCCAGCGGGCGGCGGGCCACUGAGGUGAUUGUCGGGUGGGGGGGACUGGUGCGGGUGACGGGGAGUGGACAGGAAUAGAAGGGGAAAACGAACCAUUAUCCUCCAUAACAAGUGGUAGGUGGGUAAUUUUUUGCCCCAAAAGCAGCUAAAAGCAGGGGGAAGGUGCUUUUGAUUUUGGGCAAAAGCACGUAUGGCUUUGGACAAAAGCACGUAUGGCUUUUAGGCCCUUUGGUUGGCUUUUGGCUUUUGCAAAAGCAAAAGUAGGUUGGAAAGUCCAACCAAAGGCACCCUUAGUUGCUUCAACCAUGAAAUUUUGCGAGGUUGAGAAAAUAGGGAAAUAGGGUGCCUUUUUUGAAAAAAUGUCAGUCUUUCUAUUCUAUUGUGAGAGCUUUGGCUGAGGCUAGGGCCUUCGUGCGAAAGGACAAAAUGAAUUUUCGACUCUGAAAAAUGUCACCCCCCUUGUCCUUUUGCGCAGAGGGGGUUUAGACUCAGCAUGGCUUAUUCCGAGUGUUAUCGCUGCCUUUGAUCGCUUGCUGCAGCCUUUCUAUUCUCUGAGUUGCAAGUUCAAGGCCAAUCACUGUGGUGUUUGAGUGAGAAAAUACGUUUAUGUGCAUAUAGUGUGCAUUCAAUGUUAGACUAUGCAGCUUAGUGCUGCUUUAAAAUAUCUUGCGCAGAAACGUAGGUUUUCAACAUGCAGGAAUGUGAGGUUAGGCAAGUUGUUGUUGCAUCUGAGACUUGUGCAGACACGCAAGUUUUCAAUGCACAGAAACUCAAGGUUAGGCAACUUGUUGUUGCAUCUAAGACUUGCGCAGAAACGCAAGUUUUCAACGUGCAAAAACGCGAGGUUAGGCAACUUGUUGUUGCAUCUAAGACAAAGAUCAUAGGGGGAACUUCAUUUCAUUGAAUAAUGGAAAUUUUACAAGGAUCUACCUCAUUAAAAACAUUGCCUCCAGAAAGGAGGCCCUGUAGCAAGGAAAAGAGUGCAAUCCAAAUUUGAAAAUGUAAAGUGCUAUGGAGUAAAUUCAUUACCCUCAGCGUUGUUUAUAACCUUACAAGCCGAGGGUAGUGUUGAACAAAAUGCUAAGGGUAGUACUCACGCAAGCUAUCGAUAUUCCAAGAGUGUGGCAGCUCCGUGCCAAGCUGAUCCGUAAGAUGAAAAGACCCUGGCCUAUUGCUUUGCGUGACAAGGUAUGGCCCUUCCCAGGCUUCCUAUAGUUUCCCGAGGUCCUCCCAAUUUUUCUUCCUCUUGAUGACAAGGUCACCCACUUUGAUUUCCUUGCGCACCACUUUUUUGUUUCUCCACCUUCUCGUUUCUUGAUGGUACUUGUCAAUAUUUUCAGCAGCUUGCAGUAUCUCAAGCUCUAUCAUGUCUUUUUCAAUUCUUAUAUCAUCUGGGUUAACCUCGGGCUGCAACACUCUCAAGCUAUUGUUUUUUAUUUCCUUUGGUGUCACUGCCUCGGAGCCAAACAGCAAUCAGAAGGGUGUGAAGCCUGUCACUUGAGAUGCAGUGGUGUUGUGGGACCAGAUUACCCUCGAGAGCUCAUCCACCCAUUUCCCUUUCUUCUGAUCAAAGAGACAUUUCUUCAUACCUGAGAAGAUCAAGCCAUUUGCUCUUUCCACCGCCCCGUUUGACAGGGGAUGAUAUACUAAGGUGAAUUUUACUUUAGUACCAAUGCUGGCACAAAACUCUUUGAAAUUAUAACAACAAAUUGCUUGUCGUUAUAAACAAUUAGCUCCCUAGGUACUCCGAAUCUGCAGAUGAUGUUCUGCCAAAAGAAUUUUUGGACUGAGCCCGAGGUUAUAUUUGCCAGCGGCUUAGCCUCGAUCCACUUCGUAUAGUCAACUACUACUAUGGCAAACUUGCAAUUUCCUUGAGCUGUCAGGAGUGGGCCUACUAGGUCCAUACCCCAUCUUUGUAAGGGACAAGUUGGUGAGAUAUGUUGUAUUGGCAGCGAUGGCGCAUUUUGCUAGUUUGCUAUUUUUUGUCAAGCUUCACAGCUUCGCACGAGGCUUUGUGCAUCCUGGAAUGUUGUGCGCCAGUAAAACCCCUACCUCAAUGCUUUACUCACCAAGGCUUUCGAUCCGAUAUGCGACCCGGAAAAACCCUUGUGAAUCUUAGCUACUAGCUCUUUCCCGCUUUCUGUGUCUAUGUACCGAAGCCAAGGGGUCGAUAUCCCAGACUUGUAUAAUUUUCCAACAAUAAUUGUGUAGCCCCUAGCUUUUUGCUUUAAUCUAGCUAGUUCAACCUCAUCAUAGGGUUUGAAGUACCCUCUCAUAUAAGCCAUGAUUUGAGCUCUCUAGUCAAAACUUUAGAUUGCAUUUAUUGUCUUCGGGGUUGGAUCUUUUGUCGAUGGCGUGCGAAUGACCUCGUAAAAUACAUCGGGGGGCAUGGGCUGACUCUGUGCUGCAGCUUUUGCAAGUGCAUCAGCCUCAUCAUUUUCCGCCCUUGGGAUAUGUUGUACCGUGAAGCCCUUGAAAUGCUUUUCCAUCGCUCUUACUGCUGCAAGAUACUUGACUAGCUCCGGCUCUCUAGCCUCGCUAUCCUUUUCUAUAUGCUCUUUGAGUCUGUCUUUAUUACGAAUACUUGCUAACCUAGGGCCUUCAUUUUCCUUAGCCCCAUGAGCAGUGCUUCAUAUUCUGUGGUGUUGUUUGUAGACCUCGCAUCAUUUGCAAAGCUUAGCCUUGCAGCAUAUCCCAUUUUGACUGCCGAUGGCGAGGUUACAAUAGCCAAGAUUCCAGUCCCUCUAUCACACCAGGCACCAUCACAGUGUAUAGCCCAUGGAGUCUCGAUCUCGUCUUGGCUAGCACAUGGAGAUGUCCAAUCUACGAUGAAAUCUGCCAGGACUUGUGAUUUUAUAGCACUCCUUCUCUCGAAGUCCACAACAAAUUCUGACAAUUCUGAUGCCCAUUUAGUGAUCCUCCCCGAAGCUUCUCUAUUUGAAAAGAGAUCUUGUAGAGGUUUGUUAGUAACUGCCAUGAUUCUGUGGCCCUCAAAGUAAUGUCGCAGCUUGCGUGCUGCCAUAACCACUGUGUACACAAUCUUCUCUAGCUCCGAAUAAAACAGCCUCGAACCUGAUAGUGCUUCCGAUGCAAAAUAGACUAGGAUCUGUUUUAGCUUUGCCAUCGACUUCUUUUUCUUGAAUCAGGGUGGCGCUGACGGCUGUAUUCGAAGCUGGCACAUAAAGCAAGAGAGGUGAUUUGGCUCUAGAGCGCACAAUUUGGUCAUGUUCGCCAAGUAGUCUUUGAGGUAUUGAAAAGCCUCACUUUGUUACUCCUCCCACUCAAAAUUUUUAGAGUUUCUCAGGACCUAGAAGAAUGGUAAGCUUCGCUUCACGGCUCUUGAAAUGAACCUGUUAAGGGUAGCAACUCUUCUAGUUAGCCUCUGGACAUUCUUCAGCGAGGCUGGCUCCCUCAUAUCAAGCAGUGCCUGGAUUUUGUCUGAGUUCGCUUGGAUGCCUUAUGUUGUAACUAGACAUCCCAAGACUUUGCCUCACUAAACCCCAAACACACAUUUCUCAGGGUUGAGCUUCAGGUUUGCUGCUCUCAAGUUGGCGAAAGUUUCCGCGAGGUCGAGGAUGUGGUCUUUCCUCUUAUCACUUUUCACAACUAUAUCGUCAACAUAAGCGAGAAUAUUUCUACAAAGCUGUUUGGAGAGGAUGAUUGCUAUCAUUAUUGAGAAGGUUUUCCCUACUAUUUUUAGCCCCAUGGGCAUCCUCACAAAGCAAAAGGUCCCGAAUGGUGUUACCAAUCCUAUUUUUCUCUCAUCCUCUUUUUUUUAUUUUGAGCUAAUGGUAGCCUGAGAAUAAGUCCAAUAAUGGUAACAUUUCACUAUUGGCAGCAUCGUCCACCACCUUGUCUACUCUUUGCAAUGGGUAGUGAUCUUUCAGGCAAGCCUUGUUUAGGUCAGUGAAGUCUAUGUACAUUCUCCACCUGCCGUUCUUCUUUUUGACUGGAAUAGUAUUGGCUAGCCAUUCUGGAUAGAUAAUGGGCCAUAUGACAUUAGCCUCGAGGAGUCUUUCAAUCUUGGCCUUCACUACUUGAGCUUUUUCAUCUGACAUUUUUUGAGCUUUUGCUUUUUUGGCUUCAUGCUAGGCUUGAUGUUGAGGUUGUGCUCUAUUAUCUCUUUGUUGACCCCUUGGAGGUCACUUGAGGACCAGGCAAAAACAUCUUUGUUUUUGUUUAAGAAAUCGAUUAACUCCUUCUCCUCCUCGGGCUUGGGGUUGGCUCCUAUUGUGACGUAUUUGUCAACAACAUAGUCAUCCAAGAGGACUCUUUUUGUUUCGCCAUCCACACUUAUUUUUAUCUUCUCUUUGUCCCUUUUGGGCUCAACAUAUGGUUUUUUCUUUUCUUACUCUUCAGCCUCAUUGGGGGUUGUUAGGUGGUGGACAUUCUUUUGUCCUGGGGUUACACCCUUUUCUAUAUUUCUGGCGGUUUGCUAGUCGCCAUAGAUUGUGAUGACUCCUUUCAGAACUAGGAUUUUCAUGCAUAGAAAUAGUUGCCUGAUUGCUGCAUCGAACUUGUUAAUGAACCCUCUCUCGAGGAUGGUGAAGUAAGGGUAGUACAUUUCAAUGACAUCAAAUGUGAUGCGCUCUAUUCUUGCAUUGUCGAGGUUUCCAAAUGAAACUGGAAGUGCUACCUUUCCCAGGGCUUUAACUAGCCUCCCCCUGAAGCCAAGUAGUGGGACUUCUGCUGGCUCGAGCAAGUGCUGGUCAAUUUUCAUCUCCCUAAAGGUGUUUGUGAAGAUGAUAUCUGCGGAGAUGCCAUUGUCCACUAGGACCUUCCCUAUCUUCCAGCCAGUAAUGGUAGCCUCGAUUACCAUUGCAUCGUUAUGCAAGGUUGUUUUCAAUUUGAAGUCUUCUUCUAUGAAAGAACUUGGCAUGUGUGCCCAUUCCGGCUUAGCUGGGGGACCAUCAGGUAUGAUUGUGUUCACCUGCCUAAAACAAUCUCUUUUUUAGCCUUUUGUUCUUGAACUCGAGGGAACAGCCAUCGGCGAUUGGCAUUAUCAUGCCAUAGGUUGGUAUAGCAUUGGAGUUGUCCUCGCGAUGCUCGGAUUGUUAGGAUCCCCCUGAGAUUGGCAUUAUCAUGUUGUAGGUAGGUAAGGCUUUAGGAUUGUUGUUUUGUGGGUUAAGCUCAGCUUUUGGAAUUUCAUUGGGUAGAUUUGGUGGUGGUAGUGGUAUUUCAUGGUGGGGUUGAGAAGGUACGAAGUUUGCAUUCUACGAGGUUGGUUGAGCACGAGGCCGGAAUUGUGGCGAGUGUUGCCACAUCAUGGUGGGCUAAAAGGUUGCGUGGUUGGGGUUUGGGUAGUAUGGUGGAUGUGGCCAAAAGGUUGUAUGGUGGAUGGUUUUGAGUGCCUCAGCCACUUUCUUUUCUUCGGCUAUUCUUUCAAAAACCUUUUUGGCUUCUUGGCAAAAAUCAGUUGCAUGGUCGAGUUGUUUACCAUGGAAUGUGCAGUAAAAUGAUCUUUGUUGGUUACUUUGGUUAUUUCACCUCGGAGGUCCUCUGCCUCGGCCUCUUCCUCUUCCGACAUGGUUGCCUCUUUGGCCGCUUCUGAAAUUGGGUUGAUGUUGGUGGUAUCGGUUCUGGUUUUGGCCUAGGUUUUGGUUUUGGGUUUGGUUUUUGAAUGAGGGUUGGUUAUCCUUGAUGGCCAGCAGUUGGUUUGGGUGCGAGUGGUGCUGUUGUUGGUGACUGUAUCAUGAAGCUUGCCAGUUUUGACCUUUCUCUGCUUGCCUUUGGCGGUUUCUUUCCACGACCCUUCUUUUAUGGUCUUCAUCUGAUCUGCAAUAUUUAUCCAUCUCUGCGAAUAGGGCUUCCAUUCUUUUUGGCUUUUUCCUUGAUAGCUUCGAGGCUGUUGGCCCCGGAUUAAGCCCCUUGAUGCAGAUCGCUAUGACCAUGCUAUCCUCCACAUCUGGGGUUUGUGUCUUAAGUUGGAAAAAUCUUCUCACGUAGCUUGCUAAAGGCUCUUUAUCUUUUUGCACACAAUUGAACAAAUCCCCCUCAUCAGUCAUGGCUCUAUGAAAGCCUUGAAAGUUUUGUAUCAGUUUGGUUUGAAGAUCGACCCAGCUGUAUACAAAUUGCAGCAGGAGUAGAGAGUACCAAUUUAGUGCUACACCCUCACACGCUAUAAUGAAUGACUUUGCCAAUACUACAUCAUGUCCCCCUGUCGAGGCUAUGGCUGUUUCAUAACUCAUGAGGAACUAGCGGGGAUCUGUUUGUCCAUUGAAUUUUGGUAGUGCAACUGCCUUGUAGGUUGUGGGCCAUGGGGCUGUUUGCAGGCCUAAGGAUAGUGGGGAGCUUUUGUCGGUAGUUGUGUAUGCGCUCAUUGUCACUAGGGUGUUGUGCCCAACAAGGCUAGGAUUCGGGUAUAGGAUGGGUGUGUCAUUGGUGUUGAAGGUUUGAAGUGGUGGCUGCUGCGGCUAUUGUGGUGUGUUGCACAAGUAUUCCAAUUCGUUCAACUCUUGCUGCAACUCUGCCAGCUGCCUUUUGGCCUCAUUUAGCCUCACUAGCUUGUUGGCUGCUAGUCUUUGAGCCUGAAGCUCUUGAGCAAUUUUUUCUUUUUCUUUUUUAAUGGCUCUAGCUGCUUGAGUGCCGAGGCCAUCUCUUCUUCUAUUUCACUAAGGGGUUCAUCUUGCGUGCUUGUUUGCUGCAGAGUUUGGUUCGAGGUCCCCGCCUCAACCAUUCCUUUCUGUGAUCUUGUUCUUAAUUUAGCCUCGAUUCUUUUAAACUUUUUCUGCCUUCUCCGUGUUAACUUGUUCGACUGAGACAAGCUGCCUUUCUUGUCCAGCCUCAUCUUCGAUGGUUCUCUUCUUCUUUUGAGGUGGCAUCGUGGGUUUCUUAGUCGCUCAGAAUACGGUGGGUGCCAAUGUUGGGAAACAGGCUUCAGGAAGGCUCAAAAACAACAAGGUUUGAGUAGUCCUUGCAAUUCAACUCCAAAGAAAUGAACAUACGUUUACAUCGGGGUAGGGCUCUCCUUUUAUAGUGUCUCGGAGGACACUUUACAUUCCGCAAUUACCCUCACUCACCCACCACAUUCCUAGAAUAUGCUUUACAUAGAGGUCUUUUUAAGAGGUAACUUGUAUGAUUUGGUCUCCUCCUUGGAUCACGCUUCUCACACCUUUAGUUAGCUCCGUGAUUCACUCUCUCACAUGGUUCUGCAAAUCACACCUUCACGUUCCAAUGCCUCCAUGCUUCCUGACCUUGCGAUUGAAGCCAUCUUAGCUUCGGGAGUCAUGAUUGCCCUAGCUUCGCACCUGAGAGAUGCUAUGCACCAUGCUCCUUGACCUGAUUCAGCGACCUUGCAUAAGACAGUAAAUAACUCAGCACUCGAGGUUAUCUUCAAGUGCUCAAGGUCAAGCUUGGUUAGUGUUCGGCGAUCAGUGAUUGCCUCCGAGCUUUGAGGUAAGAUUCAGGAUAGCAAGGCUAGGAUUACUUUCCAUGCCAAAUUAACUGCCUGAGGUUAGGGACCCUCACUCGAGAUUAAUUAUUUUUAGGGGCUAAGCUAUUGACGCUAAAUAUAAUGACCUCGAGGUUGACCAUCUUUUUAGGCGAUCCCCAACAAAUUAUUUUCGAUCUUUAUAUUACAGAAAUGCAUGCACACGGCUUGCUUGAUGGCGUUGUCCGCUCAUCUUGCCAUGCCUCGCCUCGUCGCCGACCACACCAUCAUGAAUGGAGAAACCACGCAUGCACUGUGAUAAGUUUAGAGCAUCCUAGUGACGGUAUUCAAGGUGCUCAAAUAGUGGUAUUCAACUUAGAAAAAUUAGUAGCACCGGAAUAUUGAACGGUCAUCGGAGCAACCAUCAGAGCACUUGGUAUGAUUAAGAAAUAAGCUUGAGUUGCAGCAAGCACCAGAUGAUCCGACAGGGUUCUGUUUAUAAGUGUCAGAGCAAUUCGCAGAGAAGAUAGAGAAAUACCUAUAGCACCAGAUGUUCCAAUGGCUAGAAGAUGAAGGCGUUGGACCAAGCAUAUUUACAUUGAAAAAUUCAUGAGAGAUUCUAGGGAAAACUCCUUCAGCACCGGGUCUUCCGACGGUACGUCGGAUGAAUUUAGGCAAAGGUCCAAUGGCUAUAUGUGUCAGUAAGGCGCACUAGAUGAUCCCAUGCUUACCUUAAGUGACCAUCGGAUCGUCCGAUGCUCACAUAUUUUACUAGGUGUUGGAGCAAAUGCCCUUUGAGGUUCAUGGGCUAUUUAUGCCCCCUCCACUCGCCCAUUCAGAGUUGCUGGAGUGUCCAUACAUCGAUUGAUGACCAAGGCUCAUCAAGAACAUAUACAUGCCACCAAAAGUGCAAAAGCGAUAAUCCAAGGCUUAGCACGAGCUAAGAGAUUGAUUAGUGCUAGGAUAGGCCUAGAGAGAGUAGUGCAAGGUGCUGAUACCUUGUGAUUGGUUCAAGGAGUGAUCCACUAUUAUAAGCUUGGUGCACCGGUGGCUUGGGGUCUUAGUGGCUCUCCGGCAAGUAUUCGACCCUCCAGCUUGGUGUGGAGCAGCAUCGACGGCCAUAUGCGAGGGACAAGAAGACUCCUUCCUUCGUGGAGCAGCUUCGUACUUGAGUGCCUUGAAUGCCUUUACUUUCUAGAGUAGUACCUUGUUAGGAUUGGCUCUAGGUUGCAAAACUCUUUAUGGGUGGGAAGUUUCACUAGAUCAACCAUAGAUGCACAUGUAGAUAGCAUGAUCUAGUUUAUGUUUGGAAGCAAGUAGUGGAAGUCAUAGGCUAAGGAUCAGUAGUUCGUAUGUGCUAGCAAUCAUCGCCUCCAGCUUCGUCGCCCCCUCUCCAUCACCCCAUCCCCGUCGCCCCCGGCCCCGUCGCCUCAUCGCCUCAGCGCCACCGUGCCCCGGUUGUCUCAAUCCUCUUCGACGUAUGAUGACUCUGUGCUGCCCCAUCCUCGUCGACAUCCUCCUCUCUGAUGUGGCCCUCGCCUCCUCUCUAAUGACUCCACACUACUGCGGCCACUGGCCCUUGGCUCCUUCUCAACCCCGAUGUCGCCCACACCCCCGGCCGUACAUCGACUCUGGUCGUCGAGCUCACCCCUCUCUUUUCCGACUCCGCGUCGUCCGGCCACCGUCAACUACUCUGACACCUGCACCCCCGGCCGUCUCCCCUCCGACGUGUUGCCCAAGCCCCCGUCACCUCCAUCCUGUCUGACGACACCGCGCCGCCCCCUACACACUUGCGGUGACGUAAGCCCGCGACCGCCGUGAUGACGUAAGCCCCUGCGGCUGCCGACAUCAUUAUGUUUCUUCUGAGCUAGAAUAUGUCUACAAAUUAUAGGAAAUUAUAGAAAAAUUGUAGGAAAUUUGUGUAAGUGUUAGAAAUCAUGCCUUUUUUUUCAAUUUGUACGUGCGUAGAGAAUAGCUAGUAAUUAUAAAAAUUGUUGGAGUAGGUAUAAAUUACAUAGAAAUUGUAGGAAAUUAUUGGAAAUUUGCAAAAAAUUUGUAUAAGUACUGGAAAUCAUACUUUUUUUUAAUUUGUACAUGCAUAGAGAAUGGCUAGUAAUUAUAAAAAUUGUUGGAGUAGGUACAAAUUACAUAGAAAUUGUAGGAAAUUAUUGGAAAAUUGCAGGAAAUUUGUAUAAGUACUGGAAAUCAUGACAUUUAUUUUUCUGUUUCAUUCUAUUUAUAUGUUGUAUAAAUGUUAGAAAUUUGUGUAGGCAUUGCAAAUUAUCUAUAAAUAUUGUAUGAGUGAUGUCAUUAUUGUUUCAUCCUAUUUUUGUUGUCAUUUCAUACUAGUGUUUCAUUCUACUUUACAUAUUGUUGUAACAUGUUACAUAUUAUAAGUGUUUAGUUCUUUUAUAUUAUACUAGGUACAAUGGCAUGAUCAGAUGACGAGAUUAUAUAUGACAUGAUUGCUGGAGGGGCCUCUCAAGCAAAUGAAGAGGUCUAUCACAGCCAGGCUAACAUGUACCUCAACCUAGCUGGUGAUGGCAUUGAGGAGCAAUGACUUGCCGAGGGAGGCAACGUGGAGCAACAAGUUCCCGAUAGAGGCAAUGUGGAGCAACCAAUAUUAUACGUAAACAUUAUUUCAAUUACCAUCUUAUCAAAAGAAACAUCAUCAUGCAACAUUUCAAUUGUCGUUUUUAGCCAUCUAGAUCGAGCAAAAUGCCUCAAAAGAAACAAGGCAAGAACAAGAAAGAUGAGGGCCGUAUCAUCAUCAUAGAAAUUGCUAAAAUAGUGAACCGAUUGCCCAUCCCAAAGCUAAGAUCAAGUUGGUGAAUCAUAUUGGGUUCCUUAUCAGAGAUAACAUUCCAAUCUGGUUUCUGAAAUGGAGGAAACCCAAGCGCAUCCGGGUCAUCACAAACCCGCUCCUUUAUGUCCCUGAUCGAGAGAAGGAAAUGUUAUGGGUACAAGUAAAAGAACACUUCAUGUUCGAAAAUGUUGACAAAGCCAAAGUGAAAGAAUGGGGCAUGAAGAAGGGUGCAAUUGUGUUUCAGACCUAUAAAAACUUGACCAAAGACUAUGUAAAGAAGGGGGUUCAACCUUAUUUCAUUGAGCACACUAAGAUAAGGGAUAUCUGGGAUUCCUUUGUACAGUUCAAGGGCACGAGCUGGGUGUCUAUGGUGAUGACCAAUAAACACAGUGAGACCCUCAAGAAAUAAUUCGAGUGAAACUUCCAAUGAAAAACACUUCACGGACAAGAAAAUGCUCAAGCCAGGCAAAAUCUAGGAGCUCUGGGUGGAUGGUUUGCUUCCCAAGGACGGACGGUCCAUGAGCGGUGGACGGUCCAACCUUAUGACUUACACAACGCAGAAUUGUUGAAAACAAAUGCAUGGCCAAAGUUUUGGCCAAAACUCUAUCAAAUCAAGUCCAAAUGCCACCAAAUUUUAGCCAUAGCAUCACAACAACACAUAGAAGCUACUUCUAAGAGAUCAUCCCCAAAAGAUUGGUCAAUCAAUAGGAAAUCCAAAUCUUGUGAAGAAUACCGCUUUUUCAACCUUGGAAACUUGAAUCGCCCUGAUGUAUGAACUCGUGAGGGGUUAGAUGAAUUCCUUUGGUAGAAAGACUUCACUCACAUCCUAGUUCAUUUCCAAAUGAUCGGUUUGAGUCAAGAAUCCCUAGAAAUCACGAAUCGAACAAAAAACAUGAGAAGGGAAAAACGGGAGAAAACAAGAAUGCGAAGAAGACAAGAGAGAUUUGCACAAAGCCGCUGUCCCCCAACACACGGAGGACUCGAGGAGGUUAGGGCUUCCAUUCCCACAACAAAAACUUUAGUUCAAUACAUGAAUUCGAGUUCAAAUCAUCCGCGGACCUCUAGAGAGAGAAAGGAAAAAACCAAAAUGAAGUGCUAGAGAGAGAGGGGGUGAAAGAAAGGUGGAAGAGGUGCUAAAAAUUUCAGCCCCCAAUCUCUAUCUAUAGGCGCCGACAAAGGACUAGACAACCCCUAAUAGCUACUACUAAGAUAACUACCCAUGUAGGGGUAUUUUUGUCCAAGUUUUUGUACGUUCAUCAGACGGACAUGCCACCUUCUCAACUUUGCUUCGCCUUGAUGUAAGCUUCAUGAUGAUGCCACAUGCCCUCCUUUUUGAACCUCUAACCGCACCGAACUCGCUCCCCCCCCCCCCCGCUUUGAGGCCCAAACCGGGAAACCUGCCAACGUGGUGGUUUUGAGGCCCAAACCACCCAAACCGUCCAUUCUUUGCUUGGCCACCAAGUCGACGUGUGUCCUGUCUCCGCCAAGUCUAGCUUUGACGCCUCCAAGUCGUUUGCUCACGGCUCCCGGGCUGCCUACUUGACUUGCCUCCGUCCUGCUUGACUAGAUCGACGCCGUCUCUAUCACCAUCAUGUUCCCUUGCUGUUCCAGGCACCAUGUGGACCGCCUAUGACUCCACCUAGACUCCUCAGGUCCAUCGGUCCAAGCCUACUCACGUUCAUCCUUCACCGCCCUUGGUCCAUCGGCACGAAACUUUCGCUUGACCUUCACCACAUGCCGUCGGUCGUCACAUCGCAUCCUACACCUGCACAUCACAAACCAAGAGCAAUAUCAAUCUAACACAAUCGUUGUCAAUCACUCAUCAUCCAAGGGUGACCACCAUUGGUCCUUAGCUCUGAGCAACCGAACCAGUCAACAAGCAGCUAUUGUAGCAUCAGGGCCACAUGUCGAUUUAAGCCCAACUUAGCAUCGAAGCAGUGUCACUUCAACAAAAGCCUUAGUGGGAAGAUCCACUAAGGUCAUUGAGGAAGGUCACCCCAUGGAUGACAUCACAGGGACAACCCCUAGUAAGCUUGUUACUCCGGUUUAAAACAAGCUCAUAGUGGUGGCUUAUGGUGCGACUGAUCGACCGACACAAGGCCAAAUAAUACAUGGCAUGCUGGUUCAAGCUGGCUAUGCCAAAGUUGCGUUGGACCGAGUGGUCAACGGUUGGAGAACCUAGAACUAGAAAUCCCUAGAGGUGAUGAGGAAAAGAAUCUAGAAUAAGCUGUCCAUGGUUGGAUUCAGUGGCCCAAGCGCUUCAUGAGGAUUACGCAACCGAAUGAUGAGUCCACCUGUACCAGAAAGGGAUCCAAGCAUGACUCCAACUCCCCCUCCCAUGAAGAAGCGUUCAAUUCCACCUCCACCUCCACCUUGUAAGAAGAAGCAGAAGAAGCAGAAGGAGAAGGCACCACCUGAGAAAUUACCUUAUGAGAUGGCACACGAGGAGUCCAAGGCUGCAGCAAAUGCUUAGUUACAAGCAUGGAUUAAGGCUUGAAAAGAAGAAUGGUUGAAGAAACAGAAUCCAGAGAAACCACUGGAUAAGCGUAACCUUCAGGCUUUCAUCAGAAAAAGGAGGUGGAGAGAAGGAAAAAGCCAGUGAAAGCUCCCCUUUCUGAUUAUGGUAGGUAGAUCACAAAAGCAGUCAGCUCAUAAGAAGAAGAAAAGUGGGAAAUCUAUUUCUUAACUCAGAGAUCCACGUGUGCAGCUUUCUAACUUUGAAAAAAAACCUGCUUGAAUUCGCUAAUGAUACAAAUCUGACAGCAGCACAACUUCGAGGGGAGGCUGACAUCCCAAUGCUCCUUGUGCCUGAAAAAUGGAAAUAUGUGUAUGGUAAAGAGCUUGUGAUUCCGAAGUUGCUAAAUUAUCUGCCAACGAAGAUGCCCAAGCUCCACCAAUGGUAUAUGGAGGCCAUAGCAAAAGGUUUGGCCAUGAUGGAAGUUUGGAUUGCUGAUCACCAUGACUUCCGUGGUGAUGACAUCAUAAUGGCCUUACUAUCAGAACUUUUCAUGCUAUUCAAUCAACAAGCACUAGACAAGUCACUCAUCAGUUGAUGGGUCCUGUAAGUCUUUAAUAUAUUCCUCUAACUUCAAAAUCCCUGCUCUAGUCAUUUUGCAGUGUCUUAACUCCUAUUCAAUUUUGUAUCAUGCAGGAUGGAGAUUUAAACUUGUCGCAAAAAUGGAUACAAUGACAUGCGCUUCAUGGACCCCUCAACAAUACACAAGAAUACUCUAAGGGAUAACCUAGAUGAGACAGCGGACAAUAUAUUUUUGUUCCUAGACAAGCACUAGGAUAAGAAAUGCAUAUUAUUACUGUGGAACUCCAGGUAAGCAUUUUUACCAUCUCUUUCUUUUCUGAGCUAGCACUUAUACAUAAUACUAAUUAGCUUCAAUUUCGAUGUACAACAACCAUUGGAUACUCAUUGUUAUUGUGCCCUAUUGGAGUAUCGUGUAUGUCUUUGACUCCUUGAGGAGACCAAAGGAAAGUUACGCUGACAUAAUGAACACUGUGAAUAAAUGCUGGGCUCGAUUCCGUCGAACUCACAAGGGUGAUUUCAAGGAAAAACUUGAUUGGAAGAUAGAUUUUCCGGUAUGUGUUCUCAAUUUUCACAUCUCGUGAAACUUCCAUUAACAGAAAACAUAUUACAUAACUUUUUUUCAAUAUAUACAGUGUGCAAGACAGCCGAAUGGUACUGAAUUAUGCGGAUACUACGUUUGUGAUUACAUCCAUGCCUUGAUCAGUCCGAGCGGCCAUAUCAGCGAACACAAAUUAACAGUACGUAUAUUUUUCAACAAAAAGUUAGUUCAUGUGUAUAUUCUUCAAAAAUCAAUCCAAGUGUAUAUACUUAGAAUAAUUAGAUUAAGUAUUUCAAUUCAUUUGGUUGUACAUCAACAAAGUUUCAAUCGUUCAAAAAUUUUAGCUUAAGUAUUUCUAAUUCAUUUGCCAAUGACACAGAUGAUGACUAGGAAGGAAAGACUCGUAGAUACAGAAAUUUUCAGGGCAAUCCAAGAACAACUAUGUGGAUUUCUUCUAGAUAAGGUCGCAAAUCCUUUGGGGGAGUUGCACCAUGAUGGGACUCCGAUAGUGCACAAACCGGCCUCGGGUUCAUAAUAGCAGAUACGAUAUGUGUAUGCAAUGUGUAAUAUUAACCAAACAUCUGUUUAUGCACAAUACGACAAUAUUAUCUCAAAUGUUAUAUUCAAAAUAAAUAGAAAUUUACAUAUAUUAGUGUAUUAGAAUCAGUAUAUGUAAAGGAAACAGAUAUAAAAUAUGAAUAUACAAUAAAGUAACAGAAAAUAAGAAAAAAAAGGAAAACUGCAUUAGUACCGGUUGGGGAUACCAACCGGUACUAAUGAGGGCACCUCCCCGCGUGGCAUGGCAAGCCCUUUAGUACUCGUCGGUUUACUCAACCGGUAUUAAAGGUUACAAUUUAUUACUGGUUAUUUCAACCGGUACUAAAGGGACCACCUCUAGUACCGAUUGCACAGUACCAGUUACGGUUCCGGUACUAGAGGGGGGUUACUGACCGGUACUACACGUCAUUUUUCCAGUAGUGUAUAAACUGGCGGGAAAGAUUCCUUCAUCACCGCUAGCUCUUGUACUAGACCGUCAGUGCUGAUGGUCCUCUUCACAGCCCAUGGGACAGCAACCGGCGGUGAUGAACUCGCAUCACUAUCCGUCCAUGGUCCGGCUAUGAUAGGCAACCUCAUCACCACCGACAUUUAUGUGCCAGCAGGCCCCCAAACCACCCGUGAUGCAGGGUUUUGGGGCUAGCGGUGAAGGCCUGUUGUGCAGUAGUGUGCAUACAAUGAUUCAAAAUAAACCUAAUAUUUUCCCUUUAUAUCUUUUUUUCUUUUAUCGUACUUUUCUAGGCCUCACUUUGUAGUUUUUCUUUCAAUUUCACAGUGACUGAGGUGUCAGGUGGCUUGCCGACGCUGAAUGAAACAACCUGAGGUGGGCUGGCCAUGACGGGUACCUAAUAAAGGGAGUGUCUGUCGCACAAGCGUUGGAAGAGCAUCUCCAGCAGUUCCCAGUAACAAUGAAAUGGAUAUUGGAGUAACCCCAUGCACUAAUUAUUGAGAAAUAUUUAUUAAGAGAUUGCUGGAGAUGCUCUAAGGUGAGCUCAUACGAGAUACAUGCAUGCUAGUGCUCAUAUGAUGGUAUGUUUCUGUGUCAUCUAAUACCAACACAUGUAUUCCUUUCUCCAUCACAAUCCUCCUUCGCAUAAGGUGUUCAGUGCUGUUGUGAAAUAAGCAUAGCUCAGCUUGUAUAUUUCCUUGUGGAACCCGCCCAUCAAGGUUCGAGUUAUUGACUUGGCACCGGUGCUCGCAUUUUCCUGAUUAAUUCUAGAAUUUAACCAGCACUAUCCUUUCAGUGGUAGACAACAUGCUCGUCGAUAGCGAGGCACCAUAAGUGACUUCGCCAAUCUCGAGGAUCUGUCGGUUCAGUCUCUUGGAGGUGCUUAAAGGUAGGGUUGCAUGUGUACAGACACAGACGCUCACAUAAACUUACAUAAAUUCAAUGGUAUUAAUACACCCUACCCUUAUCAGCACCUCUAAAACACUAAGCCAAUAGGUCCUUGAGAUUGACCCUUAUGAGCAACUCUGGAAAACUAAGCCAGCAGAUCAUGGAGAUUGACAAACUCACCAUGGGCAGCUCGCCAUCGAUGACUAUGUUGCCUACCACUGAAAAAAUAACAUCGGUUAAAUCCUAGAAUAAAUCUAGAAAAAUAGAAGAAGCGCUAGCGUCGAGUCAAUAACUUGAACCCUGGUGGGCUAUUUACCAGCUGAGCUAAUACUGAGUUCUCUACCCUGGUGGUUUUUGGGAGAUUUGCUUCCUACCUACCGGGACUAAUACUGAGUUCUCUACGUGGCCAGAUUUCUACCACCAGAAAUCUAAUAACUGCAGCCUUGUUAAAUUUAAUUAGCAUUCUUAUUCGUGAUAUUCUGAAUAUACACGCACACAUGACACAUAUCACACAUGGUUUCCACUCCCUUUCUUGGCGCUCUCCGCCGCCACGGACAGCGCAAUGGCCGUCUCUAGCCACAAAUUCAACAGUACGAUGCAAGUCUUUUGACAACUCUCCUGAGCUUAUAAAUGGUUGUAGUGCUAAAUUGCUAAAUGCCACAUGUGGAAUUGAAUCUUGGCACAAACUUUAAUCGUGGGAAACUCGCACGGUAUGAGUUUGGCACAAGUUGGGAUUCCCUGCGUCAAGUAAUUGCAGGGCUAAAAGUAGAGUCCCAAGUAUGUGUUUUGUCCUUUGCAAACGUUGGUUGUUGGCAUUACUAAAAAAUUAGCUUUCUAUAUAUAUAUACUCUAUUCGUCUCACAAAAAACACAAUUGUAUGAUUCAAAUUUGUCCAUAAGGAAUGUAAUUGCAGCUUCUACCCAUUUCUUUUAAACUUCUCAUUUUUUGGAGCAGUGAUGUCAUAGGGUGACCCCCGCUACUGAAAAUGACCAUGAUCUGGCUCUACAAAUGCUUCUUCAUAGGUGGGACAUGCAGAAAGUACGGUAAGCCCACCCCUUUUGUAGAAGAGGGUGACCUUUUGGACCACCCAGAGAAAUAAAUCGGGAUGCGCCUACAAAUCCUUUCUGUAGUAGUGAGAGAAAGAGAUUGCGGUUGAAACAACAAUCCUUUCAUGAAAUUACCGCCUCAUAAGUCAAAUUUUAGGACAACAAGACGGCUAGUCCAUAUUUGUACGAGUUGUGGUUACUCUGCAACUCAUAAUAUAUUUUUUCUAUGCACAAAGUAAAAGAAUAGAAAUAUAUAAUUACAUCGAGACUACUUAAAAAUACAACACAAUGUAAAGGUUAUUUGUUAACUUGCCUCAAGAUUACAUGUUCUCUAUUAGGUAACACCAAUAUAUAUACUGGUUCUAAAGAUUCAAUUUAUCAUUAGCUAGACACAUGGCGAUCAUGUGCAUUUAAAUCUAUAGUGUGACUUGGAGAAAAAAAAAGUAAUCUUCAUCCGUAUGGCCGUACAGUGACUCUCGCUCUUGACAGGUAUUAGUGUAAGUAGCAUAUAUAAAGAACCCUCAUGCACGCUUUGGAUCCCCAUCCCUGCUAGCAUAUAUUCAUUCAUAAACUCACGGGUAUUCUCUCAUGGUCAUGGUGCUCCCAAUGUUGCUGGUUUGUAUGGUAGUGACGGUAGUGAUCACCGUUCAUGUCAUCUGUGCCCUAGAUGAACACAAGCGAAAGAGAUUUUCCGGUGCAUCUCUUCCACUGCCCCCUGGCCCGGUCGCUCUCCCCAUCGUCGGGAAUGCCUUCAGCUUCAUCGGGCCGUUCGGCCACAACCCACACCGCAUACUCACGAGCCUCGCCAAAACCUAUGGGUCCAUAGUGUCCUUUCGGCCAGGCAUGGCAGGCAAUUUCGUGGUAGUGUCAUCCCCUGAAGCAGCACGUGAAGCUCUCAUCAAGAACGAUGCCGCGCUCGCUGCCCGGUUCGUGCCGGACAAUACACGCGCCUUAGGCCAUUGCUCGGAGUCAAUGUUCUUCCUCCCAACCUAUAGCCAUUUGUGGAAGCAGCACCGCAUCACAUUGGGUACCAGCCUCUCAACUGGCCGGGGCCUUGACACAACCCGCCCCAUUCGGGAUCGCCAUGCCUGUCGGCUCAGCGAGCACUUAAGGUUCUGCUCUGGCAUGCCAAUCAAAAUUGGAGAGGCCGUCCAAGGCACAGUGCUCGAUGUUAUGUCCAACAUCCUCUUCUCUAAGGACGGGACGCACUUGCGCGUGAAGGGGGGCCAGUUGUUCAAGGACCUCCUGGUGGAGGUCCUCGAGGACUGGACUAAGCCCAACGUUUCUGACGCUUUUCCCUUCUUCGCGUCACUUGACCUCCUUGGCUCACGCCGCCGAAUCUCCAGAGGUUUGGCUAAACUGUACAAGUUCUUUGAUGAAGAGUUCGUCGAACGUCGGUUAGGCAGCAGUGAGAACCACCACGAUUUGUUGGACUUCAUCCUCUCGCAGCAUGCCAAGUCGAAGCUCACGCGUUCAGAGAUCACCAAGUUCUUCACGGUCGGCUAUACAUAUGAUCUCUGAACAUAAAUAUAAUUGCUGUCUUUCUGCUUUCUGUACAUUUUCUUGGGUAACUGAUAUACUAAUUAACUUACAUUUUUUUAUAUGCAUUUCUGUUCUUAACCUAUCAAUAGGAUAUCUUUCUUGCCGCGAGCAACACAAGUAGGAUCACCGUGGAAUGGGCAAUGGCACUCCUACUUAAGCAUCCAGAAAAGAUGAAGAAGCUGCGUGCUGAGCUUGCAGCGAGCCUUGGGACCAAGGAGUUUGUCCAGGAGAGCGACUUGGACAAGCUCCCCUACAUCCAUGCUGUGGUGAAGGAGACACUACGACUGCAACCAUCAGCACCGCUGCUACCACGAAUGGUGUCCACGGACGGCAUGUCACUUGGCGGAUUCUCAGUACCAAUUGGUACCAACAUUCUGAUUAACCUUUGGGCCAUUGGAAGGGACCCAACGGUGUGGCCUCAGGCGGGAGAGUUUCUGCCUGAAAGGUUUCUGGGCAGCCGAUCACUGGACUUCCGGGGAUCAGAAGACUUCACAUAUAGGCCCUUUGGGGCAGGGCGAAGGAUGUGCCCAGGACUGGACUUCGCUGCGCAGUUGAUUCCACUUUUGCUAGCCUCGAUGUUGCACAAGAUCGACUGGAGCCUACCUGAUGGGAUCGUGCCUGAGGAUGUGGACCUCAGGGAUCGCUACAGCAUGGUUCUGGAGCUCGCUAAGCCCCUCAUUGCGGUGCCAGUGUCAACGGUGUGCCGUGCUCCGCCGUGGCUGAUGUAGCGUAACUUCAUAUCAGCCGCCGGUACACAAGUGGUUUUAGAGGUUUGUGUGGGUGAAUAUAGGGAAUUCAUACCCAAAUCCAAACCCAGCUUAAAGGUAUGGGUAUAUAUAUACACACACUAGCAAAUUUGCUCGUGCGUUGCCACAGAACGUAAACCUUGGACAAAAUACCCGUGCGUUGCUACGGUAAAAAAUCAAUUGUAUUUUUUCAAAUUAAUAAUAUUUUUUAUUUUCAUCACUAAAUUUUUAUUCCACUUAUUAGAUAUCUACACAUUUAAUAGAAAACUAAAAGUCCUCCAUCCAGGCCCUACCUCCUCUCCUCCCCUAGAUUCGGCCGGCGCCCUUAAAGGCUAGCUAAGCCAGCAAUUCAACAUUCGCAUCCCACUUUCAUUCUUAAAGGCUAGCUAUGCCAGCAAUUCAACAUUCACAUCUUUUGUGUAAGCAAUACUGUUUGCGUUGUCUCUGACAUGGGACAUGGCUGGUGCAAACAUGCAUUGCAAAGAGAGCUCUUGUUAUACCCCUAGUUUUCUCACACCAAAGAAGGGGUAUAUAUAUUUGUUUCUUUCGGGUAAGUCACCAGCAACAUGGGCUUCAAGCCCACAAACCAGCCCACUAAGCCAACUCUCUGCCCUCUGAAGCUGGAGUCACAAGGCUGGAGUCUGCUCGGACGUUCUUAUCCACGCGCUCAUGACCGGCCGUCGACCCGCGCCCCACCGCAGAGGCCAUAACCUAUAGCCAUGUAGCCCGCUUGUCAGCCACUAGCCAUGCACCACGUUCUCGUCGUCCAUAGUCCAUCCUCUCCAUGUGCCCCACAUGCACAUUUACCGCCACUAAACACCUCGCCCCCACCCCAUUCUCUGCUCCCUCCCAUGCGGGCACGUGGCUCGUCCGUUUCGCUCCCAUGCCACCGCACAGCAAAACCCCGGCCGACCUGCUUACUUCCCUGAGCAGCAGCAGCGGAAUCAGACCACCGGGCUCGGGACCUCGGGUACACCGAGGGAAAGAAUGUUGGAGGCCGCACGCAGUGGCUCACACCCGUGGUGCUGUUCGUGCUCGUGAACCUCAUCAUCGCCACGUCGCCGUCGCGUCCAAGCUGAUGUCGUCAGGGACAGGGACGGCGGCGCCCGGGGGGUCGACGAGGUGGGCGGCGGCAGGUGGAGGGCCCUCCUGCGUGUGCCAUCCCUCACCGUCGACUGCCUCCGCACGUCGUUCAACUUCUCCCGCCUCGGCGGCCUCGCCGCCGACCACUCGCCGCUCUUCGAAUACGCGGCCUCGGAGCUAGCCUUCCCCCAGCUACCGGCGAUGAGCUACCGGUGACGGGGGUCGCGGCGGCGCCGGGAAUGGUGGCCACGACGAUGAGCUCGAGCGCGAGAAGGUGGUGUGCAUCUAGAGGAGCCGGUCGGAGGCGGCCAUGGAGCUUGCGCCCAGCAGCUGGCGUCCGCGGGCGAGGAGGACGCGGAGGGCGGCGGCGGUCGAGGAGCCGGCGCUCGCGCACGACGUUCUCGUCACCCCCGCGUGGCGGCGGUGUCGAGGGAGGCUAGCGCCGUCGCCGUCGCCGGGCGCGGCAAGGUGCCAGCGGUGGAGGUAGACGCGCGCGCGAAUGACUUCAUCCGGCGGUUCCGGGAGCAGCUCCGGCUGGAGCGCCUCGACUCCAUCCUCCGCUACCAGGACACGCUUACGCACCACGAUCAAUAAAUCAAUUGUUAAACCCACCCGUCAAUGUUGGAUGAAACUAAAAGAGUGGAUAUGGGAAGAAAUGGGAUUGGAUUGUGCACGUGUGUUUAAAAUAAAUGUCAAGAACUCAGCUAUGGAAAUCAUGACCUGAGCUUGCUCUCAGAUUGAACCAAGUUGCACGCACCUCUAUUCCCGUGUGUACCCUUGUUUUACGAACGGUAUAUCUUACCGUCACCUAAUUGGAGUCCUUUUCAGUUAAUCCUUUUCUAGGAAAAAGAUACCCUGUUGAAACAUAUAAGAUAAUGUUUUGGUUUCAUGAAAAUUGAAAUUAAGGAGAGUCGCAGCUAUCUAUUCGCAGCUUACAUGAUGUCACUGUCCUCGUCAUCCUCGGCACUGGCAGAGCGUCGUUGGGGCCUUAGAGGACCACGGCCCCCUUGCUUGGUAAAAAAAAAAAUCAGAAGAGCAAAGUGCAAAUUUCCAGUCCAAGUGCAGUCCGUGGCUUCUUGACACGUAAUUCAGCGCACAAUCAAGAAAUCCCACAAGGCAUUAACCAUAUAGGCACAAACAAACAUUGAAAACAAUAGAAAAAAACAUUGAGCCAAUUCCAGCAACUAGCGGAUGAGACAACGACCUCAGCCGUCGCAAGACGGACGCUUCCUUCACAGUUGACUCAUUGAGGUUGUCAUCGUCGGCUGUCGCCACUCGCCAGGGCUGGCGCCUUGCAGCCUGGUGCUAGAACUUUCAUCCGGCCAUUUUUGUUUAAGCCAGUUCAAGUUAGGGCAAGGAGGAAAGGAAAGUAUGGUUGCUUUUCUUCCUUCUUUUGUUUAUCUUCUAAGUUCUUAACACAUUAGAUCCGUAGAAUAUGCAGGCUACUAUUGCCUAAUUAGCUGGUAAUUUGUUGUCAGUUGAGAUCUAUUGUUAUUUCUUUUGAGAAAAUUGAGAUGUUUCGCUAGUUUAUUUGGCCCUAAUCCCCAAAUUGCACAGUUUAUACGGUUUGGUGGUUUUAUAACUAAAUAGAGUUCUGCAAUUUGGUAGGUAGGUACAAAUGGGUAAAGAGAAGCCUAUUGAUUCAUUUUUCAACAGCAAAAGAGAUGAACCAAUUGUGGACUGUCGAGCAACCUCUGGUUCAAGCCAACCAAUUUCCCCCCUACAAUUUGCUUCACGCUCCGCCACUGAUCCUCGAUCCUCGGUGAGAAUUUUUAACCUCUUUGAAAAAGUCGGCGAUUGCGAAUCUCCACCUGCAUUUUUUGUUCUAAACCUUUUUAAACUUGUUUGUGAUUGCGAAUCCAAGGAGAUGUACCUGCAUAACAGAAGCUAUCUUUGCUGCUAGACAGAUCGAGCAGCGAGCUCACCCAUAACUAUUGAAUCCACAGUAGUGGUUGCCAGGACUUGCAGGCGACAUACCUGUACAGAUGAUUUGAAGUGCAAAACCACUCCUAAACUUGCUGUUAAUUCGAAUAUUAUUACCUUGCCCAUCUAGUAAAACAGAUGCAUCUGCGUAGGCAAAGUUGGACCGCAAAACUGGACAGCUCUCUGUGGUGUUGUUUAGAUGGACGCUGCCCCCUCCCGUUUGCAUGUUUUCUUCCCAGCACAGACGCUGUUUCUUGAAAUGGAUUCUGAAAUAUUGUGGCGAAAUGUCCUUUUCUAAGUGGGCCUAGACCCAUAAAUUCGCGAGCUCCGCCCCACUCACCACUGCCACACCGUAACUCCGCCUGUGCUGUCGUGGCCACUUGCUCGCCUCGUCGCUCUCGCGCGUCACAGUAGCAGCAGUUCUUGAGGCGGCACGCUGCCUGAAAGCUAUGCGAGCCCGUCAGCUCGUCAGACACGCUGCCUGCCUCCCGCUACGCUCCACCUCCCCAUCACCACGCUGCAAGCCGACGCCCGCAAGCUGCCGCUCGGCCACAGCGCCGCUGACACUACGGGAAAGCAUAAAGUCGCCGAGUGUAAUAACUUCGCCGAGUGCUUUUUUUCGGGCACUCGGCGAAGAACCGUGUUGCCGAGUGUAACACCAAAAACACUCGGCAAAAAUAAAACACUCGGCGAACAACCUGUUUGCCGAGUGCCCUCCAAAAAACACUCGGCAAACACCCAGGCGGCACUCGGCAAACUUUGACACUCGGCAAACUGACGCCCACGUGACUUCCCCGUGCCGACGGCGGCGCCCCUCCGUGACGGCCGUUAGUGUUUGCCGAGUGUCAAUAUAGGGCACUCGGCAAAGGCACUAGUUUGCCGAGUGCCAUGAUGGGACACUCGGCAAACUAUAGUCUUUGCCGAGUGUCUUGUUGGGACACUCGGCAAACCCUAUAGUUUGCCGAGUGCUAGGGUGUACACUCGGCAAACUAUAGCGUUUGCCGAGUGUUUUUUUACACACUCGGCAAACAUAAUUUUUUUCCCCUCCUCCACCCUCCAAACUUUUUACACUCCACAUGUAUGGCAUUUGGCACUGCAUGGUAGAAGAUGGACUAUUUUUUGACCUGUUUGCUAUAUUUAAUCAAUUAAUUUCAUUUAGAGUAAUUUUUUGAUUUAAGUCAAAUUUGAACUGCAGGUGGUUGGAAUAAUGGAAUAAUAUGAGUGAAAAAAUCAUAUUGAUGUUAGUGAGUCUAAAUUGAUGUCUCACCCAGAAAAUGAAAACAAAUUUCGAACAUGUUGCUAAGGAAACACGACUACGAACGUGUGGCCAAAUGAUUGUUUAAUUCUUAAAAAUACAAACGAAGUUUGAAAAUCAUGAGAUUUUGCAAGAUGCUUUGAUUUCGUAUGCAGAGGCCGUGGUAAAAAAUUGAUAAGGUUUCGCACAAGUUUUGACAUAUGAUGUUUACAAUUCGAAGCAUCUCCGGAGAGGUUUCAGAGAAGUUCAAAGGAUCCGGUAAGAUUUUGAGAUGAAUCGAUAAAUAUAAUUCACAUUGAGUCCAAAUUUUUUUUUAUAGGCUAUAGAGAACAUAGAUAGGUUCAUGUCAAAUUUUGGGAAAUUUUCAGAUCCGUUUGGUAAUUUUUAUUCAUUAAUUGGACGUAUAUGAAUUUAAUAGAUAUAAAUUAAAUAUGAGCUAUAAAUCCAUGAAAUAAUGGUACAAUAUUACUUAAAAAAUGAAAUACGCAAUGUUUAGUGAAUUGGACUAGGGUUACACAAAGUUUACGUCCUUUUAAUUACUAAAAGUGGUGUUGGACAUGCAAUAUAGGUAGGUGUUUGCCGAGUGCUACCUAGGGCACUCGGCAAAGGGAUGGUUUGCCGAGUGUCACAAAUAGGGCACUCGGCAAAGUCACAAAUAGGGCACUCGGGUCCACGUCGCAGUGUCUGGCAAUGUUUCGGGGGGAAAAACACCCUUUGCCGAGUGCCCCGGAUCUAGCACUCGGCACAGNNNNNNNNNNNNNNNNNNNNNNNNNNNNNNNNNNNNNNNNNNNNNNNNNNNNNNNNNNNNNNNNNNNNNNNNNNNNNNNNNNNNNNNNNNNNNNNNNNNNGACGAGGAAGAAGAGGAAGAGAUCUCCAGCAUCCGGGGGAUGACUCGGUCGAGGACGCGUGACCGUGGAGCAAGAGACCACGCAGCAACCAGCACCAUCACCCAGCACAGGCGCUGCUCAUGCACCAGCACGACGCCCGUACCGGUCGUCGACUUGAUGGAUGAUGAGCCCGAAGCAGAUGCCGAGCACGAGACAUGGACCAAAUGGGUGAAGAUAGAUCAUGGCCAAGGAGUGCAAAUGGCUCGACAUCCUCAGGUGGACUUGUCACCGCUUGGGGUACAGCAUGAGGCCACUCUACAAGUCCUCUCGGUUCACCCACCCUCGCUAUCCCACUUUUUACGAGGUGAAGGUUGUCCUUGGUGAGGAGCACGAAGGAGGAUGGUAGGUGAAGUUUAUUCACCAUGAUGUGACCAUGAGGAGGCCCAUGGAGUCCGACGCGCACUAGGCCCCCAGAAGGGCAGUUGAGGUCGGCUCCCACCCGCAGCCCGUGCCACUGGUCCACAGUUACCACCGGUCCCUUCCUUACGCAGCUAGUGGGGAAGCCAGCCCCUCCACGCCCACUAAUCAGCGGGUCGCCCCGCCCACCGACUUCCGCCGCCAGGCGCCGUCCGCCCCCCUGCCGCCCCGCACCGACCGCCCCACGCCCCCGGCCCCGACCCUCGGCCGCCCCGAGCCGUCGCCGCCAGGCCGCGCCCCUGCCGCCGUCCCGCGCCCGCUCCUCCGUCACCCCUCCGGUAAGUUUAUGUUGCCGCUACACAUCGUAAAUUAGAGUAUGCAUGAAAAUGGAAAUUAAAUGUGAAAAUACUAGAGNNNNNNNNNNNNNNNNNNNNNNNNNNNNNNNNNNNNNNNNNNNNNNNNNNNNNNNNNNNNNNNNNNNNNNNNNNNNNNNNNNNNNNNNNNNNNNNNNNNNNNNNNNNNNNNNNNNNNNNNNNNNNNNNNNNNNNGCUUACCAGGGAUCUAAUAAAAUGAUCACGUACACAUCCUCGGGUGGGAUUAGGACCUAUCUUUACCUAGUAGACAAUAUAGGAGCGUGUAUAUGCCAUGUGAAUUUUGUAUUACUUAUUUAAAUGGUAGAGGAUGGAGGAUCGUCAGUGGAUGUACACGGGUCGCACUAGUCAGAAUACGUUGACCAAUGAAUGGCUUGACAAGACGGAUGCUUUCUUGGAACGGGCGUUUGCAAGUGUCAAUGGAGCUCGAUCGACUUGGUGUCCGUGCAGCAAAUGUGGAAACAUGCGUCGGCAAACCAAGCUGGAGAUGGGCAAACAUCUGGUGAAGAACGGAUUUACGUCAGACUACACCAGGUGGAUCUACCAUGGUGAAUAUGACCGUGGGAGAGAGGAGGUCUUGAGACAACGAAUCGAGGAAUUUGAUGAUGAUGCCGGGGUGGGAGAUAUGUUGAAUGACUUUCAUGAAGCACACUUCGAAGAGGCACGUAGGGAGGAGGAUCCAGAGGCUACCGCUAAGGCUUAUUACGAAAUGUUGUCUGCGGCACAGCAACCCCUUCACGGCCAUACCAAGGUUUCUCAGCUAGAUGCCAUUGCACGCCUAAUGGCUGUGAAGUCUCAGUUUAGUUUGAGUCGAGACGCGUUUGAUAUUAUGUUGACAGUUUUUGGAAGCCUGCUCCCGGUUGGUCACAUCUUGCCAAAGAGCAUGUAUGAGGCACAGAAACUCCUUCGUGCACUUAAGAUGCCAUACGAGCAUAUACAUGCAUGCCCGAAGGGAUGCAUCUUAUUUAGGAAAGAGUAUGCGGAAGCAAAAUACUGUGUGAAGUGUGAAUCGUCUAGAUUUCUGGAGGUUGAUUCGGGUGACGGUCAGAAAAAGCAGCUCGCAAUUCCUGUGAAGGUUCUACGGUAUCUUCCUUUCAUACCGAGGAUCCAACGGCUUUUCAUGACUGAAGAAUCCGCAAAACAGAUGACAUGGCACAAAAAUGGCCGUCGCUAUAAUCCAGAGAAGCUGGUACACCCAUCCGAUGCUGAAGCCUGGAGAAGCUUUGAUGCGAUUUAUCCUGCAAAAGCUCUAGAGGCCCGUAACGUACGCGUUGCGUUGGCAACUGAUGGGUUCAAUCCCUAUGGAAUGGCGGCCGCCCCGUACACCUGUUGGCCCAUUUUCGUUAUCCCACUGAAUCUCCCACCCGGCGUCCUAUUUCAACGACAUAAUAUAUUCUUGUCGUUGAUAAUUCUAGAGCAUCCGGGAAAUAAUAUGAGUGUGUAUAUGGAGCCUCUGAUUGAUGAUUUGCUCCGUGCUUGGGAGGAAGGAGUAUGGACCUAUGACCGAUGCACAAAGACAAACUUCAAGAUGCAUGUUUGGUACCAGUACUCACUGCAUGACUUGCCGGCAUAUGGGAUUUUCUCCGGAUGGUGUGUUCACGGGAAGUUCCCUUGCCCAGUAUGUAAAGCAUCUUUGAAGUUUAUUUGGUUGUCGAAAGGGGGCAAAUAUUCAUCGUUUGACAAACAUCGACAAUUCCUCCCUCCUGACCAUCCAUUUAGACGAGACAUGAAGAACUUUACCAAAGAUGUUGUAGUUACAGCCCCCGCACCGCCGAUGAUGACAGGGGCCGCAGUUCGUGCUCAGUUAGACGCUCUUGAGUUCAAUAAUGAAGAAGGUGGUUUUUUAGGAUAUGGCGAGCAACAUGCUUGGACGCAGAAGUCGUGCUUGUGGAAGCUUCCAUAUUUUGAUGAUCUACUUGUUCCACAUAACAUUGAUGUAAUGCACACGGAAAAAAAUAUCGCCGAGGCAAUUUUUGGUACUAUAAUGGACAUUCCUGACAAGACAAAGGAUAAUGUUAAGGCUAGAGUGGAUCAAGCGACAUUGUGCAACAGACCACAGCUAAACAUGGCGCCUCCAAGAGCUGGCAAGUCAUGGAGGAAGCCUAAGGCCGAUUUCGUUCUGACGAGGGCUCAAAGGAGGGAGGUUCUAGAAUGGUUCCAAACAUUAAUGUUCCCUGAUGGCUAUGCAGCGAACUUGAAGAGGGGAGUGAAUUUAGCAACUAUGCGAAUCAACGGGCUCAAGAGUCAUGAUUACCAUAUAUGGCUUGAGCGCCUCCUUCCGGUGAUGGUUCGAGGCUAUGUCCCUGAGCAUGUGUGGCAGGUGCUAGCGGAGUUGAGCAAUUUCUUCCGCCGGCUUUGUGCGAAGGAGUUAUCUCGUACCGUGGUUGCAGAAAUGGAAACAAUGGCGCCUGUGUUGCUUUGUAAGUUGGAGAAGAUCUUUCCUCCAGGGUUCUUCAAUCCAAUGCAGCAUAUGAUUCUACACCUCCCAUAUGAAGCACGAAUGGGGGGGCCUGUGCAGGGUCGUUGGUGCUACUCAAUUGAGAGAUGUCAAAAGGUUCUUCGAACUAAAUGUAAGAAUAAGUGCAAAAUUGAAGCAUCCAUUGCAGAGGCAUACAUUCUGGAGGAGGUGUCAAACUUCACAUCGAAAUACUACGCUGAGAACCUUCCUAGUGUGCAUAAUCCACCUCCUCGUUACAAUGCUAGCGAAGAUGAAUUAAGCCUUAGCAUUUUCCGAGGGCAACUCGGAAGUGCAAGUGGUGCGACCCGCAAGACCCUUAAUCAUGAAGAGUGGCGCUCUAUCAUGCUAUAUGUGUUGACCAACCUAUCUGAAGUGGAGCCGUACAUGAUGUAAGUCACCGACAAACUUAUUUCGACGUAUUAAUGGUAUCUCUUGCCUAAACGUAUCUUUCUCCUUGGCAUAGGCAAUUUCAUCGUCAAUUCUGGCGUAAAUCAAGGCAACCGACCCCGCACGAAGCUGAGACUCUUCUUAAAGAGGGUGCGGGAAAUGGAAUGCCCGAUUUCAUUUCUUGGUUCAAACAGAAGGUAAAAUUUCAUUUCCGCGAACAUUCUAGAUACUCGUGCAUACGAUUAAUAUAACGAACCGCCCUGUUCGUACUUGCAGGGCCGAACCGAUGCGUCUAUGAAUGCCGAGUUGAGACAGGUUGCCAAUGGCUGUGACUAUAGGGUCAGGUCGUUUGCCGGUUAUGACGUCAACGGAUAUAGGUUUCACACAACAAGGCACGAGCAGAGUCGGCCCAAUCGAAGAACCACAAAUACCGGAGUUUUCACGCCAGGCUCCGAUGGAGUCGAGUACUACGGAAGAAUUGAAGAAAUAUACGAACUCACUUUUCAUGGGUGUAAACCUCUUAAUCCAGUUAUAUUCAAAUGUCAUUGGUUUGAUCCAUCUGUCGUGAGACGGGCCCCUAACCUUGGGCUAGUCGAAAUUCGACAGUCAUCCAGGUUACCAGGAGACGAUGUCUAUAUUGUGGCUCAACAGGCCACGCAAGUUUAUUAUUUGUCAUACCCGUGCCAAACCGACAGCCGUCUUAAGGGUUGGGAUGUUGUGUACAAGGUAUCACCACACGGUAAACUACCUGUACCAAACAAUGAAGAUUACAAUAUAGACCCCGACACGUACGAAGGAGAGUUAUUCCAACAAGAUGGGCUCGAAGGGAGUUUUGUGAUAGAUUUAACCGAAGCGAUCGGAAUGGAAGUAGACAACGAGAGGGUUGCUGCAGAAGACGGUGGAGACGAGGUUCAGAAUGUGAAGGACUUAGAAUUACUUCAACGAUUACAGUUAGAUAAUGACAGUGAUGACGACAUUUCUUCUUCGGAGCACGAGCUUGACUAUAUCGACACGCGUGAUAGUGAUGAUGAGACUUAUGAUCCAGCUAAUCCCGAUCAUGAUGAUUAUUUCUAAUACAUGUAUGAUUCGUAAUAAUUUAGCUAUAAUUACUUGUAAUUUGCAUAUAUUUCUAAUUAUGUUUUGUUUGUCUAUGCUGACUCGUGUACUCUUUUUAAUUGCAGGUCAUCAAGCAAUGGUGGGCGGUAUCAGGAAGCUCACGUCGAUUUGCGAGAGACUGGCCGCGGCAGGGACUGGUUCAGGGUCAGGGUCACGUUCAGUCUCGGGUCGAGGGAGGCGUCGAGGCAGGCCUCGACGUAGGGUUGAGGAGGAGGAGGAGGAGGAGGAGCAGGAGGUGGUCCAGAGGCCUCGAGGGAAAGGUAAAGCGGCGAGGCCCCCGUCGCCUGAACCUGAGGAGGAGGAGGAGGAGGAGGAGGAGGAGGAGGUACCUUCCGCACACUCCUCUGGGGACGAGGAGGCGGAGGAGGAGGAGCAGCAGGAGCAGGAGGGGGAUGGGGAGGCAGGGGAUACCCAGGCCAAGAUAUGGUUGCGAGGUCCCUCAUCCCUCCCGAAGCGGCCGAUACCUGAGCAUUUACGCCCGCUCAUUAAACCGGUUGGGAUCAAGUAAGUAACUUUAAAUAUUCUUGAAAUUGUUCUUAUGUUGUAAGUUACAAAAAAUAAUAAUUCAUAUUAAUUACUUGUGCAGGAGUUGGGUUAAGCUCAGCGGGGGUGACCACAACCGUAAGGCCAACGGGAUCCUUGGCCUUUUGUGCAGGGUUCACUUCCCUGGCUUGGUGGUGUACGCCGGACAGCUGCAGCCGGCCUACACGUGGGACCACUACGUCGCCGCCCCCGACGUCCCUGAUCGUCAACAAAGAAGAUUCCCCAACAUAGCGGAGCGGGUCAAGGCCGAGCUGUGGGUAAGUACUCCUCGUACUAAAUUGCUCAAUACAUCACUACUUUCGACAUUCUUGAAAUAAUAAUUGUUUACGCGUGUAUAUGCAGGACUUCUAUAGAUGCCAGGAGGGGUUCGAGGCCAAGGCGAAGGCCGUCUGUGAUGUAGCCGCCAAGAAGCUCGUGAGGGACAUGCAUUACGAGGCGCGCAUCCAGGCCAUCAUAGAGUUCAACGCUCAAUACAAUCAUACGAAGGUUAGAAAAGAGGAGGCAAGAACAAUGAACCUGACUAAGGAUCAAUUCAUGAGGGUAAGUAAAGAACGUUGAUGCUUACUAUUUAUGAUUAAUUAGGCUCAUUUUCUUUUUCAUACGUCACACGCUUGAUGAUGUAGGUGCCUCCGUGGUGGUGUCGUGCGCAUAUGCCGUGCUGGGAGAGGAUGGUCGACGUGUGGUUGGAGCCCGGGUGGUUGGAGACCCACCUUUCUUGCCGGCAGCGGCGUUUGCAGAUGCCGACUGCAUCACACCAUCAAGGCAGCCUAAGCCUUGAUGAAUAUAGAGAAAAAUGGGUACGCAACUUCAAUUCUUUAUUGUAACGUUUAGUUCUACGUAAUUUUUAAUAAUUUUGUAUUUUGCCGCAGUCGGCGUCACAUGAUGGCCGACCUUGCUCCCAGCUCAAGGCAUGGGUCCUCUCCAAAAAGGGCAAGGCGACGGCCGAUAUAGAUUUCAACCCAGACGACCCGUCCGAGGCGUACAGCCACCCUAGCAUAUACAGCCGCGUCAGCGAGUAUACAAAGAUGGCUAGGGAGGUUCACGGGCCAGACUUCGAUCCGAGCUCCGAGGACAUUGAUGGAGAAAUCGUGAUGAGGGUGGGAGGAGGCAAGAAGCAUGGCCGAUAUUGGAUUGGCGACGGCGUCAUCGACACGGCCUCUACUCCCACUCUCUCCCAGAUCCGAGCUAGGAGCACGGACUCGAGCCCGGCAGUACGCCCACGACCCACCGCUGCACACUUCCAGAUGGAGGCUCUACAGGUUCUUUCUCUUCCAUUCAUCGUUCGUUUGUUGUUGUACUUUAGCUUUGCAUUAUAACAUUGCAAUGAAAUAUUGUAGGCCCAGGUGGAAGAAUCAAGGAAGAAACAAGAGGAGAUGGCGGCGCAGAUGGAGGAAAUGCGGCGGAGGAUGGAGGAGGAAAACCGGAUUAGGAUGGAGCAGAUGUUCCAGUACAUGCAGAACUUUGCUACGAGCAUGGGACAGACUUUGCCUCCGCCACCGCCGAUGAUGUUCCCUCCGCCUCAGCCACCCACGACUACUCCUGUGAGUCACUUGACACAUUGUGUUUAAGAUUCAAUAGUUUAAAUUUGACAACUUUAGAUGUUACCUCAGAAUGUCCUAUCCUAUGUGCAGAAUCAAUCGGCGGCUUCGAAUAAUGAAGAUCAAGAUUUGUCGCAGUGGUCUCCUUGGCCUCCACGGAAGUAGACUUGAUUGUGAACAAUGUGGAAACUAAAUUGUGAGAAGAACUUGGAUUUAUGGAUUAUUUCGUGCUUAUGUUGAACUAUGCCUGUGGUGUUUAUGAAUUAUGCCUGUGGUUGUGAAUUAUUCAUGUGGUUGUUUAUUACAAAUGCCUGUGAUAUGUGUAUUGUGAAUUGAGAGGGGUCCGUUAUACGUGGCAAAAUUUCGAAAAAGGGGCGGUUCUGGUCACUUUGCCGAGUGUUACACUCGGCAAAGAUGGGCCUUUGCCGAGUGUCGUGACCAUAGCACUCGGCAAAGGGGCAUUUCCCAGGUGUAGGAAAGGUCCUUUGCCGAGUGCUAUGGUCAAGGCACUCGGCAAAGUGGGCGGCUUUGCCGAGUGCCCUAGCGCCGGCACUCGGCAAACAUAUCCGACUUUGCCGAGUGCCCGGGAGCCGGCACUCGGCAAAGGGACAGUGUUUGCCGAGUGCCGGGAGCCGGCACUCGGCAAAGGGACAGUGUUUGCCGAGUGCCAGGCGCGUGGCACUCGGCAAACUCGCCGUUACCCGACGCCGUCAGUCCGCGGUUCGCCGAGUCCAUCUAUUCGCCGAGUGUUUUUUGGCCGUCGGCAACAUGUUUGCCGAGUGUCCGAGUUUUGACACUCGGCAAACUAGGCUUUGCCGACACAAUAUUUGCCGUGUGCCCUUUGCCGAGUGUUACACUCGGCAAAGGCUUUGCCGAGUGUUUUCGUGCCUUUGCCGAGUGCCCCAGGCACUCGGCAAAAGUUCUGUCUCCCGUAGUGUGAUGCCGUGCGUUUGAGCAGCCUUUUUUUUGUUUUCUAGCUUUUUUUUAGAUUCUCACAAAUACGGAAAUAUUUCAAAAUCUGGAUCCAUAGCUUGACGUCAUCCACACUGUCCACCGUCGUGUUCUUCUCCGUUCUCCCUUUACUCCUCCCCACCGUCCGGCUCUUCGUGUCGUCGUCAGCCUCCCGCCGGUCCUCCCUGCCUUCCACCCGCCGCUGGCCCUCGCCGCAGGGGGCCGCGCCGGCCAGCAGGGUGCCACCUGCACUUGCCGCCAGGCGCUGCCGACCCACCAGCCGCCGCCUCCUAGCCACCGGGCGGAGUGGGCACAAUGUGCCGAUGACACCCCACUUCACCUCCGUGCCCUCUCUCGUUGGAAGGUAAAUUUCUUAUUAGUUUUAAUAGUGAGAUAUAUAGAAUAGGUAGGUAGAAUUGUUAAAUAGAAUUUAGAUAGAUAGAUAGAUAGAAUAGUUAGAUAGUUAGUUUGAAAGAUAAUUAGAUAGAAUUUUCAUCUUAUGUAAUUUUCUUUUUAGAUAUAUAUAGUUAGAUAGAUUAGUUAGACAGAUAGUUAGAUAGAAUUUUAUUCAUAUGUAAUUUUUUGACUUAGAUAGAUAGAAUAGUUAGAUAGAUAGUAAUAUAGUUAGUAUGAUAGUUAGUUAAAUAGUUAUAUACUAAGUUUAUAAACUUGAUGGACAACGUAGUGAGCAUAUAUCAUGAAGGUACCAUGGAAAGAGAUGAUUAUGGAUGUGUUAAGUUUGUUAACAUGCAAAGCAUGGUUGUGUUAUUAAUUGAGAAGCCCUCAUUUAGUGAGUUGGUUGCAAGUGCUCGGGAGGAGCUAUAUUGCCACGAAGAUGAUGACAUCACAGUGGAGGGCGUACUUCACCUAGUUUCCCCUUUCAACAUCCAAAGGAAGAUGAUCCCAAUUUGGUGUGCAGAUAAGUGGGAGAAUGAUGUGAGAUCGGUUAUGAAGCGCCAGUUCUAAAGUUUGGACGUGGUUGUGCGUCGGGUGUUAGUUGAUCCCAUCCGUCAUCGGUUUUCCCGACCAAUGGGUCAGCAUGCACACUUUGACCCUUUCAUCCCAGAACCUAUUAUGGAUGUGGAGGUUGCACGUACGGUUCCCGAUGCUGAAUCUGCCCCCAAUGAGGUAGUUGGAGAUGCUUGUCGGACACUUGAUGCUGUGGUAAAACCUCCUCAUGAGAUCCCUUUGACACAAAAUCGUCCGAGUAAGUGUCUUAUCGGCACGCUUCUUGGGAGCUAACCUCCUUCAUUACAUCAAUUUUUUUUCUUCCUUUCUCAUAUUUCUAUCAAUGUUUUAGGAGACAUUCCUGAAAAUGUGGAUGUGCCCCCAGUUGCUACUCAACUGCACUGUGGAGAAGGAUUACGUGGCUCUAAUAGUGUUGAAAUUAUGAAUGAUUCGGAUGCAUAUGAGAUGGGAAUGUAUCUUGAUUCUGAUAAUGAUCGCCCUAUUGGAGAGAUGACAGAGAGUGAUGUUGAGAUGUUCAGGCGUAUCUUUCCUGGCCUUCGUGAUCCAAGAGUUCACGAGUUCAGUGAUCUUUCUCAUUCUGAUCAUGCGUGUGUAGAGGGAAGUGAUGAUGAGCUCCUAGAAGCUCCUGAGGCUGGACCUAGCAUAGUGAUUGAGGAGGGUAGGGUAUUCAAGGAUCUCCCCACAUUGAAGAGGUGGUUACAGGCGUUUGCAGUGAUACAGAAGAGACCUUAUAAGGUCUUGCAUUCAUAUGCAGAGCACCGUUACACAGUUGUGUGUGACAAGUAACAGUGCCCAUGGACGAUUUGUGCAAGGAAGAAAAAGAUCACCGAGAAGUGAAAGAUCACAAAAGUUGUUGGGCCACACAAUUGUGCUAACACUAGAACAUCGAGAAGUGGAAGAUCACUGGAUAGAAUGGUAAGUCAAGUACCUUACUUUCCCAUGUUAAAUUACUUAGUGAUUUACUGGUUUACUUUUUAUGGACUUUGUGGACUCUUGUUAUGAACUAUUUUGGACUUUCAUUAUGGACUAUUGUGCAUAUAGACAUUCAUUAAUGAAGUUUUGUGUGUAUGAACUAUUGUGGACUUUCAUUGUGAAUUAUUAUGUGUAUGAACUAUUGUGGACUUUUAUUAUGAACUAUUGUAGAUUUUCAUUAUGAAUGUGGCAUAUGUUUGUAUGUUUGAACAUGUUGUAUUCAGGUAAAAUAUUCAUCUCAUAAUUGUGUAUGAAUUACAUCCAAAAAUACGGGAAAUUCUGCCGAAAUUUCACAAAAAUAUAGGAUUGCAUUUCGCUUACAAAAAUUCUCCACCAUGUAAGCUUAUGUGCAUUAGGCAUGUGCUCACAUAUUUCUCGCAAAGAAAACGACAUCGCACAUACUACUAGGGUGUCCAUACUUAAAGUGCAUUACAUGACAACAUAAUGAAAAGUCCAACAGUAGACAACAUGUUUCAUAAAUAAACUAUCAGACUACAAGUAAUGGAGACUACUGAGUGCAACGAGUCCACUUUCCCUUCCUCAAUCGCUGCUUUCGCUCGGCGCGCAUGCUCAAGCUUCUUCUCCCUCUCCUACCUAUCGAUAGCAACACACCUCCUUUCCUCCUCUUCCUUGUGCUCCUUUUAUGCAGCCUCCUCUCUGAGUCUCUUCUCCAUCAUCUCCUUCCUCUCUGCUUCCAACCGCAAUAUUUCUUGUAUCUCCUCCUUGUCUUCAGGCUUGAUCUCGGUGUUGAUCCACUGCUCAAAAUCACAGAGCGGUGCAGGGGUCUACAAAAAAUGCAAUUGUUAUAAAAUAAAAAAAAUCAUGUAAAAUAAUUAUAACCCAACAACAAUUCCUCACAAUCUUGUUAAUGCAGUGUUGACGAAGUGUAGGCUCAAACUUAAAAUUAGAACACAUUUAGUACCUCUACCUAUACGUGUCAUCUGCAUCGGACUUGGCUACCUUGCAAGGAUCGCUGCAAAAGCACAUGGGUAUUGGAACACCACUAGGCAGAGGCAAUGGGUCAAAGGCAUUUCCGGUCAUCCGGGCAUAACUACAAUUUAGUCAUUUUCGUUGUAAAAACCGAAAGCAGUUAACAUUAAACCUACACCUAGGGUUUCCAUUUGAUCCACAAGAAUGAAUCCAUAACAUAACUACGUGCGCUGACCUUACCUUUGUUUCCUAGCUUUUCCACGCCUUGGCAUCCUAUGGUUGCACGAAACCCUAUGUUCAAAAAUCUGACUAAUAUAUAGCGAAUCGAUGUGAAAAAAAACUUGGAGGGAGUGGAUAUCUUGCUCUCGAAGAUCCAUGGAUCAAAUAAAAGUUUCUAAGAUUUAAUAUGCCGAUUCGUGGUGUAGGGCGAAGGGGGGAGAGAAAAAACCUGAGAGGGAGGAGAAAGAGGAGGAAGAAGCUUCGGGCAAGAAGAAAGGGUGCGGCCUUAUGGUAGCAGGUUUGGCUCCAGGCUGGCUGGCACAAGGCCACCACUAUGUCAGCUGCCCCGUCAGCAGCUGUUGAGUGACCUAGGUGUUGGGAUAGCCGGCGCCGAGAUGCCUAAGCUUGGCGCCAGCGUGGAUGGCGCCAAGUUAUGGGUCCAGAUUUUGAAAUGUUUCCGCCAGAUGCGUAUUUGUAAGAAUCUUUCAGAAAAAAGGCUAAAAACAAAAAAGUUAGAUGUUUGAGCCGCUCCACAGCCCUUACCAUCACCGACUAUAAAAGGCAGGGUCGAGCGCCUCUCCGCAACCGAACUUGCCGAGCCGCCAGCUCCGCUGCUCAACUUCUUGCAAUUCUGCCUGCAAUUUAUUUAUGGAGUGAUCGAGAAAUUGAGCGAGUUUGGAGGCUAGUGGUUGAUACGUUUUUUGCAUCGAAUUGACAUUGAAUUAGUUUUCUUUGAACUGCCAUUUCAAAUGUUUUUUCUAUAGUUGCAUGUGAAACACGUCUAUUGCCGCUAAUCAAUCUGUCGACGCUUUUUUGGGCCAACACAUGAAUGUACGCGAUUGUGCGGCGCGUGGAGGGGCUCACUGUAGCACGUCGAUGCAUGCCGGUUUGACCACUUACGGUCUGACCGGUUGUUAGGCCACCUAGUAGUAGAUUGGAAAAUUUAGGGAAAAAGAAUAAAGGAAAAGACAAUAAAUAGUAGCUUGGUUUUUUUCGAUUAGGUUGGAUGCCCUCAAUCGGCCGAAUCCCUUUAUAUUUCUAAGGAGGGAAGGUCUUUAUAUUUAUAGGAAGGGAAGGUCUUACCCAUGAGGGAGUCAAAAUCCUAAUAAAAAUCGUGCUAAAUUAAAAGUUCUACUCGGUUUACACUGAGCCAGAUAGGUCAGACCAGCCUGGGCAACCUGUCGGACCAGUCUGCCCGGGUGUAUAUCUUGCGAAGGUCGUAUCUCUCUCAUCCGAACUUCAAAUCGGACGUUCUAUAUAAGAAUCUUGAUCUACUCAACAAGAUACAGGAAAUGGUAGAGUCCAAUCUUCAUUUGGAGCACUUUGAUCCAACCAGUCCGACUGGUGGCAUCAGGACUGGUGGCAUCAGCUGGUCUGACCUGUCUGUACGGGGGUGCUGAUCUUUCCGAGGGCAUAACUCUCAGGUCCGAAAUCCAAAUCGGACGUUCCAUAUAUGCAUUUUGAUCGCCUUGAUGAGAGAUAUGUCCUGGUGAAGUCCAAUUUGCUUUUUGAGAACUUUCCCAAACCGGUUUGACCGCUUGGAAGACCGGUCUAAACAUGUCUGAUCAGAUCUAUCCAGACCUGCCACUUUUCGGCAUCAACACGAGUUUUCCAGUAGUGACAACACAACAACUGUAUUACCCACGGCAUGAAAAUAACACAUAACAAGAAGCUAUGUACCACUAAGCAACACAAUCAAUACUCUUGCAAAGGGGGCGAAACACCAAAGGAAAUGGCGAUGAAAUUGAAACCCCGCCAACAGAGCUUUGCUUGAGCACGUACAGCUCUUUAUUACAGAAACAGUAUAGGAUACGAUCGAUGUGCCAUCAAGCAUAAAGCAGCAACACUUAUUUCUUUUCUCAAAGCAAGCAAGAACAGAACUGGUCAUCAAAGAAGUUGACGGGAUUCAUUCAUUCAGAUGGCCGCCGCGGUCGGUGUGCAGCGGCGCUUGCAGAAGUUAGUGAGGACGUCGACGCACCGGUAGACAGGCGCCUCGGUGGUGCUGGUGUACUUGACGCAGUUCAUGCACGCUGGGUGGCAACCCUGGAACGAGAUGUCCAGGCAACUGCAAUCUGGUGGAUUCUUCCUGUUGCAGAAGCCGCACUGGUUGCAGCACGGCCAGGAGCUCGCGUUCGCGGCGUCGUCAGCGACCGCCGCUCCUCCCUCCUCCCCGCUCCCUGCGGCCACCAAAGAUUAGUCGACGCAUCCAGUUGAGUUGAGUUGAGUGUCAAACUGUUAAUUUCUCACCUUUGCUGAGGAGUGGCAGAGUUGCGAGGACGGCGAGGACAGCCAGUGUGACGAGCAACACCUGAGGUCUCAUGCUUGUUUCUCUUGGUAUGUAGGAAUACAGGGUGUUGCCAGGUUUGUUGUGGUUGGACUUCCUUCCUACUGAUGGGUGAUGGUUAUCUGUAUGAGGCUAGAGGCCUUAUUAUAAGAGGAGGGGGUGCCAUGACAGCUGUGUGCCUGCCAAGUUAAGGCUAGCUUGGCACGGCUCUUGAACAAUGGCUUUAGCUCUAGCUUAUCUAAUGAUCUUGUAUGUUGGAGAAACAAUCUUUUAAGAUAGAUGGAAGAGGUCAAAUAUCCAAAAUACCCUUAUUUAUUUCCUUUCUUUUCUCUUUUCUUUUAAUUUCUUUUUCUUUCCCGGUCAUUUUUCUUCCUUUCUCAUUUUUUCCUUCACCAUUUAUUUUUCUUCCUUUCUUAUUUCCUCUUCCUUCUAUCCUUAUCUUCCUUUCCUCAGCUCCUGCAGAACGCCGCCCCUGCCUCUCAUGACCAUGGCCAUCACCCGCAGCUCUUCCGGCUCGACGUCCCUGCCUCCCCACUCCUCCAACUCGACGCCCUAUCUCCCCUAGCCCACUCCCUCUCCUCAGCCCGAGCGCCCAACAACCCCUUCCUCCCAGCACGUCCGGCCUCGCUUAGCAGUUUGUGCGGCACGCCUGCAGCGUCGCUUGUGCAUCCAACGUGCUCGCCCCGUCCCGCCGUGCUCCACCCACCGCCGGUCAGGUCAGCACCGGCGUUACUCCGUCCGUGCCACUGCACCAUCCGCCACCGCCCACCAACACAGUGGUUUCAAGAAAUUUCAAACAAUUUAAAUAUUUGAUAAAUGAUUUCAAAGUUGUUUCAAACUUUUACAAGUGAACAUAAAUGUUAUUUAGUGAAUGUAAAAAAUAUAAUUUCAUACAUAACACAGAUAUUUUGACUAGUUAGUUCACAUGUCCCUAUAGGUUGAAACACCUCAUGAGUUAUAGGGUGAUCAUGACUUGGAUAUCCAUUUGAGAAAAACGUACUGUUACAAUAUCUCAAAAUUAUGUUAAUAUUUUUUAAUCCAUGUUGGUUCACUGCUGAAGUGGUUACAUGCAAAAUAUCAUGAAAAACAUUCCCCCUUAUAUUUGAUGUUUUUGGAGCGUUCCCGAGCUAAUCUCGGUCAAGCUCCAAAUGGAAGGUUGACUAAGAUAGAAGAUGCCCGCGGUCUUAAAUGGGUACUUGCGUUGCCCGCCAGCACAGAGGCUAGUAUGCUUACGAGUUCUCCCCCGCAGGUCCAAGGAAGAUUUGUGCUGGUGGGUGCCAAUCAAACCCACCAGCACACUAAUUUACCUGUGUGAACACAAAUUAAAUCUGGCGUAGUGUUUUCUUAGUAUCUUUUGCUGUGGUGAGGCAUGUGAGUACUGCUGGCACGAUCAUCAGCUUGUCCUGGGCUGCUGCUAAGCAUGCACCACGAGCCAAAGGUUUUCGGGAUGCUCAGCUCAUAAGGAAUUGACUGAAAGUGACUGUUCGUUGUGUGAGCUAGCUGUCUCCACUGGUGGCUUCUGAAUUAUUGGUCCUAUAUACAUGCACCACGCGCAACAUAAGGGAAAAAAAGUCUGCAACAUGUGCGGCACUGGAUAAUUGAGCUAGCAAUAACAGUGUUGUACGCUUGUCUAUGAGGGAUGCAUGGUGCCUAACAAUCACAAUGAUCUAUACUGACUACUCCCUCCGUUCCAAAUUAUAAGUCAUUCCAAGAAUCUUGGAGAGUCAAAGCAUCUCAAGUUUGACCAAAAUUAUAGAAAAAAUUAUAAAGAUUCAUAACAUUAAAUAGUUAUACUAUGAAACUAUAAUUGAUGAAGAAUCUAAUGAUACUUUGUUGACAUCACAAAUGUUAUUAUAUUAUCAUAUAAAUUUAGUCAAACUUGAGAUACUUUGACUCUCCAAGAUUCUUAAAAUGACUUAUAAUUUGGGAUGAAGGGAGUACAUCAUAGCUUGUCUGCUUGCCUAGUGCGCGUGAACCAUGAGGGCAGGACUAGUGGCUGCACACUACUCCACGAGGGUAGGACUGGUGGCUGUGCAUCGACAGAAUUCACUAUUCGACACUAAAAAAACUAAUCGUGACACUAAACAAAUUUUGGUUCCCGUUUGAUACUGAGUUCAAUUUUCAUUCUUUAUAUAACAUUCUGUUGGAUUUUUCAUAUGAGAACCAUUAAAUGCCCGAUGAAAAGACGAUUUUGCCCUUGUGAGCCCCACCACCCUUCUCCGAUCUACUCACCUUCUCCAUCCGCUCUAUUGUACCUCCCCCACUGCUCCAUCCAUCCUCCUUAUUUAUUUCCAAGAUACCCUUAUUUAUUUCCUUUCUUUUCUCUUUUCUUUUAAUUUCUUUUUCUUUCCCGGUCAUUUUUCUUCCUUUCUCAUUUUUUCCUUCACCAUUUAUUUUUCUUCCUUUCUUAUUUCCUCUUCCUUCUGUCCUUAUCUUCCUUUCCUCAGCUCCUGCAGAACGCCGCCCCUGCCUCUCAUGACCAUGGCCAUCACCCGCAGCUCUUCCGGCUCGACGUCCCUGCCUCCCCACUCCUCCAACUCGACGCCCUAUCUCCCCUAGACCACUCCUUCUCCUCAGGCCCGAGCGCCCAACAACCCCUUCCUCCCGGCACGUCCGGCCUCGCACCUCCGGUCCACUUAGCAGUUUGUGCGGCAUGCCUGCAGCGUCGCUUGUGCAUCCAACGUGCUCGCCCCGUCCCGCCGUGCUCCACCCACUGUCGGUCAGGUCAGCACUGGCGUUACUCCGGCCGUGCCACUGCACCGUCCACCACCGCCCACCAACACAGUGGUUUCAAGAAAUUUCAAACAAUUUAAAUAUUUGAUAAAUGAUUUCAAAGUUGUUUCAAACUUUUACAAGUGAACAUAAAUGUUAUUUAGUGAAUGUAAAAAAUAUAAUUUCAUACAUAACACAGAUAUUUUGACUAGUUAGUUCACAUGUCCCUAUAGGUUGAAACACCUCAUGAGUUAUAGGGUGAUCAUGACUUGGAUAUCCAUUUGGGAAAACGUACUGUUACAAUAUCUCAAAAUUAUGUUAAUAUUUUUUAAUCCAUGUUGGUUCACUGCUGAAGUGGUUACAUGCAAAAUAUCAUGAAAAACAUUCCCCCUUAUAUUUGAUGGUUUUGGAGCGUUUCCCGAGCUCCUCUCGGUCAAGCUCCAAAUGGAAGGUUGACUAAGUUAGAAGAUGCCCGCGGUCUUAAAUGGGUACAUGCGUUGCCCGCCAGCACAGAGGCUACUAUGCUGACGAGUGGUCCCCCGCAGGUCCAAGGAAGAUUUGUGCUGGCGGGUACCAAUCAAACCCGCUAGCACGCUAAUUUACCAAUGUGAACACAAAUUAAAUCUGGCGUAGUGUUUUCUUAGUGUCUUUUGCUGUGGUGAGGCAUGUGAGUACUGCUGGCACGAUCAUCAGCUUGUCCUGGGCUGCUGCUAAGCAUGCACCACGAGCCAAAGGUUUUCUGGAUGCUCUGAAAGUGACUGUUCGUUGUGUGAGCUAGCUGUCUCCACUGGCGGCUUCAGAAUUAUUGGUCCUAUACACAUGCACCACGCGCAACAUAAGGGAAAAAAAGUCUGCAACAUGUGCGGCACUGGAUAAUUGAGCUAGCAAUAACAGUGUUGUACGCUUGUCUACGAGGGAUGCAUGGUGCCUGACAAUCACAAUGAUCUAUACUGACUACUCCCUCCGUUCCAAAUUAUAAGUCAUUCCAAGAAUCUUGGAGAGUCAAAGCAUCUCAAGUUUAACCAAAAUUAUAGAGAAAAUUAUAAAGAUUCAUAACAUUAAAUAGGUAUACUAUGAAACUAUAAUUGAUGAAGAAUCUAAUGAUACUUAGUUGACAUCAUAAAUAUAAUUAUAUUAUCAUAUAAAUUUGGUCAAACUUGAGAUACUUUGACUCUUCAAGAUUCUUGGAAUGACUUAUAAUUUGGGAUGAAGGGAGUACAUCAUAGCUUGUCUGCUUGCCUAGUGCGCAUGAACCAUGAGGGCAGGACUAGUGGACGCACACUACUCCACGAGGGCAGGACCGGUGGCCGUGCACCGACAGCAUUCACUAUUCGACACUAAAAAAUCUAAUCGUGACACUAAACAAAUUUUUGUUCCCAUUUGAUACUGAGUUCAAUUUUCAUUCUUUAUAUAACAUAUGAGAACCAUUAAAUGCUUGAUGAAAACACGGUUUUGCCCUUGUGAGCCCCACCACCCUUCUCCGAUCUACUUACCUUCUCCAUCCGCUCUAUUGUACCUCCCCCACUGCUCCAUCCAUCCUCAUGUCCAGGUGAGAGCUUAGGCACCAGGAGCUCACUACAGUUCUAUUUGUGUGGUUAUUGUCAUCGAGGAUGGUCGGGACAGUGGAGCUCCAAGGGAGGGGGGUCAUGGCAGGCUGAUGGCUCGAGUCACCAAGGAAAGGAUGAUUCCCGGCGGGGUUGAGCUCGUCCUAGCCAACAAGCAGGUCGGGGAGGUCGAGCGCAAGGUGAGGGAGGUUUGGGUGCGACGGAUUGGGUUUUGGCAGAGGUGGUGAGAAUUUGGCUGGCGAUGAGGUUCGGUGGCUGGUGGCAGUCGCAAGACAUGGAAUUCCCAGCACUAAGUAGUUUGUGAUUGGGCUGGAACUAGCCUGGUGUCGGGGAUACAUCCCCAAUACCCGCAAGGAAGGAAGAAGUCAGACUCCUACUAGGAUUCCCUUGUAAUCCGACUAGGACUCAUACCGUGUACUCCUACUAGGACUCCUCCUUGUAAUCCGACUAGUACUCUGCCCCCUGGAGUAUAUAAAGGAGGGUAAGGGUACCUAGCUCGGUAGGUCACACCUCAACACCCAAGCGUAGGGCGCAGUAUACAAAUACCCCCAAACAGGACGUAGGGUAUUACGCUACUCCGGCGGCCCGAACCUAUCUAAAUCCGUGUCUUGUGUCCUCGCUUUUACCUUCAAGUUCCAGGUCCGGCGAUCCCCCACUACACAUUCUGCUACCUCGGGUACCCCUUGGUAGACGGCCGAUAUAAAUCACCGACAUUGGCGCCCACCGUGGGGCAGCUCGUCGAGAUCAUCAGGCGAGCUUGAAGGACCUCAUCUUCAAGCCGGCGUUCGCUUUCAAAGCGGGCACAACCUUCGUCUUCGACUCCUGACUUUGCAUCACCGACGGCACUGGGUCCUUCCAAUGCUGCAUCAUCGACAACCAGGAGAAGAAGCGCCUCGACGGGAACUCUCUUCCACAAGAAGCAGAAAAUCUCAUUGAGAAAAUCGACAAAUUAAACCUUGGAUCAAGGUUCGACUGCAAACUCGUACUCCAACGGCGACUUCGGGUUCGACCAUGAUUCGAACUCGAACUCCGACGGCGACUACGGGUCUGACUACAACGCGGAGUCCGACAGCGACUCCAGGUCUGGCUACGACUAUGAGUCCGAUGACGACUCCGGGUUCGAUCGCAACACGGAGUCUGACGGCGACUCCAGCUUCAACUCCGACUCAAAGUCUAACAGCGACUCUGAGUUCGACUACAACUCAAAAGUCCGACUACAUUGCGAGCCCUCCGACGACUACAGGCGGCUCGUCGAUGAUUUCUUGGACUAUGUUGCGGGCACGCCGACGACCACGGUCGACUUGCCGACGACUCUGUUGACUACGGGCAGCUCGUCGACGACUUCAACUACGUUGCAAGCUCGCCGACGACUACGGGCGGCUCGGCAAUGACUUUGACUACUUUCCUCGACUACUUCGCUCGGCAACACAUUGAUGACUACUUCGUCAUGACGCUCGCCGACGACUUCUCCGAGUACGUCACGGCGCUUGCCGACUACUACGGGCAGCUCGCCGACGACUACUCCGACCACAUCGCGACGCUCGCUGACGACUACUACUCGUCUCGACUACAAGGCUAGUCGAGGGCGGAUUACAACUCGUCUUGACUAAAAAAUUAGUUGGGGCAAACUUCACAUCAUCGACAACUAGUCAGAAUCUCCUCCGACUAGUCGAUUUCGUUAACAACCAUUACGGCUUCAUCAACGACCAUCACGGCUUCGUCAAACAAUCAUCCACGAAUCAAGCUAAGUCACUUUUCUAAAUUAUUUUCCGGCUUACUUUCCGCUUGCGCGCAACACGCGCUCUACUCGCUGGAAACUCUCGCGCACAACAUGCGCUCUAUUCGCCGGAGGGCAGCAAACUCUUUCGCGCUACCUCGCUCUCUUUUUAUCGCAACAGUGACUAUUCCUUUUUGUCUUCUCUUAUGGUCACUACUCUUCUCGAGCAGAACAUGCCUUAACUCGUGAAAGCCUCAGGCGCAUCUGUCACGCCUAAGCCUAUACGUGUAUACGAGACAAAGGUCUCACACACGCAGUGGCAACGGCUACCCAGAGACUGAGAGUCUAAGCAUAACAGGCUAACUACUCAGGAAGAGUAUGACUAAAACAAGAGCUUGACUCGCAAUCAUGCAGUCUCUUUCUUGUCGCAGCAGCGACUACUCUCACUUUUGUCUUCUCUUAAGGUCACUACUCUUCUCGAGCAGAACACGCCUUAACUCGUGAAAGCCUCAGGCGCAUCUGUCACGCCUAAGCCCAUACGCGUAUACGAGACAACGAUCUCACACACGCAGUGGCAACAGCUACCCAGAGACUGAGAGCCUAAUCGUAACAGGCUAACUACUCGGGAAGAAUAUGACCGAAAUAAGAGCAUGACACAACAUUCAUAUUGAUCACUGAAUAAAUUUCAGCAGUUUCAAAAUCCUACAAAAAUGCUACAUAAUGUAUGCAUCUUUUCUUUCAGAUCGAGCUUCAGUGACACUAAGCAUGCCUCCAAUGGCACAGGCUAGUUCCCGAACUCGGGGGCUAAGCACCAAUCAGUACUCGGAAUAUCUCCAGUGGCUCAGCUAGCUCCCAGGCUCGGGGGCUGGAUGCCGCAAAACCACUCGACGUGGCUCCAACGACUUACCUGGCGCACAAGCUCGGGGGCUGGACGCCGCAAGACUACUCGAAUGAUGACCUGAGUGAAGAUUCAAGACCCUCGGGUUGAUUAUUCAAUCAAUCAAAGGCUCGGGGGCUGAUAAGCUACACCCAACAAUUGAUUUUUUCAAGUCAAAAGAGGAAGAUUCAAGAUUUUGACCCUCAGCCUGAUUCUGCGAUUCAACCUAAGGCUCGGGGGCUACUCCAUAUGGAGUGUGACUUUCACCGUCCUCCAUACAUGAAGACUUCAAUAUCAUGUUGAUCAAGACUUUGAGCACACCAUAGCCUCAUGGUGGCUUUGAGAAACAUUGAAAGAUUCAGUCUGACAAAGUACUCGAAGAGCACCAAAACUACCCGGCGAAUAUCUCAAGACUACUCGAAGACUGCUGCAUUCGACUAUGAAGCGCUCGGAGGCUUGUCAGGAAUACAUCCCCACUACCCGCAAGGAAGGAAGAAGUCAUACUCCUACUAGGAUUCCCCUGUAAUCCGACUAGGACUCAUACCGUGUACUCCUACUAGGACUCCUCCUUGUAAUCCGACUAGUACUCUGCCCCCUGGAGUAUAUAAAGGAGGGCAGGGGUACCUAGCUCCGUAGGUCACACCUCAACACCCAAGCGCAGGGCGCAGUAUACAAAUACCCCCAAACAGGACGUAGGGUAUUACGCUACUCCGGCGGCCCGAACCUGUCUAAAUCCGUGUCUUGUGUCCUCGCUUUUACCUUCAAGUUCCAGGUUCGACGAUCUCCCACUACACAUUAUGCUACCUCGAGUACCCCUUGGUAGACGGCCGGUAUAAAUCACCGACACCUGGGAGGGAGAUUGGAAUUUGGAGAAUUCUUGUGUGAGACCACGGGGCACCGUCUCAUACACCAGCCUUGCCGUGCUGAAAUCAGCGAGCUUCACGCCGUAGCCUUUGGUGUCGCAGCAGUCGAGGAGCACGUUCCGGCCCUUGACAUUCUUGUGCACGACGGCCACCCUCCUGAGCCCACACACCGAGCUCACUGUAACACCCAAAAAUUCCAUCAUAAACACAAUAUAAGCAACAUGUGGUCUAGCUCUUUAUUUUCUAAGAACUAAAUAAAAUACUAAUAUUAAAUUAUGGCCUUUAAAAAAUUAAAGAACACUUGAAAUAACUUUUUAGAGACAAGUGCUUGUUAGGGUUCUUCGUUUGCUUCCCUUUUUGUUUGCGUUUGCAAAAUUUUACAUGAUGUCACUGUCCUCGUCAUCCUCGGCACUGGCAGAGCGUCGUUGGGGCAUAGAGGACCAUGGCCCCCUUGCUUGGUAAAAAAAAAAAUCAGAAGAGCAAAGUGCAAAGGCCCAGUCCAAGUGCAGUCCGUGGCUUGUUGACACGUAAUUAAUAAAUCAAUAAAUCCCACAAGGCAUUAACCACAUAGGCACAAACAAACAUUGAAAACAAUAGAAAAAAAUAUUGAGCCAAUUCCAGCAACUAGCGGAUGAGACAACGACCUCAGCCGUCACCCCUUCGCAAGAUGGACACUUCCUUCACAGUUGACUCAUUGAGGUUGUCAUCGUCGGCCGUCGCCACUUGCCAGGGCUGGCGCCUUGCAGCCUGGUGCUAGAACUUUCAUCCUGAAGGUAUGGUUGCUUUUCUUCCUUCUUUUGUUUAUCUUCUAAGUUCUUAACACAUUAGAUCCGUAGAGUAUGCAGGCUACUAUUGCCUAAUUAGCUGGUAAUUUGUUGUCAAUUGAGAUCUAUUAUUAUUUCUUUUGAGAAAAUUGAGAUGUUUCGCUAGUUUAUUUGGCCCUAAUCCCCAAAUUGCAGAGUUUAUAUGAUUUUGUGGUUUUAUAACUAAAUACAGUUCUGCAAUUUGGUAGGUAGGUACAAAUAGGUAAAGAGAAGCCUAUUGAUUCAUUUUUCAAAAGCAAAAGAGAUGAACCAAUUGUGGACUGUCGAGCAGCCUCUGGUUCAAGCCAACCAAUUUCCCACCUAAAAUUUGCUUCACGCUCCGCCACGGAUCCUCGAUCCUCGGUGAGAAUUUUUAACCUCUUUGAAAAAGUCGGCGAUUGCGAAUCUCCACCUGCAUUUUUGAAAUGGAUUCUGAAAUAUUGUGGCGAAAUGUCCUUUUCUAAGUGGGCCUAGACCCAUAAAUUCGCGAGCUCCGCCCCACUCACCACUGCCACACCAUAACUCCGCCUGUGCUGUCGUGGCCACUUGCUCGCCUCGUCGCUCUCGCGCGUCACAGUAGCAGCAGUUCUUGAGGCGGUACGCUGCCUGCAAGCUAUGCGAGCCCGUCAGCUCGUCAGGCACAGUGCCUGCCUGCCGCUACGCUCCACCUCCCCACCACCACGCUGCAAGCCGACGCCCGCAAGCUGCCGCUCGGCCACAGCGCCGCCGCUGAUGCCGUGCCUUUGAGCAGCCUUUUAUUUGUUUUUUAGCUUUUUUUUUUUUGAAGAUUCUCACACAUGUGGAAAUAUUUCAAAAUCUGGAUCCAUAGCUUGACGUCAUCCACACUGGCACCAAGCUUACACGUCUUGGCACCAGCCGUUCUGGUGCCUAGGUCGUUGCGCAGCUGUUGAUGGGGCAGCUGACGUGACGGUGGCUUGGCGCCUGGCUGUUUAACACACGGCCUCCGCCUCUAACUUCUCCCACCGGCUGCCGCCUCCUAGCCACCGGGUGGAGUGGGCGCAGUGCGCCGAUGACACCCCACUUCGCCUCCGCGCCCUUUCUCGUUGGAAGGUAAAUUUCUUAUUAGUUUUAAUAGUGAGAUAUAUAGAAUAGGUAGGUAGAAUUGUUAAAUAGAAUUUAGAUAGAUAGAUAGAACAGUUAGAUAGUUAGUUUGAAAGAUAAUUAGAUAGAAUUUUCAUCUUAUGUAAUUUUCUUUUUAGAUAUGUAUAGUUAGAUAGAUGGUUAGAUAGAUAGUUAGAUAGAAUUUUAUUCAUAUGUAAUUUUUUUACUUAGAUAGAUAGAAUAGUUAGAUAGAUAGUAAUAUAGUUAGUAUGAUAGUUAGUUAAAUAGUUAUAUACUAAAUUACAUAGUAACUCGACAUAGUUAGUAGUAUUUAGUAGUUUGUAGUUAAUAGAUAGUAUCUAUUUAGUUAGUUGGUACGUAAUGAAGAUUUUAUACUUAGAAUGCUUCAUUUAUAUUGGACUAAAUGAAUUGUUCUGUUUAUAACCUUGAUGGACAACGUAGUGAGCAUAUAUCAUGAAGGUACCGUGGAAAGAGAUGACUAUGGAUGUGUUAAGUUUGUUAACAUGCAAAGCAUGGUUGUGUUAUUAAUUGAGAAGCCCUCAUUUAGUGAGUUGGUUGCAAGUGCUCGGGAGGAGCUAUAUUGCCAUGAAGAUGAUGACAUCACAGUGGAGGGCGUACUUCACCUAGGUUCCCCUUUCAACAUCCAAAGGAAGAUGAUCCCAAUUUGGUGCGCAGAUAAGUGGGAGAAUGAUGUGAGAUCGGUUAUGAAGCGCCAGUUCUAAAGUUUGGACGUGGUUGUGCGUCGGGUGUUAGUUGAUCCCAUCCGUCAUCGGUUUUCCCGACCAAUGGGUCAGCAUGCACACUUCGACCCUUUCGUCCCAGAACCUAUUAUGGAUGUGGAGGUUGCACAUAUGGUUCCCGAUGCUGAAUCUGCCCCCAAUGAGGUAGUUGGAGCUGCUUGUCGGACACUUGAUGCUGUGGUAAAUCCUCCUCAUGAGAUCCCUUUGACACAAAAUCAUCCGAGUAAGUGUCUUAUCGGCACGCUUCUUGGGAGCUAACCUCCUUCAUUACAUCAAUUUUUUUCUUCCUUUCUCAUAUUUCUACCAAUGUUUUAGGAGACAUUCCUAAAAAUGUGGAUGUGCCCCCAGUUGCUACUCAACUGCACUAUGGAGAUGGAUUACGUGGCUCUAAUAGUGUUGGAAUUAUGAAUGAUUCGGAUGCAUAUGAGAUGGGAAUGUAUCUUGAUUCUGAUAAUGAUCGCCCUGUUGGAGAGAUGACAGAGAGUGAUGUUGAGAUGUUCAGGCGUUGCUUUCCUGACCGUCGUGAUCCAAGAGUUCACGAGUUCAGUGAUCUUUCUCAUUCUAAUCAUGCGUGUGCAGAGGGAAGUGAUGAUGAGCUCCUAGAAGCUCCUGAGGCUGGACCUAGCAUAGUGAUUGAGGAGGGUAGCGCAUUGAUGAGGUGGUUACAGGCAUUUGCAGUGAUAAAGAAGAGACCUUACAAGGUCUUGCAUUCAUAUGCAGAGCACCGUUACACAGUUGUGUGUGACAAGUAACAGUGCCCAUGGAUGAUUUGUGCAAGGAAGAAAAAGAUCACCGAGAAGUGAAAGAUCACAAAAGUUGUCAGGCCACACAAUUGUGCUAACACUAGAACAUUGAGAAGUGGAAGAUCACUGGAUAGAAUGGUAAGUCAAGUACCUUACUUUCCCAUGUUAAAUUACUUAGUGAUUUACUGGUUUACUUAUUAUGGACUUUGUGGACUCUUGUUAUGAACUAUUUUGGACUUUCAUUACGGACUUCGUGGACUUUCAUUAUGGACUUUGUGGACGUUCAUUAUGAACUAUUGUGCAUAUAGACAUUCAUUAUGAAAUUUUGUGUGUAUGAACUAUUGUGGACUUUCAUUAUGAAUUUUGUGGACGUUUAUUAUGAACUAUUGUGUAUAUGGACUUUCAUUGUGAAUUAUUAUGUGUAUGAACUAUUGUGGACUUUUAUUACGAACUAUUGUAGAUUUUCAUUAUGAAUGUGGCAUCUGUUUGAACAUGUUGUAUUCAGGUAGAAUAUUCAUCUCAUAAUUGUGUAUGAAUUACAUCCAAAAAUAGGGGAAAUUCUGCUGAAAUUUCACAAAAAUAUAGAAUUGCAUUUCGCUAACCAAAAUUCUUCGGCAUGUAAGCUUAUGUGCAUUAGGCAUGUGCUCACAUAUUUCUCGCAAAGAAAAUGACAUCGCACAUACUACUAUGGUGCCCAUACUUAAAGUGCAUUACAUGACAACACAAUGAAAAGUCCAACAAUAGACAACAUGUUUCAUAAAUAAACUAUCAGACUACAAGUAAUGGAGACUACUGAGUGCAACGAGUCCACUUUCCCUUCCUCAAUCGUAGCUUUCGCUUGGUGUGCAUGCUCAAGCUUCUUCUCCCUCUCCUACCUAUCCGCAGCAACACGCCUCCUUUCUUCCUCUUCCUUGUGCUCCUUUUAUGCGGCCUCCUUUCUGAGCCUCUUCUCCAUCAUCUCCUUCCUCUCUGCCUCCAACCGCAAUAUUUCCUGCAUCUCCUCCUUGUCUUCAGGCUUGAUCUCGGUGUUGAUCCAGUGCUCAAAAUCACAGAGCGGUGCAGGGGUCUACAACAAAUGCAAUUGUUAUAAAAUAAAAAAAAUCAUGUAAAAUAAUUAUAACCCAACAAUAAUUCCUCACCAUCUUGUUAAUGCGGCGUUGACGAAGUGUAGGCUCAAACUUAAAAUUAGAACACAUCCAGUACCUCUACCUAUACGUGUCAUCUGCAUCGGACUUGGCUACCCUGCAAGGAUCGCUGCAAAAGCACAUGGGUACUGGAACACCACUAGGCAGAGGUAAUGGGUCGAAGCUAUUUCGGGUCAUACGGGCAUAACUACAAUUUAGUCAUUUUCAUUCUAAGAACCGAAAGCGGUUAACAUUAAACCUACACCUAGGGUUUCCCAUUUGAUCCACAAGAAUGAAUCCAUAACAUAACUACGUGCGCUGAGGUUACCAUAGUUUCGUAGCUUUUCCACGCCUUGGCAUCCUAUGGUUGCACGAAACGCUAUGUUCAAAAAUCCGACUAAUAUAUAGCGAAUCGAUGUGAAAAAAACUAGGAGGGAGUGGAUAUCUUGCUCUCGAAGAUCCAUGGAUCAAAUCGAAGUUUCUAAGAUUUAAUAUGCCGAUUCGUGGUGUAAGGUGAAGUGGGGAGAGAAAAAACCUGAGAGGGAGGAGAAAGAGGAGGAAGAAGCUUCAGGCAAGAAGAAAGGGUGCGGCCUUAUGUUAGCAGGUUUGGCUCCAGGCUAGCUGGCACGAGGCCACCACUACAUCAGCUGCCCCAUCAGCAGCUGUUGAGCGACCUAGGCGCCGGGAUAGCCGGCGUCGAGAUGCGUAAGCUUGGCACCAGCGUGGAUGGCGCCAAGGUAUGGGUCCAGAUUUUGAAAUGUUUCCGUCAGAGGCGUAUUUGUAGAGGCGUAUUUGUAAGAAUCUUUCAGAAAAAAGGCUAACAAAAAAGUCAGAUGUUUGAGCCGCUCCACAGCCCUUACCAUCACCGACUAUAAAAGGCAGGGUCGAGCGCCUCUCCGCAACCGAACUUGCCGAGCCGCCAGCUCCGCUGCUCAACUUCUUGCAAUUCUGCCUGCAAUUUAUUUAUGGAGUGAUCGAGAAAUUGAGCGAGUUUGGAGGCUAGUGGUUGAUACGUUUUUUGCAUCGAAUUGACAUUGAAUUAGUUUUCUUUGAACUGCCAUUUCAAAUGUUUUUUCUAUAGUUGCAUGUGAAACACAUCUAUUGCCGCUAAUCAAUCUGUCGACGCUUUUUUGGGCCAACACAUGAAUGUACGCGAUUGUGCGGCGCGUGGAGGGGCUCACUGUAGCACGUCGAUGCAUGCCGGUUUGACCACUUACGGUCUGACCGGUUGUUAGGCCACCUAGUAGUAGAUUGGAAAAUUUAGGGAAAAAGAAUAAAGGAAAAGACAAUAAAUAGUAGCUUGGUUUUUUUCGAUUAGGUUGGAUGCCCUCAAUCGGUCGAAUCCCUUUAUAUUUCUAAGGAGGGAAGGUCUUUAUAUUUAUAGGAAGGGAAGGUCUUACCCAUGAGGGAGUCAAAAUCCUAACAAAAAUCGUGCUAAAUUAAAAGUUCUACUCGGUUUACACUGAGCCAGAUAGGUCAGACCAGCCUGGGCAACCUGUCGGACCAGUCUGCCCGGGUGUAUAUCUUGCGAAGGUCGUAUCUCUCUCAUCCGAACUUCAAAUCGGACGUUCUAUAUAAGAAUCUUGAUCUACUCAACAAGAUACAGGAAAUGGUAGAGUCCAAUCUUCAUUUGGAGCACUUUGAUCCAACCAGUCCGACUGGUGGCAUCAGGACUGGUGGCAUCAGCCGGUCUGACCUGUCUGUACGGGGGUGCUGAUCUUUCCGAGGGCAUAACUCUCAGGUCCGAAAUCCAAAUCGGACAUUCCAUAUAUGCAUUUUGAUCGCCUUGAUGAGAGAUAUGUCCUGGUGAAGUCCAAUUUGCUUUUUGAGAACUUUCCCAAACCGGUUUGACCGCUUGGAAGACCGGUCUAAACAUGUCUGAUCAGAUCUAUCCAGACCUGCCACUUUUCGGCAUCAACACGAGUUUUCCAGUAGUGACAACACAACAACUGUAUUACCCACGGCAUGAAAAUAACACAUAACAAGAAGCUAUGUACCACUAAGCAACACAAUCAAUACUCUUGCAAAGGGGGCGAAAUACCAAAGGAAAUGGCGAUGAAAUUGAAACCCCGCCAACAGAGCUUUGCUUGAGCACGUACAGCUCUUUAUUACAGAAACAGUAUAGGAUACGAUCGAUGUGCCAUCAAGCAUAAAGCAGCAACACUUAUUUCUUUUCUCAAAGCAAGCAAGAACAGAACUGGUCAUCAAAGAAGUUGACGGGAUUCAUUCAUUCAGAUGGCCGCCGCGGUCGGUGUGCAGCGGCGCUUGCAGAAGUUAGUGAGGACGUCGACGCACCGGUAGACAGGCGCCUCGGUGGUGCUGGUGUACUUGACGCAGUUCAUGCACGCUGGGUGGCAACCCUGGAACGAGAUGUCCAGGCAACUGCAAUCUGGUGGAUUCUUCCUGUUGCAGAAGCCGCACUGGUUGCAGCACGGCCAGGAGCUCGCGUUCGCGGCGUCGUCAGCGACCGCCGCUCCUCCCUCCUCCCCGCUCCCUGCGGCCACCAAAGAUUAGUCGACGCAUCCAGUUGAGUUGAGUUGAGUGUCAAACUGUUAAUUUCUCACCUUUGCUGAGGAGUGGCAGAGUUGCGAGGACGGCGAGGACAGCCAGUGUGACGAGCAACACCUGAGGUCUCAUGCUUGUUUCUCUUGGUAUGUAGGAAUACAGGGUGUUGCCAGGUUUGUUGUGGUUGGACUUCCUUCCUACUGAUGGGUGAUGGUUAUCUGUAUGAGGCUAGAGGCCUUAUUAUAAGAGGAGGGGGUGCCAUGACAGCUGUGUGCCUGCCAAGUUAAGGCUAGCUUGGCACGGCUCUUGAACAAUGGCUUUAGCUCUAGCUUAUCUAAUGAUCUUGUAUGUUGGAGAAACAAUCUUUUAAGAUAGAUGGAAGAGGUCAAAUAUCCAAAAUACCCUUAUUUAUUUCCUUUCUUUUCUCUUUUCUUUUAAUUUCUUUUUCUUUCCUGGUCAUUUUUCUUCCUUUCUCAUUUUUUCCUUCACCAUUUAUUUUUCUUCCUUUCUUAUUUCCUCUUCCUUCUAUCCUUAUCUUCCUUUCCUCAGCUCCUGCAGAACGCCGCCCCUGCCUCUCAUGACCAUGGCCAUCACCCGCAGCUCUUCCGGCUCGACGUCCCUGCCUCCCCACUCCUCCAACUCGACGCCCUAUCUCCCCUAGCCCACUCCCUCUCCUCAGCCCGAGCGCCCAACAACCCCUUCCUCCCAGCACGUCCGGCCUCGCUUAGCAGUUUGUGCGGCACGCCUGCAGCGUCGCUUGUGCAUCCAACGUGCUCGCCCCGUCCCGCCGUGCUCCACCCACCGCCGGUCAGGUCAGCACCGGCGUUACUCCGUCCGUGCCACUGCACCAUCCGCCACCGCCCACCAACACAGUGGUUUCAAGAAAUUUCAAACAAUUUAAAUAUUUGAUAAAUGAUUUCAAUGUUGUUUCAAACUUUUACAAGUGAACAUAAAUGUUAUUUAGUGAAUGUAAAAAAUAUAAUUUCAUACAUAACACAGAUAUUUUGACUAGUUAGUUCACAUGUCCCUAUAGGUUGAAACACCUCAUGAGUUAUAGGGUGAUCAUGACUUGGAUAUCCAUUUGAGAAAAACGUACUGUUACAAUAUCUCAAAAUUAUGUUAAUAUUUUUUAAUCCAUGUUGGUUCACUGCUGAAGUGGUUACAUGCAAAAUAUCAUGAAAAACAUUCCCCCUUAUAUUUGAUGUUUUUGGAGCGUUCCCGAGCUAAUCUCGGUCAAGCUCCAAAUGGAAGGUUGACUAAGAUAGAAGAUGCCCGCGGUCUUAAAUGGGUACUUGCGUUGCCCGCCAGCACAGAGGCUAGUAUGCUUACGAGUUCUCCCCCGCAGGCCCAAGGAAGAUUUGUGCUGGUGGGUGCCAAUCAAACCCACCAGCACACUAAUUUACCUGUGUGAACACAAAUUAAAUCUGGCGUAGUGUUUUCUUAGUAUCUUUUGCUGUGGUGAGGCAUGUGAGUACUGCUGGCACGAUCAUCAGCUUGUCCUGGGCUGCUGCUAAGCAUGCACCACGAGCCAAAGGUUUUCGGGAUGCUCAGCUCAUAAGGAAUUGACUGAAAGUGACUGUUCGUUGUGUGAGCUAGCUGUCUCCACUGGUGGCUUCUGAAUUAUUGGUCCUAUAUACAUGCACCACGCGCAACAUAAGGGAAAAAAAGUCUGCAACAUGUGCGGCACUGGAUAAUUGAGCUAGCAAUAACAGUGUUGUACGCUUGUCUAUGAGGGAUGCAUGGUGCCUAACAAUCACAAUGAUCUAUACUGACUACUCCCUCCGUUCCAAAUUAUAAGUCAUUCCAAGAAUCUUGGAGAGUCAAAGCAUCUCAAGUUUGACCAAAAUUAUAGAAAAAAUUAUAAAGAUUCAUAACAUUAAAUAGUUAUACUAUGAAACUAUAAUUGAUGAAGAAUCUAAUGAUACUUUGUUGACAUCACAAAUGUUAUUAUAUUAUCAUAUAAAUUUAGUCAAACUUGAGAUACUUUGACUCUCCAAGAUUCUUGAAAUGACUUAUAAUUUGGGAUGAAGGGAGUACAUCAUAGCUUGUCUGCUUGCCUAGUGCGCGUGAACCAUGAGGGCAGGACUAGUGGCUGCACACUACUCCACGAGGGUAGGACUGGUGGCUGUGCACCGACAGAAUUCACUAUUCGACACUAAAAAAACUAAUCGUGACACUAAAUAAAUUUUGGUUCCCGUUUGAUACUGAGUUCAAUUUUCAUUCUUUAUAUAACAUUCUGUUGGAUUUUUCAUACGAGAACCAUUAAAUGCCCGAUGAAAAGACGAUUUUGCCCUUGUGAGCCCCACCACCCUUCUCCGAUCUACUCACCUUCUCCAUCCGCUCUAUUGUACCUCCCCCACUGCUCCAUCCAUCCUCCUGUCCAGGUGAGAGCUUAGGCACCAGGAGCUCACUACAGUUCUAUUUGUGUGGUUAUUGGCAUCGAGGAUGGUCGGGACGGUGGAGCUCCAAGGGAGGGGGGUCAUGGCGGGCUGACGGCUCGAGUCGCCAAGGAAAGGACGAUUCCCGGCGGGGUUGAGCUCAUCCUAGCCAACAAGCAGGUCGGGGAGGUCGAGCGCAAGGUGAGGGAGGUUCGGGUGCGAGGGAUUGGGUUUUGGCGAAGGUGGUGAGAAUUUGGUCGGCGAUGAGGUUUGGUGGCUGGUGGCAGUCGCGAGACAUGGAAUUCCCGGCACUAAGUAGUUUGUGAUUGGGCUAGAACUAGCCUGGGAGGGAGAUUGGAAUUUGUAGAAUUCUUGUGUGAGACCACGGGGCGCUGUCUCAGACACCAGCCUUGCCGCACUGAAAUCGGCGAGCUUCACGACGUAGCCUUUGGUGUCGCAGCAGUUGAGGAGCACAUUCCGACCCUUGACAUUCUUGUGCACGACGGCCACCCUCCUGAGCCCACACGCCGUGCUCACUGUAACACCCAAAAAUUCCAUCAUAAACACAAUAUAAGCAACAUGUGGUCUAGCUCUUUCUUUUCUAAGAAUUAAAUAAAAUACUAAUAUUAAAUUAUGGCCUUUAAUAAAUUAAAAAACACUUGAAAUAACUUUUUUGAGACAAGUGCUUGUUAGGGUUCUUCGUUUGCUUCCCUUUUUGUUUGCGUUUGCAAAAUUUUAAAUCAAAAAUCUUAUCAAUCUUCUUUCUCUCUUUCUGUAAAACUCAGCAGGCCGGCCCACCUUUCCACUUUCUUUCCCUCCCGGCCCGCUCUCUUUUUCCUUCUCCAGCCGGCCCACCUCCUCAUUUCUUUGCGCAGGCCCAAGCUGAUCCGCCGGCCCAUCAGCAUCUCCCCAGCCCAACCCCCCCUCUCCUCCCACCGAUAGGUGGGGCCCACCUGUCAGGCGCGUCCUCAACCUCCAGCUGCACCGCAACUCCAGCACUGCCAGCAGCGCCUGCUCGCCUCCCAUCGCCACUCCAUCUCCUGCGUCCCUCCACUUGCUGGAACUACAUCGCCUUCCCACGCGUGUGCGCUGCUAGCGCCCUCUCCUCUCCUAACUCCAGUUACAGGCGUCCCAUUUUCCACUCGCGAUUAAUGGCCAUCGGAGCUCGUUUCAUCUACCCAAGCGCCGUCUCAACUCCUCCUCACGGCCUAUAAGUAGCGCCUACUCCCUCUCCCCGGCUCCAUUCUCCCAUUCUCGCCACCACCAACGCUACCCGCACCAGAGCGCCAGAGCGCCACCGCAUCUCACAGCACCGCCACCGUCCAAAUUCCUCCGCCGCUGGGUACAACGCCGGCCUUUCUCGCCCGCCACAGCCGCAGGUAUGGCCUCCCUCGCUUUCCCCUCGCUCACCUCCGUCGCCUGCGCCACCCGCUUUGCUCACCGCCGCGCCUGAGCUCGCCGGCGAGCCACCGGUCAUGCGAGCCACCGGUCAUGUGCCUAUGCGCGUGCGCGAGAAAGGAAAGAGGAGGAGGAUAAGGCUAUUUUGCAAUCUAGUCCCUAAACUCUCUGAUAUUCUCUUGCUUGAUUCAUGUGUCUAGUAAGGCUUGCAAAGAAUCCCCUGCAAUCCUUAGAACCUUUCUUUUUAACCUGAGCUCUACAAUCUUGCAGAUCUAACCCUAUACUUUUCUAUAUUUCUUAGUUGUUCACUUAGUCUUGUGAAACUUCCUUGGUAGCCCCUAAAGUAUAUAGUUAAUUCCGUUUAAGCCCCUAAAACUUGUUUACUACAUAUCUUCAUCAUUUCAACUCCGAUUUCAGCGAUUCUCAGCUAGGCACCAUACCACACUUUCGAGGUGUAAUUGCAAAGGGACGUUACGAGGCCUUUACAAAGAUUCCCUAAUAAGAAGUAGUCCGCUAAGGUUUCAUGAUCAGUGCAAUGUAUAACAGUCCCCUAGUGGGUAUAGUGUCUUAGCAAAGCCCACUUCCUAAGAGAGCGAGUGCUAUACACCAACUACUGUCUCUCCCUCUUGCCCUUUCGGUAAGACCGCUCCAAAAUAGAGUUUCUAAUUAUUCAGCCAAGACCAGAGCUAUUUAGUCUUGUGGUAGCACUGUUUUCCUGGGUGGUUCUCCAUGUUUCAAUUAACAUUAUUAUGAUAUUAUUAACAAAGCAUAGGUAGAAGGUUGGUUAGGGACACUUGCCUUUUCUCCAACGAAAAGUUACUCCUACUGCUCUUUAGCUUUUUGCUUUCUUGAAACUCUUACUCUUCAAAACUUCGAAACAACGAUCCUUCUACUCGGAGCAAACAUCAGCACAAACAUACAAGCAACAAACAAGUACAACUAAGAACAAUACACCAAAACAAAAGACAGGCUUUAAAAGAGCAUACUAAAGGACAUGGCUUGAUUCUAGGAUUACGCAGAUGCAGGAACGCUUACAACGUAACUAUGGUUGAAAAGAUAAAACUAUCGAAAGAUUUGAAUUUUAAAAGAAAGGUGAGAGUUACAAACUUCAUUUAUUUUAGUUGAGAAAAAUAAUGUAAAGAUAUUUCAGAGAAAUAUCCUUAGUUAGAAUUAAUCAAGUCAUAUUUAUAUUUUCAUAAGAAAAGACGGUGUAAAGCUUAGCCCAAAUUUAUUUAUAAAUAUUUAAGUACAAUUUAUGCAAAUUAGACAUUUAAUUUAAAAAUAAGAUACAUGUAGACAUAUAAGCGUAUAGCUUUACAUUUCGAGUUCAACUAAGUAGAUUAAAUUAAAAACACAUUUAUAUUUAUAUUAGCUAAAUUAACAUUUAAUUAUGAAACUCGAGAUAUAACCUAUGUAGCUUUUAUUUAGAAAACAAAUUGAAUAAACAUUAAUCAAAUUGAAUUUAAUUUAUGAAACGUCGAGGUAUAACUCUAAGUGGCUUUUAAUUGCAAGAAUUAUUUAGAUAUGCAUUAAUCAAUUUAACUUUAGUUUAUGAAAAACCGAUAUAUAACCUAAUUGGCUUUUAUUUAGAAGAGGGUAUGAAGUAAGCAUUAACCAAAUUGAUGUUUAUUAUCAAAAGCGGUGUAUAACUCUAAGUAGAUUUUAUUUAGAGAAGACGCAUGUUUAUGUGGCAUUAAUCAAAUUAAUAUCAAAUUUAUUUUUUUAAAGACAUGCAUGAUCGCAAACAUCACUACUAACACGUCAUUUAUGUUAUUAUGAAUCUAACGCAACUUGAACGAGGUUAAACGGAUCUAAAACGUGAAGUAUAGGAGCUAAACAAGGUUGCAAGGGUCUAAAUGUAAUUAACCGUAGACUUGGAGGGUUAGUUGAGAAGAUUACCGAGACACAGGGAACAGGACUCAUGAAAAGCUGAAAACACUAGGUUAGAUCUGCAAAAGGUCAAGGUUUGGAUUAGAUUGAAAGGAUCUCAAAGUUACAGGGGAUUUUCUACAAGGUUUGCAAGACACAAGUAAUAGGAACAGAAAUUAACAGAUUCUCCAGGGGCUAGAUCGAAAAGCAGCGCUUCAUCUUCUUCCUCACGCCACAAGCAUGGCGCAGCUCCAGGCCGGUGGUUUGCCGGCGUUCCGGCGCGGCGGAGGCCUGGGCGGGUGGUGCAGGUGGCGAUGGCCAGGCUAGGGGCCAAGGGCACGGCUGUACACCUCGGAAGUGUGGUAUGGUGCCUAGCUUGCACCGUAUGGUUGGGUCCAAAGUUCUUUGAACUUUUACGCGACUUGUGGGUAAAGAUGUGCCACCUCUACAGAGUGUAAAACUGAUCGAUCAGCCGUGCUCACGGUCAAGAGCGGCCUGGACCGUCACAUGAUUAAUUAAACUUGAAGAUGGACUUAAAUCAUUAUUCUGGUUAUUUCUAGUGGCCCUGCUGAGUACCAACCAUAAGUGUACUCACCCUUGCUUACUGCUGCUCAGAAGAAGAAGGUACGCAACCCCCAGUCGAUUGCCUGUGAAGUUUGGAGCCUCCAUUUCCAGUAUUUAAGCUGUGUAUCUCUGAUACACUCACCCUCACGCGACCGUCUCUGCAUGACUGUUAGUUUUAGGAGUUUGUUUUAAGUCUUUUUUUUUCUCAUGUUUGGUGUACUAUUUUAUUUAUUGUUUAUUUUGCUUGUGUCAUCGUGUGGACGACAUGUCAUUCAAGGAGAUUUAGCAGCAGCAGCCGUUCGACGAAGAGUUCCCUCAGUUUUUCAAGGAAGGCAAGUGGUCAUCUUCCCCUGCAUAUUCUUUUUUGUCCCAAUAAUAGCAUGCUAAAUCACUUUACUAUUUUCUUGUAUGUGUAUAAUUUGAUGGGAAUACCUAUUAAGGACUUACCUAGUUUUUAAUCCUGAUCCUUGAACAAUGGUUUUAAUCAUGUUGGGUAGAAUUGCUUAGUUGCUUAAUUUUGGGAUGGUAAUAAUUUUGAGAAUAUUAAUCAUGACUUUAUUAAUGCUAUACCUAUGUUAUUACAAGAUCACUUGAUUUAAUCGGAACAUGGAGAACCACCUAGGAAAACAGUGCAACCACAAGUACUAUCAUGACUCUUGUCUUAGCUAAUUAAUUAGAGACUCUAGUCUGGGGUAAUCUUACGGAAGGGCAAGAGGGGUGGCGGAUGAUGGGGUAUAACCCGCUUCUCAAACUGAUCUACUCUAUGGAAGCUUCGCAGUCUUGAGAGGAGCUUAUGCUCUACUACCGAUCCAGAAAUCUUAGCGGGUUACCACUUACUAGGGGAUCUUUGUAAAGGCCUCAUAGCGUCCCUAUGCAAUCACACCUCAGAAGUGUGGUAUUGUGCUUGGCCAGCAUAGCAUGGUUGGGUUUACAGUUCUUUUGAACUUUUAUGCUACUUGUGGGUAAAGAUGUGCAACCGCUGUAGAGUGUAAAACUAAUAUAUCAGCCGUACUCACGGUUAAAAUGCGGCUUGGACCCUCACAUGAUAAUUGAACUUAAAGAUGAGAAUAAAUCAUGGUUCCUUUAUCGUUGGGUUUUUUAAAUGCUUUAUGCUUAAGUGGGUUGGUAUAAACUUACACCUAAAAAUUAGGUUCUUGCUAUGCAUUCAAUUUUGUCCAAAAAUCGGGUGUGACAAAAGUGGUAUCACAGCUGUGUUGACUGUAGGAUAUAAGCCUAGAUAAAAAUGGUCUAAAUAAGGACUCAUUUUCUUAGCAAGCCAUGUCUUCUCAAAAAUAUCUUAUUUUUCACAGAAAAAUCUAUUUUAUUUUUGUUCUUUGCCACAAAAAGUUGUCUCUUGUUGGCUUUGUUUUGAGUAUCUUUUCUUUCUUUGUCAGAUGGCUAAGACCAGGUUGACCGCUCAUAAAAGCACUAGAGGAUACUAGGUUGGCCUUGCCCCUGCUUAGCCAGCUGCUCUGAUUCAGCAUGUAGAGGAGGUUGAAGAAGAUUUGGAGGAGGUCUACAAGCUGCCCCAGCUUCAUACAGUCCUGCAUCAAUUGCCCCUACAUCAGAUGCUCCAGCACUAGCUGAUCUAGCUCCACCACCUGCUACCGAUGGUGGAGACCCGGACGACUCUGGGAAUGACAGCAAUAGUGAGGAUAAAGAAGAUGACGAUGACGACUACAACAAAAACAAUGACCACAAUAGCAACAAAGACCACAACAACAACCAUGAUAACAAUAGUGGUAGAGAUGGAAAUCAGAAUGGUGGACCGCAGAAUGUGACACCAGCUUGUGACUACCACACUUUGGAGGAUGAGUCUGGAUACUUUCCCACACUGCUCUGGGAAGUACUAUAGAGUUUGGGAAGCACCAUGAAGCCCCUCUACGACACUCAUCGUGUCUCCCACUCCACCAUGGAUGACUACUACGCCAGUCAGGUCCACAUAAGGGAACGGUUGGCGACUUCCAGAGUAUUGAGGACUUGCUCAGCACACGACUCCACUACGGCCCACGCCACCUAUGCCUCAGCCAUCAGCGACGCCGCCAGGAGAGCUCUGUCUUCCCUCUGCUUCACCCAUCUCCAGGAGUUGAGCAACACCAUCUACCGUAACCUGCCUCGCCGAGCUAGUGGCACUGAGGACACAGCUGUACAGUUGGGAGAAGCAGGAGAAGACUGCAUCAACAUCCUUGCUCGAGUCACCACUGCUCUCAACACCAACCUCGACGGAGCUAUUGCAGAGCUUGCCAAGACCAAUGAUAAGCUGCAAGAUGCUCACGCCAGGAUUGUGUAGCUUGAGGCACAGCUUGCCGAACAAGAGCCACCUGAGGAGGCAGCCGAGUUCCACUACCCCACCAUUUCACCACCCCGCAAGAGGCUUCGCUAUGGCGCGUCUGGCUCCAUCACCGGUCUUUUAGACUAGGUUGUGCUUUUAGGUUGCCUUCCAAAGUCUUUCUGUUAGAGCUGUUACUGUGAGGACGUGCGAUGUAAUAACGUUUGCUGGUUGAAAACAUGUUUGAUUUGGACCUUUGUAUUUUCUAGGAUAUUUUGUGAAGUGAUGGCCACAAAUGCAUCAUUACAGAAAAUAAAGUUUAUUAGUUUAUUGGGUCUAAAUCUUGGUUCUUUGCCCCUAUAUCUACCUUAUCAAAUCAUGACUCUUAUCCGAGAUUUAUUUGUCUAAUACUCAGAUGGUAAACACCAGGUCAGGAGGAGGACAAGACAUUCCAAGUGAGAGGCAUGCUCACAUAAUUAAUCAGCAGAAUCAAGCACCACCUCCACCACCAAGUUCGACAAUGGAACAAUUUUUGGCUGCUUAGAUGCAACUACUGCAGAACCUCACUACUACUAUUUAGAAUCUACAAGCUUAGCAGAAUCAACAACCACCACAAGCACCUCAGGCACCGAGAGAUAAGCAUAGGGAAUUCAUGAGCCACCACCCUCCUCCUUACUCUCACUCAGUGGAUUCAUUGGAUGCUGAUGACUAGAUGAAGGUCAUUAGUAAGAAGCUAGAUAUUACACAGUGCAACGAUCAUGAGAAGGUUUUGUAUGCUGCAGGAUGCUUGGAAGGAGUUGAAGCCAACUAGUGGGAUGCCUAUACUACUGCCCACGCCAAUGUUAAUGCUAUUACUUGGGAAGAGUUCACGAACAACUUUCGCACACACCCCAUUCUAGCUGGUGUGAUGAACCUCAAGUAGAAGGAGUUUCGAUCAGCGAGUAUUGGGACAAGUUCACAUAGCUGUCUUGUUACACGCCAAAUGAGGUGGACACCAAUGAGAAGAGACAUGAAAGUUUCCUGGAUGGACUGAUAGGGCCACUUAACUAUCAACUGCAGAGUCACACGUUCCCUAAUUUUUAGACACUACUAGACAAAGCCAUUGGUUUAGAGAACAAACAUAAGGAGCUCGGGGAACAAAAGCGGAAGUUUCAGUCGCAAGGUCAAUCUAGCAGGAACACCCACCCUUGCUUCAACUUAUCGCAGGGAUCACAAUUUCAUUCAGGAGGACAAGGUUGAAGCUAUCAACAGAAUCAGCAAUUCCAAAGUACCACUCAACAACCAUAGCGAUUCAAUCAACAAGCAUAGUACACCUCAAACCCACAGCAAAACCGAGCAAACAAUACCACAGGAGCACCCGUGUGUAACAAUCCAAUUACCCUGGUUCGACCCAAUGGAUGCUUCAAGUGUGAUGAAGUGGGACAUUAUGCCAAUAACUGCCCCAAGCAUGGAAUGCAGACCCCUCAGAAGACCAAUGGUUAGAAGUCUGGUCAGCAACAGUUGCAAGCGCGUAAUGGAAAUCCAAACUCUCAGGGCAACAAGGGCUAGCAGAACUUCAUGCAUGGUAGGGCGAACCACGUGAGAAUUGAGACAACUGAAGAAGCUCCAGAUGUUGUUUUUAGUAUGUUCCUCAUGAAUUCCGAACCUGCGUCAGUUUUAUUUAAUUCUGGAGCAUCACACUCAUUUAUAACCAAUCAAUUUGUGGCAAAACAUAACAUACCUAUGCAACCUAUGAAGAAAACUUUGCUAGUUAGCUCACUAGGUGGUGAUAUAAGAACAAGUCAAAUAUGCUCGCAAGUCAAUAUGAAAAUCAUGUGGGUAGAUUUCAUAGCCCACCUAGUGGUCCUAAACUCCAAAGGUAUUAAUGUGAUUCUUGGAAUGAACCGGUUAGGAGUAUAUGAUGGAAUUAUCCUAUAUGCCAAGAAGUCAGUGCUUUUAACUACCCCUCAGGGGACAAAAUUGAGUUUGUGGCUACUACCUCAUCUGAAGAAAAGGGUAUAGUCAAUCAAAUAAAAGGAAAAUCUUUGGAGGUGUUGACGCAAAAUCCUGAAGGUGGUGGACCCUGCAUCACCACAUGAGGACCUGGGAGAUCUGCUUAACUCCAGUGCAGAAUCCAAAUCGGCGCGCAUGGUGUGCGCGGGCAUGCCAUUCAGUUUGACCAUUCAACUGACAAGGUGGAGAUAAUUCUCUCGAAGUUCGAUGGAGUCGGCCGAUCGGGCCGAUUUAAUAUAAUUUACAAUAACCAUUAGCCAUACGGACGAUAGGAAACACAAUGCUGUUGAGUUGUUGCUCCACCAUAGCUAGAGCCACAAGCCGAUGAGAUCAAAACUAACAUCACCACCAAUAUUUUUAGGUGAAACCAUAGCGAUGCGCCCGGUAGUUGCAGUCUAGAAAUAUUUAGCAAGACGUUAAUCUGAACCCCGCCAGCUGAUGAAUCCAAUCACAAUGGAACUUACUCCCAACAGCACUCGAAGGGGUAACCAAGAUUAAGAUGCAACAGGCUAUUAAAUGAUCUAUCGUCUAUGAUGAACCGAUCUAAAGCUAAUUAAAGCAAACUGAACAGCAAGACGAAAGAAUAGAUAAAUAUCAGCCGAUGCAAGCUUAAUCAAGGCGUGAUAACUGGUGAAUACCGUAGAUCGAGACAGAAGCGAUGCGCCGUAAGUUAAAGAUCCAAGAUACUUGAUAAUUGGUAAAUGAAACUAGACAAAACCACAGCGAUGCGCCCGGUGGUUAAAGCCUAGAACACCUGGUGAUGGAACUUGCAGCUCGCCGGAGAUCGAGGUCGAUGCAGCCCAGCUUGCUAGAAGGAACUCGUCGAGAAUCUACAUUACUCCUACUCCUAGGGCAAUGGCGUGAAGCUGAAAGGUAAAGGUAAAUAUGUUGUAUUAUUGAUCGUGUGAUGAUUCCUUACAAUGGCCACGUCCCUUUAUAUUUAUAGGGCGGACGUUACAUAAUUGGCAUCUAACCACGCACAAGGCAAGUCACGUACACAAUCUUUUCUAAUAAAAAACUCUAUCUCUAACUAACCCAACUCUAUCUCUAAAAUAUUUAAUUCUAUGAAACAACCUCCCGUACAUGCACAGAUCGGCCGCAUGUAUAAUUAUUCUGGAAGCCUCACACGCAUGGCAUGCAAAGUGCACCAGAAUCCAUGUUGUAUAUUCUAAUCAUUUUUAUCCAUACGUGCUGGCCUUUCCUUUAUAUCAUCCUUGCCUCUCCUUGCCGAUCAAUCCAAUGAAGCCGAUUUGGACUCCGUGCCCAUAUACACGCAUGCUACCUUUUUAUUGUUGUACGUGACUCCAAUUAUCUUGUACUCCGAAUUUAUAGGAUUGGUCAAAAUCCGGUGUCAACAGGAGGAUAUCAAGGUUGUAUGCGAAUACCCCAAAAUGUUUCCCAAGGAUUUACCAGGUACGUCGCUUGACUGAGAUAUUGAGUUCUCCAUUGAUCUUUUACCUGGCACUUCACCAAUAUCUGAAAGACCUUAAACAAUACAUGUUAAGGAUUUGGUUGAGUUAAAGAAACAAAUAGAAGAAUUAUUAAGUAAAGGUUUUAUCUGUCCUAAUUCUUCACCUUGGGGAGCACCUGUAUUUUUUGUUGAUAAAAAGGAUGGCACCAUAAGAAUGUGUGUGGAUUAUAGAGCUCUUAAUGAUGUGACCAUUAAGAAUAAAUAUCCACUCCCUAGGAUUGAAGAUCUGUUUGAUCAGAUGAGAGGUGCAAAAGUCUUUUCCAAAAUCGAUCUAUAAUCAGACUAUCACUAGUUCAAGAUCCCAGCAGAAGAUAUACCUAAAAUGGCGUUUACAUCCAGAUACAACCUAUAUGAGUACACUAUGAUGUCUUUUGGAUUGACCAACGCUCUAGCAUAUUUCAUGUACUUGAUGAACAAGGUGUUUAUGGACUACCUAGAUAAGUUUGUGGUAGUGUUCAUCAAUGAUAUAUUGGUAUUUUCUUGAAAUGAAGAAGAGCAUGAGGAGAACUUAAGAUUAGUGUUACAGAAGCUUCAGGAGAAUCAAUUAUAUGCCAAAUUGAGUAAGUGUGAGUUCUGGUUGAAAGAAGUUUCCUUCCUUGGACAUGUUAUCACCGAUGGAGGAAUCACAGUAGACUCAAGCAAAGUUCAAGAUGUGCUGAAUUGGAAUCCUUCCAAGAAUGUGUCUGAAAUCAGAAGUUUUCUUGGAUUAGUAGGUUAUUACUGCAUGUUUAUUGAAGGUUUCUUGAAGAUCGUCAAACCCCUCACUUCAUUGUUAGAAAAGGGAAAAGAGUUUAAAUGGGAUGACAAGAAGUGAGUUUUGAAGAGCUGAAGAAGAAGUUGACUACAAACCCUAUACUGAUAAUGUCUGAUAUACACAAAGGCUUUGAUGUUUAUUGUGGUGCUUCACGUCUAGGUAUUGGAUGUGUACUAAUGCAAGAAGGUAGAGUAGUAGGUUAUGCCUCAAGACAGUUGAGAAACCACGAGAAAAAUUAUCCAAGUAAUGACUUGGAACUAGCUGUCGUUGUGCAUGGAUUUGGAGAUAUUACAUGAUCGGGAACAAGUGUCAGAUCUUCACUGACCACAAAAGCCUAAAGUACAUAUUCACUUAGAGGGGUCUUAAUUUAAGGCAACACAGAUGGUUAGAGUUGAUAAAGGACUAUGACUUGGAUAUUCAGUAUCAUCCCGGCAAAGCAAAUGUCAUAGCGUACGCCCUAAGUUGAAAAGGUCAAGCUAAUGUGACUAUAGUACUGUUGAUAUCUCAAGAGUUAUGUUGGGAAAUAGAGCGACUCAAUUUGGGAAUCAUUGCCCAUACUGAAUCCAUGACCAUGGAAAUUGAACCUACACUGGAACGAGAGAUAAGAAAAGGGCAAUUGACGAAUGCUAAAAUCUAGGUAACCAAGAUCCAAAUUGGUUUAGGAAAGCCCCCCAACUUCACUAAAGAUGAUCAAGGAAUGGUUUGGUUCAGGAAAAGGAUCUAUGUACCAGAGAUCGACCAUCUUCGUGAAUGCAUAUUGAAGGAAGCACACGAUUCGGCUUAUUCUAUUCACCCUUGUAGUACUAGAUGUAUCAAGAGACGUAGCAACCCACGUUGCUUUGUGUGAUGUAUGUUAGCAAGUGAAAGCAGAGCACCAAAGACCAGCAGGUUUACUUCAGCCAUUGAAAGUACCUGAGUGGAAAUGGGAAGAGAUCGGAAUGGAUUUUAUUGUUGGGUUACCCCACACUCGGGAUGGCUAUGAUUCCAUAUGGGUUGUUGUGGACAGAUUAACUAAGGUUGCUCAUUUCAUUCCAGUUAAAAUAACCUAUAGUGGACCAAAUUUGCAGAGUUGUAUAUGUCAAUGAUUGUAUGUUUACAUGGUGUUCCUGUUGCGUUCCAAUCUCUUGCGAGGUUAAGAAACAACACAAUAGGUAGUAAAUGAACUGCUCUCUAUUAAAUGAAGUGUCUGAAUCUCGUUACAUGAGGGGACGACCCCCUUUUAUACUGUCCAGAGGAUACCUACAAUUUACAAUUUUACCCUCUCUCACCCACUACAUCCUCAGUAUAUUCUGUACACAUUUGUCAUCUCAUGAAGUCACGUGUUUUGUCCUCCCAACAAUCCCAUAAAUCACACUCUCACAGGGUAUCGUAAUUGGUGUUGUCCUGUCGGUCAAGUCGCCUUCCCCCUUAGCUUCGCGUCUAUGCCCUAAUUCGUUCGCCACUCCUUAAUGAUGCUCCCAUAGCAAGUUGGCUUCAGUCUCUCGUGUUAUACUGACUUCGGGCCCACAAGUCCCCUGGCGAGGUUGAUGCUGCUCCUGCGGGCACCGAAGACAACGGACGGGCAAUGAGUCAGAAAAACAAAGGUUAGCUCAUAUUACCUUCACCUUUGAUUUUGGUUUGUCCCGAAGCUGGGUAAUCACGGCCCCGACCGAAGCUGAGCCCUUGGCGUGAAGUUGCAAAGUCCGCUGAGCCCUGGUGCAUAGAAAAUAGAGGUUAACCCACCUUGCCUUCGCCCCCGAUUUCGGUUUGUCCCGAAGCUGUAAAGUUCACCGAAUCUUGUCGCAUCUUUCGGGAGAGAGAUGACCUUGAGGGGGGCUGUUUUGGGCGAUUCCCCAACAGUUCCAAAGAAGAUAGUAUCUGAUCGAGGUACUCAAUUCAUGUCACGUUUCUAGUAGAAGCUACAUGAAUCAAUGGAUAGAAAGCUUAAUUUCAGUUUGGUGUAUCAUUCACAAAUGGAUGGUUAGACUAAAAGAAUCAAUCAAAUAUUAGAAGAUAUGUUAAGAGAUUAUGCUUUAAAGCAUAGAGGUAGUUGGGAUAAAAGUUUACCAUACGUAGAAUUAUCUUAUAACAACAAUUAUCAAGCCAGUCUUAAGAUGGCCCCGUUUGAAGUGUUAUACGGAAGAAAGUGCAGAACACCAUUGUUCUGGAGUCAGACUAGAGAAAGCCAAGUCUUUGUACCGGAAAUUCUUAAAGAAGCUGAAAGACAAGUUCAAAUAAUUUGAUAUAAUCUCAAGACUGCAUAGUCACAACAGAAGAGUUAUGCUGAUACUCGGAGGAGAGAAUUGACAUGUGAUGUUGGAGAUUACAUGUAUCUCAAGGUAUCACCUAUUAGUGGUCUUCGUCGAUUCAAGGUUAAAGGGAAGCUAUCACCUUGUUACAUUGGUCCUUUUCAAAUUUUGGAAAGAAAAGGAGAAGUGGCAUAUCAGUUAGACUUACCUGCUCAGCUAUCAGAUGUUCAUGACAUGUUCCACGUAUCUCAGUUGAAGAAGUAUCUAAGAGUACCUGAAGAACAAUUACCAUUGAAAGAACUCAAUGUGAAGGAUGAUUUGACUUAUUUAGAGUACCUUGCCAAAAUACCAGAAAUAUCUCAGAGGGUCACUCAGAGCAAGGUAACCAGAAUGUGCAAAGUAUAGUGGAGUCAUCAGUCAGAAGAUGAAGCUACUUGGGAAAGAGAAGAUGAGCUUAUCGAAUAAUUCCCUCAGUUGUUUUCCAAUCUCUCUGAAUCUCGAGGACGAGAUUUUCUUUAAGGGGGUAGGAUUUGUAACACCCAAAAGUUUCAUCAUAAACACAAUGUAAGAAACAUGUGGUCUAACUCUUUCUUUUCUAAGGACUAAAUAAAAUACUAUUAUUAUAUUAUAGCCUUUAAUAAAUUAAAGAACAAUUGAAAUAAUUGUUUAGAGACAAGUGCUUGUUAGGGUUGUUUGUUUGCUUCGGUUUUUGUUUGCAUUUGUAAAAUUUUAAAUCAAAAAUCUUAUCAAUCUUAUUUAUCUCUUUUUGUCCAACUCAGCAGGCCAGCCCACCUUUCCUCUUUCUUUCCCUCCCGGCCCGCUCUCUCUUUCCUUCUCCAGCCAGCCCACCUCCUCAUUUCUUUGCACCGACCCAAGCUGAUCCACCGGCCCCUCAAGCAUCUCCCCAGCCCAACUCCCCCUCUCUUCCCACCGACAGGCAGGGCCCGCCUAUCAGGCGCGUCCUCAACCUCCAGUUGUACCGCAACUCCAAUGCCUGCUCACCUCCUGUCGCCGCUCGAGCUCCUAUGCCCCUCCGCGUGCUUGCACCACGUCCAUCCUUCCUCGCAUUGAGCCCCUUCUUCUCUCCUUCUCUCUGUGCAGGUGCAGGAGGGCGAUCCCCAUCUAGACUGGCCAUGUGGAAGUAGGACCACCACCAUGUGUAGUUGGUCCCCCGUGUAUGCAUCAAUGCUGCACCUAUUGACUGUGACCUGGCACCCCGACAGUGAGCCAUGUGAUUUUCGCAUCUCAAAGGCAUGGUUUAUCCUCCCUCUUCCUGCUGCUGCUCAUCCUCCCUUGACCCUUCACCAAACUACUUGUUGCAAUCGGAAGAAAGAUCAAUCGAGUUGAAGAGAUGGAAGCUAGUCACCAUUGAGUGAUGUUAUGAUCCGUCCCUCUAUCAUAACCGUUGGAACCCAGCUGGUGCGAAAGCUAAUUACCUGAAGCAAUUGGUAGAAACGGAUAGUACUGGUUCGUUCACUUAUUUCUUUGCUCAAACUUAAUUUCUGCUUAAUGUUUGUGCCUUGUGGUGAGACUAUAUUAGCUGCUUAUUCUGCUGGUUGCAUGCAGAAUAGUUAAAUCAAGGCACAUGUCUUCAAUUUCUGAGCUAGUGCUGCGUGUCCGUGACGCAGAAGCACUGCCUCAGAUAGAUUAUCUUUGGGUGGCGCAGAAACUGGAACUAUCUUUGGGUGGCGCAGAAGCCGCACCUCUGUCACAACUGAGCAUAUCUGGCUGCAACUUUUUCUUCGUAUCAAGCCAGUCACAGCUAACACCUGGGGUCUGGAAAUGGUUUGAACAUCUUGCAAAUUUCAUAAUUGAAAAAUGUGAUGUGCUCAUCUACUGGCCAGAAGAAGUGUUCCAAAGCUUGGUAUCUUUGAAGAACUUAUGGAUUCUGUCCUGCAACAAGCUAAUAGGGCCCACAAAAGCGAAAGGUGGCGAACCUACACAAACAACAGAUCAAAUCUACACAAACAACAGAUCUAAAAAUAAGAGGAUGUGAUAGCCUGGUAACACUUCCAAAUCUACCACCGUCCCUCAAACAUUUUUUUAACUGCUGUGAGAAGCUGUGAGAAUCAUCAGCAGCUGUGAGAAGCUCUGCUCUGUGUCAGGAGACCUGUGUGCACUCGAGGAACUACAUAUUUUUAACUGCAAUAAGUUACAGUCAGUCAAUUCAUUGGGAGACCACCCAUCAUUAGAAACACUGUUUCUUUCUGGCUGCCGAUGCCUUGCAUCUUUAGGAUGUGAUGGUGGUCGUGGGAGUUACUCUGCUCUUCAGAGCCGUAAGAUCGAAUACUGCCCAGCCAUAGACAUGAAGCAGUUUUACUAACGCCAUCAAACAGCUGCUUGACAGCUUUGUAUAGGAAGACGUAUCACACGUUCAUUCAAGCAGCUCUGAUGAAGGUACGACCUUUCACUUUCCUCUUAUUCAAUUUGUUUCCUUCAGAUUUCCCUGCUUUGCAUGCCCUCCUAUUUUGUUGAUGAACUGGUUAAUAGAUGGGUUUGUGGGGUGGGAUUUUGGGGUUUCAUCUUCAUUCCGCGGUCCUUUCUCACUGAUGUAACCCCACAUAUUGUUGGUUUAUACGGCUGUUGGUUUUCAGUCUUGGAUGCAGUUGACGUGCAUAGAGAAAUUCUAGAAAUAUGUGAUAUCCCUUGGUGUUGAGAUCAGCUGAUGCGGAAUCACUGAAACGAGAUCCUGAUCGGUCUCAGUUUUGGAGAGCAAUUUCUGGUGAAUGGAAGCAGUCCCAAGGCUUGAAGAACUCAUGGAGUCGUACCGUACCAUUCUCCGCUGCCAGGGCCUAAACUAGGUACGUGGAAGGCGCACUGUGUUUUGUCAACAACACAAUUCCUUUAUAUAAGUUGGGAUAGUAAAAAACCAUGCCUUCGUCUGUGUUAAUCAAAUCUCAUUUAGCACAUAUAUGGUGGACGUGUUGUUAACUUGUUACCCCCAUGCUUUUCAUUUUUUCGGUGCAGACAUCAACCAUUUGUUCUUAAAUUAAAGCAUAAAGGAGGGCACUCACUUGUACACAUAUUCUUAAGUACUGGAACGACUGCCAUCUGUAUACUCAGCUUCAUUGCAAGUCUCUGCUAACGAUGACAGGCCUGCAGUGGAUGACAAAAACGACUAAGUUUGUUUUCACGGCACUACUAGCUGCUGGUAAUUCUCUCGUCACUAAUGCACACUACUCCCUUCUGUCAUCCAUCAAAGCUGUGGACAAUAUGAUGUCACUCUUAUUUUUUUUAAAAUGAAACCGGCAGGAGAGCUGCCCCACUAUAUUAAAAAGAAGGGACGCUCGAAGGGCCAGAGAAGUGUACACCCUUGACAAGGAAGAAAAAACUACACACACUGAAAAGAGAAACGGUGCACAAAAACACCCUCAAGAAAGCUGCAAUAAACAUGCCAGGGGUGCUUAGCCCCGACCGCCACCCAAGAAGUGGCCUCCCCUUUUAUUUUUGAGAAAACUUGCUAUGAAGAGGACUCUUUGUGAUUGAAAAUUCUUGCAUUCCUUUCAAUCCAAAGUUCCAACAGACCAAAAUGAUUAGGCUCCAUUCGUUCAAAAAAAAAUUUAUUCGUUCAAAAAAAAAUGAUUAGGCUCCUUAGCCCACUCCUAUCGACGCUUGGUGUCCUUGCCUGCGCUGUCCACCACGCGUGCACCAAAGUGCACGGCUCCCAGUUACUAGCAUUAAGACCUUCAUCUACCCAUGCAGCGAUCGCAUCCCAAAUGCGCCUGGUAAACCGGCAGUCUGUUAGGAGAUGCAUUCCAGACUCUUGAACCGUGCGACACAACGCGCAUGUGUCAUUGUGAGGGUAAUUUCAUUUUGCUAACCUAUCUGACGACGUCCAUAUCCUAUUUGGAUUGCCAACCAACUGAAGAAUUUGCACUUCGGGAGCACCACGGCUUCCACAUGAUCGCUUUAAAGUUUGUGAAGGUGGAGCCGAUAAAUUGUGCUUGGUAGGCCGAACUCACAGUGUAUUUAUUAUUCUCUGUCAUUUUCCAUACAAUGUUGUUUAGGUUGUCUGGUAUGAGUUGAACCUGGGCUACUGCUGUCCACAAAUUGCAAAACUCCAUAAAAUACCCCAAUGCUAAAUUUACACUCGACCGGACGUUCCCAUCCUCGUGGUCGACGCGCACCGGUCCUCUCAUCAGUCCAUCAUGUGGGCCCCACUCCACUUUCUUUUCCCCUCGCACGCGCUCUCUCUCCCCUCUCCAUUCCCCUUCUCAUCCUUCUCUUUCUCGAUUUCUUCAUGAGAUCCACCGGAGCGACUCUGCAUGUGGAGCUGUUCCACCCAACGUUGAGCACAGUAGCAACAGGCCUGGUGGCGGGCAGGGGAAGCAGCGAGGCUCCGCCCUGCAGCACACAGUAGCGCUCGAGAUCAUCCCGCGAGGAGCGGGGGAAGGAGCACUAGGACCAUCGAGGGCACCGCCGUGGUCUUGACGAUGAGUGGCUGAUGGAUCUUGGCGAGCUCCGCCGUGGCCGCGGUCGACAGCGAUCUAUUCAUUUUUUUCCUUCCUUUUUUCUCUUCUACCUUUUGUCUCAAAAUCUUUUGUCUGUAUAAAGUUUUUGCUUCCAUUUUUUUUUAUUUCUUUGCAUCGUGAAUUUUUUCUCCAUUUUUUUGCUUCAAAACUUUGUCAAAAAAAUUUCUUUUUCAAUACUUUUUCCAAAAUUUUGUCUCAAUUUUUAUUUUCUGAGUUUUGUUUUCACAAUUUUGUCUUUUAAAAUUUUUUGUCCAAAUUUUGUUUCAAAAUUUUUGUUCGCAAACUUUGGUUUCCAAGUUUUCUAAAAAAAGUUAUCCCCAAACUUUUGUUUUCGAACUUUUUUAUAAAAAAUUCUCAUUUUUUGUUUAAUGAAACAGGAAUCACACGUGGGAAGCCGUUCUGACGUGUGGUUGGAAAUCGACCGCACAGAAGGCUCCCACUGGUCACAUGUAAACUUGCGUCCCCCAUAAAAUAAAUCUGUGUGAGGCUCGAGGUUGAAGGCCUAAUAAGGGCAGCCACAAGACUAUGCUUGAUAGUAGAGAGAAGUUUUGGUUGCCAUUAUAGCCGUCGAUGCUGAGUUAGAGCCCCAAUGCUUGGUUAGUAAAAUAUUGUUCCAUAGCAGGGAACAGGCGUUGCUGGGCAAAGAGAAGUGCAGGAGAACCAAAAGGAAACAGGUACAACUAGCUAAAGAAGCCAGCAGCAGUAGCGGAGGGAGGAGGGGGGGGCACGGGGGCCUGGCACCCCCCACCCUCUGCGGCAUCCGCCCCUGCCCCUGGUGGCCUGGGCCUCUCCUGGCAGGCAGGCACCCCCUGAUGGCCUGUGUGCCUAUCGGCCUGUCACCAGUCACCCCUGGCGAGCGGCCUGCCCGGCUGGCCUAAUAAAAAAUUAGAAGCACCUCCCAGGAGUCCUGGCCCUGGAAUAGUCCGCCCCUGGUAGCAGAUUAGCAAAUAGGCACAUCAGGUCAAAUCAUAUUCCGCUCCUGGUAGCAGUUUUUUGUUCCUAGCUCGCGCCGCUAGUCGAAUCGUAUUCUGCCACCACCAGUCAAAAAAGCAAAUAGGCACAUCAGGUCAUCCGUCAUCAGGACAUGAGCACGAAGCACCAGAGUACGAGGACAAGGAUGAAUGGAUCACUGACAUGACUCGCUGUUGUUUUCUUCGCCAGGCGUCAGAUUGUUGCUGUCCGCAGGUAAUCCAUAAUCAUAAAUCAUCCAAUGAUAUUCUCUUAUCUAAUUAACAGUCACUAGUAAUUCUAAAUUUCCCCCUCUAAUUUAAGUAUUGAUGAUAUUAUUACAGCGUACGAUCUUGCUGCUAGUCGAAGAGCUAAAUUUAAGUUGAUAGAUAUGUAAUUUUAUUUUAGUUAAGACUUGUGAACUAUGCUAUUAUUAUAUCAUUAUAUGCGACUAAAAUCAGCUCACGUGGCUAUCAGUUCUACGUUGCUUUGUCCAUUGCUCCCCUUACCUCAAAUCCUAGCUCUGCCCCUAGCCAGCAGAGAGUAUUUAUGUAAGGUUUCUUAAUUUAUGGGAACCAAAGCACACUCAAACCAUAUUCCAGAAUCUUAUUACAUGCAGAACCUGAAGUAAGGGAGAUUGAAACAUAUGGCACGCAUGCAUGCCUUUAAUUACACUAAUACCAGAAAUUAAAAUACACUGCUGCCACAAGUAGUAUAUAUAUUAAGGUAGCUGGUGUCACGCCAACAUCUGACGCAUGGUAAUGACGGGGAGGACCUGGACGUAGUACUCGAUCCUGUAGGCAACCUUGAGUAUGAGAUCGGGUUGCUGCCAAUUGUAGCCGCCGUCGACGCCGCAGAGGAAGGUCUGCGCGAUCCUGGUAUUGUUCUUGUGCUGCUGGUUGUGCAACACGAUCUUGUACGCAUCUCGGAGAUGUUCUUUCAGACUGCUCACCAUCGACCUGGUGUUCUGGUCCCGCGACAGCUUCCAGGACUGGGGCUGCUGCAUCAGGUCGGCUAUCUGCUGUACGAAUUGUACCAGCUGCUGGAUCUCCCCCCUGUUCUGCCUCAGCGCCUUCGCCUCCUGCACGAUAGAAAGUGCGAGGCGCACGACCU